rnacentral:lncRNA from 1 species
CUUCCAAUUGGAUGUCAUAUUCUUGAGGUCUUGCAAGAUGGGUCCACAUUUUCCAAAUUGGCUUCAAACUCAGAAAAGUUAUCGGACGCUUGAUAUUUCUAAUGCUGGAAUUUCUGAUAUCCUUCCAAGUUGGUUUUGGGAAAGGCUGUCUCAUGCUCCUGAAAUUGGUUAUGUAGAUCUCUCCAACAACCAAAUUAGAGGAACAAUUCCAAACUCGCAAAUCAAUUUUGUAUGUUUCUCUCGUCAACUAAAUUUGAGUUGGAACCAAUUGGAAGGUCAAGUCCCUCCAUUCCUAUUGAAAGCUUCGUCAUCUCUCUUUCUCUCCCACAAUAAAUUUUCAGGGUUGUUUUCUUUCUUGCUUCCAGUUAACGCAAGUCAUUUAAGAUUGCUUGAUCUCUCGAGCAACCAUUUACAUGGAGAACUUCCCGAUUGCUGGACUCAUUUCAAAAAUCUUUUAAUUCUUGAUUUGAGUGACAACCUUUUUUCUGGGAGAAUUCCUGCCACAAUGGGCUCUUUAUCUUCAAUUCAAACAUUGAACCUAAACACUAAUGGACUUGUGGGAGAAUUGCCUUCAUCUUUGAAGAACUGUACAAGUCUCAUAGUUUUUGAUGUUGGAGAAAAUAAAUUAUCAGGUUUGAUACCUGAAUGGUUAGGGGUUGGACUUCCAAAUUUGACUAUCCUUAUCCUCCGUUCUAAUCACUUCUAUGGAAGCAUUCCAUCACAAUUGUGUAAUAUGGGAAGCAUUCAAAUUCUGGAUUUCUCGAUGAAUAACAUCUCCGGAAGUAUACCCAAAUGUCUCAACAAUUUGACUAAUUUGGCUCUAAGAGGAAGUUCAAGUCUAACUAUCACUCACCUAUUUAAGGCAACCUCCACUGAUAUUGCUGUCAGUAUUUUUGAUUAUGAAGACGAAGCAUCCUUGAUAUGGAAUGGAAUAAUGUCCAAAUACAAAAGUACCCUGGGGCUUGUAAAGAGUAUCCAUCUGUCAAGUAAUCGAUUAACGGGGGAGAUUCCUAGUGAAGUCACUGAUCUUGUGGGGCUGGUUUCUUUAAACCUAUCAAGAAAUAACUUAACAGGUCAAAUAACUCCAAAAAUAGGAAAGUUGCAGUCUUUAGAUUUGCUUGAUUUGUCAAACAACCAAAUACAUGGUACAAUUCCAACAAGUCUCAUUGGAAUAUCUGGCCUUGGUAAGUUGGACCUGUCCAACAACAACCUAUCUGGAAAAAUUCCCAUCGGGUCUCAACUUCAACCCUAUGACGCCACUGUUUUUGCUGGAAAUCCUCUCCUUUGUGGAAUUCCACUUGAACAUAUGUGCUCUCCUAAGGAAACAACACUGGAGGAGCAACCAGUGGUAGACAAUCAAGAUGAAGAUGAUGACGGGUUUAUAACACCUGGAUUUUACAUGAGUUUGGGGCUUGGAUUUAUCAUUGGAUUCUGGGGAGUUUGUGGGAGUUUGAUAUUCAACAGGUCAUGGAGAUACAUGUACUUCAAACUCUUGAAUGGUUUAAAUGAUUGGCUUUAUAUCAAGGUGGCAUUGUUCAUGCAACGAAGAAUGCUCGAUGAAUAAGCUGUAAGUAUACUGUCACAUAAUGAAUAAUACUGCAAUUAACAUACAUGUCCUCCUCUCUUUUAAACUCCCGGCUAACGGCUAACGCCUGUAAUUUACUUGAAUUUUUGUAGCUCGUCCAUCGGCUUGUGUGGUACGACAUGCUAACCCCUUCGGCUUUUGGGUUGAGAAGGAGCCUGAAGGACAAUAGCUUUUAAGUUAUGGUGGAAUUUCUCCAAAUUCAUGAGUGGGAAAUGUAUUUGGUUCAUUGUCGAGUUGUAAUUUUACACAAAUAUUUAUGGUUUUAGUUUCAAUUUUUCCCAAUUUGUUAUGAAUUAAUGGAUGAAUAGACUGCGUUCCAAAUUGAAAGCCAGGAUUGAAGAGCUGUGUACAAGAGACUAAAAAGAGUGGCACUAAACGAAGACCAAAAAGAGUGCCACUAAACAAUGGACAUGAAUUAAAAUUUCAAAACUACAUUGAACUUGUUAAACAAAUUCAAAAAUAAGUGAGACGACCAGUUUGUGUAAUCUCAUACAAGCUUGUGAUAAACGAACAAGUUUGGCUCAUGAAAACAAAGGCAAAAUUAUUAUUAUUUUUAUUUAUUUGUUGCCUUAACAUACCAAACAGAAGCCCCCAAAAUCCAACUCCGGCUAAUUACCCCAACAAAAGAAGAUUAAAUUAUGAAGAAGGGAAAAAAUAAUUAUGUUUGGGUCCAAAUAAAUGAGAAUUGGAACUCUUGGUAGCCUGUUAGCAUCUGGUCAAAAUUGUUCCAGCCUGUGGCUGAUGAGAGUUUUGUUCGAGCCGUUUCCACUCUGGAUGUACUCCUGUAUGCACGAGAGGUAAGAGGAGUAAAAGGGAAUGUAAUGCUGAGUAAGUGCUCUACAGUUUAUUGUUUGUGGCUUGUUUUGAUCCUUCAGUAGAACGAUGCAGAAGCAGAUAAAACAGUGUAUUCAAAUAUUGAUCAAACAUUCAGGAUUGGUACAAUACUAGUGGAAUUAAGCUUGUCUGGGUGCGGGAAUAUCACUAAUCAAAUAGCUAAUGCACAGCUAACUUGACUGAAAAGGGAAGGGAGGAAAUAACGAUGUCCAUAUCAAUUCCUCUCACUUAGUAAAAUAAGAACGUGAUAGAAACAGAACAGCCAAUUAUGAAUAACCAGGAAUACGAAAAAAAAUUCUAAUGCAUAAUAUCAAUCAGCCCAUGAAAAAAAAAGAGAUUUUGGAAAACCACAUGUAGGAGACAGGAAAACAGAUUAUACUUUCCAACUUUCGCUCCACAACUAUAUGCUUUUACGGAUAUCAUAUGGUAAAGAGGAAUGUUGAAAAAACAAUUUCUUUUCGGGUUGCAUAGGUAAGUUUCACAGACCCACCGGGAUUAGCACUCGCCCUCCACCCUUGGUCUUAAGGAACAUGGCAUGUCAUUAGGUUCAAAAGCUAGUUGAAAGGAGAAACAUGUAAAGCAUUUGUAACCUUACCAAAAGAAACGAAAAUACCUUAGCACAGAUUUACUUAUGUGACAAUAGAUUAUGUAUCAGGAAAAAAACAAUGGUAGAAGCUUUCGGAAGGGAACAAAAAAGUAAGAAGAAAGAGAACAUACAAGCAUAUCUUCUGAAAGAACUGUUUCCAUUAAUGGAAAAUGUUACAGGCCUCCUUUCCUGACCCAAAGAUAGGAUCUCUUGCAUCCUUUCAGGCCAGUCUGAAUUUAACCUCCGAGCAAAAUCUUCAACCUCCCUGAACAACGAUUUAAGAAAAUAUGUAACAUUAGCAAGAACCAAGUUUUGUCUCUAUAAAUUGCGUAUUUACAUGCAGAACCAUGGUGGAGGAUGCAACUUGAAAUUCCAGUUACAUCCUUAUCAGAAAAUAAAAUAAACACUGACGAGAGAAAAAGACUUGCAGAACCAGAAGAGUGGGCGACCGGAACCAUGUUUCACAACAGAUGCUUAAUGGUGAUGACCAGAAUGAGAGCUCUUUUUCUUUAUAAACAUAAACAAAUAUUUAUUUAAAAUGUCCAAACAACUAUUGCACACAGAAAAUCAAAAACCAACAUCUCUCAAAGCCACCAUAAAGAGCUAGCAAAGGCAAAACAUUAUCCCCAAUGUUUACUCAUUUUUAUCACAGACCAACUUUUUUAAGCAACCUUUUUCAUCUUCUUAGCUGGGUGAGGAGUGGAUUUGAACAUGGGACAGUUUAAAAAAGAAGUGGAGAAAUACCACUACAUUAAUAGCUAUUUAGUUUUUAAGCAAACUCUGCAACAUUGAAAAACAAAUGACAAUUUGAAAUUCUUUUGCAGUUAUCAAAUUUCAUCUUCUAAUUGCAUAUCUUCAAUUUCAGAACUGCGUUCACAAAAAUAAAAUAAAAAAAGCAACGAAGUUGCACCAUAAUGAGAUCCACCAUUCUGUUUCCUUAAGCUUUCCAUAACUAAAGUCAUCAUCGACAAAGUUAUUACCACUGAGUUCAAUUCAGUACUUUUUCUUCCACAUGUUGCUCAACGUGAUAUAUUUUUUUUUUUCAUCCACUAAAAUUAAAAAAGAUGAUAUUAUAUUGCAAAUCGUGUAAUAACCCAAAAUAGUUGCAGACAAACCUAUCAAUUUUUUCCUUCAAUGCCGGAUCAAUCUCAUCAUCAAUAUCACCUUCAUCAAACCCAAUCAUAUCCUCCACCCUAUCAUCCUUUAGAUCUUGUAGCUUUAAUGUCAAACUAGAACUAGGCGUAAAUUUGUUGAGUUCAUCACUGGGGCAAGCAAAGUUAAGAUUGCUCGACACCUAAAACAUUUGGGCGAAAAGAAAAAUGAAGAAAAACUAGCUACCCAACAACUCAAGCAGAAAAGUACAAGUUCAAGACCGAAUUAGUGAUUCAAACCUCAUGGAUCUCAUUGGCCUCAUAUAGACACGUGCUUUUCUGCUGAUCUUUUCUCCUGCGAUUCUUCUUUUUGUUCUUGGAAGUUUUAAUUCCUUUGGAAUCUGUGAAACAUAAUUUCCUUACCUCCAAUGAGGCCUUCAAAAGGAAAUAAAGUAAAAAUAGACGACUAAGACACUACACUUCAAAUCCCAUUUAAAGGAAUCUUAAGUACUUCCAAGUACAGUAUAAUGUGGGCUAAUGCAAUCCUGAAAAAGAUUAGUAUCAAGUGUGCAUUGUGCAAUUUGCUCGUUGGAACUACAACCUACUCAAUGAUAAAUCCAAUUUCUCAAUUAACAAUAACCAUGCAGUCAAGGAAUAAGAGAGCAAUUACUCAGGUAUACCUCCAAUUUCUCCAUUAAUGAAUGACAAGAGAUCAUCAACUGAACGUUCAUCGUUUUGCUCUUCUUCGAGAUGACAAGAGAUCAUCAACUGAACGUUCAUCGUUUUGCUCUUCUUCGAGCUCGUCAUUCUGAAAAGUAUGGAAGGUUCAAUAAUGACUACCAAUAAGAAGGAUAUAUUAUUUAGCAUAGUAUAAAAGCCAGAAAACAUAUUAUGUAGUACGUUUUGAAUUUAGAUUCAUCAAAUACCAAACUCACCUUCAAUUUCUCUCUUUCCUGAAGUUCCCUCCUCUUUCUUGCAUAUAAUCGAUUCAAAAGUCGAAUGCGUGGAUCGUCAGUUGAAUUUUUCAAAGGCUCCAACUUCUCUUCCUGGAUGAUUUCUUAGUGGUGUUAAAAACAACAAAGAAACACCAAGUUUUUGCUAAGCAUACACAGAAAUCUCAAGCAUCGGAGACCUCUGUAAGAUCAUCAGGGAGAUGAAAUAUUUCACGUAUCUCCUCAGGUGUUUUCCCUUCAAUUAUUCGUGCAAGAGCACGACUAGUAAGAUCCACCAAUGGUUUUAAUUGGAGGCUGUCAGCUGCUGAAGUCAACUCACAGAGCAACUUUGCGUCCAUUCGGAUGUAUUUUUCAUCAAAAGCCUUGCAUUCCUACAUAAACGAGUGGUGCCGAGUCAUAUGAGCGUGCCAAGUUUACACCAGCAUCAGAGUAAACAUUUAAUCCAGUGUGCAGGUGGAGAUUAAUGUCCUCAAUAGCUCAAAUUUAUGCAAAACAGACAGAGGGCAUAGACUCAGAAAGAAGUAAAACAGAAUGACAUUCCAAAAACAUGUAGAACCUUGUUCGAGCGACCUGGUACUUGAUGAAAUCGGCAGUAAUCAAGAAUUAAGCUCAACAUUGCAGUACCGACUCUUUCAGGAAGAGAUAUUGCAUGGUUCUUGGAAGCUCCCAUCCCUUUCUGUAUAUUUUCUUUGCAUAUCAUAGGGCAAUACACGUGUUCGCUCCCUAAAUCCGCCAUGGCGCCUUGCGGGCAAGCCGGGGAUUUACUUCACAUAUGAGAUUGGUGGGUGCGGGCGUGCCACUACUAGAUGCCGCUAGUAGACGGGAUUUGAGUGAUUGAGGUUGCGCCUGAAUUUGCCCGAAUCAAGAGAUUGUGUCAUUUGAGUGGGAGUUGCUCAAAUUAAGGUUCUUUGUUUGCCUUAAAAAUAAGGACUUUACUUAUAUGGAGAGAUAGAACAAUAUGUAAAUGAUAAGGUUGCUUGGAAAUAUAAAUGACAGAGGAAAGUGACUAAAAUUGCAGAUUGCUUGUAAUUUAUAUGGCUGGAAAUGAGUACAUAACAGCUACAAAUGAGAUCGAUACCGCAAGUGAGCAGCAGAGCUAAUAAACUAGAUAAAAGAAGGCUUUUUGGUGAAGGUUUAUCCCGAAUGGGAUGAAGGUUUGGGCUGACUACAGCUUCGUUGAAGGCAAAUCUGGCUUGAGCAGAGUUUUGGCUUUUGUUUGUUUGUUUGAGUGUCCAUAAUCCUUGUGCAUCUGCUCCUUUUUAUAGAGGUCUGGAGGAAACCCUCCUGCUGAGGUUUUGUAUCUGCCCGAAAAAAGCUUGGGCAGCUUGUAUUCCAUUGCUUUAGACAGCUUGCAUGCUUUUCACUUGCCAACUUGCAUGGAGAAAUAAUAUUAAAAGGGGAACUUGCAUUUCCACCACAAGCUUUUAGCACAUGUUUUCCCACUUGUAAUAAACUAACAUUUAAAAGAAGCAAGUUGGAUUCUUUCACAUGUUCCUUGCCCGAAAGCUUGCUGAUGCUUUUCCAUCCACUUGCAAUACAUGCAUGUACCUUGAUUAAACAAAUGCUAGACAAACCUCCACCACCCAAACAAAUAGGAGAAACAAUAUUAUAGUGUCCAACCCCUCCACUUGCAUCUAAAUAUCUUUCCAAGUUAGCUUUCUUGCAUAUUAAUCCUCCAAAUGCCAUAUUUUACCCAAAUUGCCCAAAUAAGUAAAAAUGUGUAUAUUUUGAGUGCAAACAGUGCCCCCCAAGUUUUACAAAUUUGAGCAAAGUUUGUGAAACUUACAACCCCAAUGCUGCCAGGAUUGAUGUCGAAGGAAGAGGCACGUCUACAUCUUCAGUCCUUUCGUCGUUGAGAAACUUGGCAAGAUAUGUUCGCUCCCUAAAUCCGCCAUGGCGCCUUGCGGGCAAGCCGGGGAUUUACUUCACAUAUGAGAUUGGUGGGUGCGGGCGUGCCACUACUAGAUGCCGCUAGUAGACGGGAUUUGAGUGAUUGAGGUUGCGCCUGAAUUUGCCCGAAUCAAGAGAUUGUGUCAUUUGAGUGGGAGUUGCUCAAAUUAAGAUUCUUUGUUUGCCUUAAAAAUAAGGACUUUACUUAUAUGGAGAGAUAGAACAAUAUGUAAAUGAUAAGGUUGCUUGGAAAUAUAAAUGACAGAGGAAAGUGACUAAAAUUGCAGAUUGCUUGUAAUUUAUAUGGCUGGAAAUGAGUACAUAACAGCUACAAAUGAGAUCGAUACCGCAAGUGAGCAGCAGAGCUAAUAAACUAGAUAAAAGAAGGCUUUUUGGUGAAGGUUUAUCCCGAAUGGGAUGAAGGCUUGGGCUGACUACAGCUUCGUUGAAGGCAAAUCUGGCUUGAGCAGAGUUUUGGCUUUUGUUUGUUUGUUUGAGUGUCCAUAAUCCUUGUGCAUCUGCUCCUUUUUAUAGAGGUCUGGAGGAAACCCUCCUGCUGAGGUUUUGUAUCUGCCCGAAAGAAGCUUGGGCAACUUGUAUUCCAUUGCUUUAGACAGCUUGCAUGCUUUUCACUUGCCAACUUGCAUGGAGAAAUAAUAUUAAAAGGGGAACUUGCAUUUCCACCACAAGCUUUUAGCACAUGUUUUCCCACUUGUAAUAAACUAACAUUUAAAAGAAGCAAGUUGGCUUCUUUCACAUGUUCCUUGCUCGAAAGCUUGCUGAUGCUUUUCCAUCCACUUGCAAUACAUGCAUGUAUCUUGAUUAUACAAAUGCUAGACAAACCUCCACCACCCAAACAAAUAGGAGAAACAAUAUUAUAGUGUCCAACCCCUCCACUUGCAUCUAAAUAUCUUUCCAAGUUAGCUUUCUUGCAUAUUAAUCCUCCAAAUGCCAUAUUUUACCCAAAUUGCCCAAAUAAGUAAAAAUGGGUAUAUUUUGAGUGCAAACAGUGCCCCCCAAGUUUUACAAAUUUGAGCAAAGUUUGUGAAACUUACAACCCCAAUGCUGCCAGGAUUGAUGUCGAAGGAAGAGGCACGUCUACAUCUUCAGUCCUUUCGUCGUUGAGAAACUUGGCAAGAUGAGCAAGGCAAUUGGUAGUGUAACUAGCAUUGGAAAGAAUGUUGUCUGACUUGUGCAUCCUUCUUGUUGAUACCAAAAAACAUGGGAGCAACCUCACUGAUUACAUAGAUAAUAAAUUGGACAAAUGCUCGAAGUCGGGCAAACUGGAGAACAAGGAUAAAACAUAAAUAAACUUGGGCAACUAUUUAUUUUUUGUCUUUUUCUUUUGGCCUCUUUUCAUAUGUAAUAUAAUAUAUAAUACAAAUACAUAUAUAUAUAUAUAUAAUAUAGCCCACUCGGCAAAGAGAACAGAAAGAGACAAGAAGAAAGAGAAAGGAAGGAAAAGAAAAUAAAUAAAUAAAGAAAAAGGAAGAAAGAGAAGAGGACCCUUUCGGGCAAGAAGGGAACGGAAGAGACAGAAGAGAAAGAAAGGGGAAAGGAAAAGGGAGAGAGGGAAAGAAAUAAUAAAAAAGUAAGGAAAGAACCUUUCUUUCUUAGGCCGAGCCAAGUGAAGGACAGACCUUGAGAAAGGGACAAGGAACAGAAAGCAAGAGAAAAGAAAAAAGAAAAGGAAAAAGAAAGAGAUAGAUAGAGAGAAAAAGAUACCCACGUUCUCUAGCCUUUCCUUUUCUCCAAAAGAGAAGCUGUUUCUCUGUUCGAGGCACCACUUAAAGAUCAAGGUGCGGCAACCAAAAUCCAAGUCUGAGAGAGAGAGAGAGAGAGAGAGAGCAAUCCUUGUUCGUUCCCAAAUUUUGCCUCUUUGGAAUUAAGAGAAGUGGAAAGAUGCCUCUUAAGCUAGCCGACGCCACCAUCUCCACCUUCGAUUGUGUGUUUGACAAAUUCAAAGUAGAAGCUCUAAACAACAAAAUCAAUUUCAUCCUUUUCUUGGCUGACAAUGACCCUUCUACCUCUUGGUGCCCUGAUUGUGUGAGAUCUGAGCUUGUAAUCUACAAAAGGCUAGAAGCUAUACCAGAUGAUGUUGCACUGUUGAGGAAAUCAAACUCCUCUGGUGUUAUUUUGUUCAGAGCCCUCAUAGUCUUUCACACGCGAUCCUCAUCAGAUAGAGCAACCUUCUAGCUGACCAUAGUACCUCAGCUUUGAUUGAAGUAGGAGCAGGCCCUCCUCCUUGGUUCUGUUCAUGCAAAUUAAGCCUGAUUUGCAUCUUGCUGUUUGUGACCAAACCGAUCACCAGACUUUUUGUUCUUCCGGAGAGCACCCGAUGACCGUACUCUUUAAGGCAGGAAUUGGUGUAGAAGUGCCACGCCAAACUCGGCUAUUGGGCUCCGAAUAAUCAAUUUUAGGCUGGAGAUGGAGCUGGAGAUUUGGUAGAAUGGUUUUUGCAUGACCUCAGUUCUGAUCUUCACCACUGGAAUUUCAUCAGGGAGCAAAACAGCUUCCCUAAGCUGUAGUUGAUUCUUUGGGACGGAGUGAGAUGCAUAGUGCGCUAGCACACUCCCCUCCCUAACCAGCAAAAAUCCAGACUUUUCUUCCCAUACUGAGAGAUAAUUAGGGAAACUAGAAAUCCCCGAGAUUGGGGAAUGGAAGAAUAUCACCUGCAAUUGUUGCUUAUUGAUCCAUUCCAUUGAGGUCGGGAGCUAUACUAGACUUUGAUCCGCUGUUUGAUGUUCUUUGCCCGAGCUGCGGUUCCAAGACACCACCCAUGGAUUCGUUUUUGGAGUAACAAUACCACAUCGGGCUCAUGGGAGUUUGCAAUAACCCUGCUGUCGAAAGCAUUGUUGGAAUUAAGAUCGUUAUCACUUCCAACAUGAUGUUGCAGCGCAGGUUUUGGCUGGAAUUUGUUGGGAGGUAACGACGAGCAGCUGUGAGCUACGAUGUUGUUGGUUGACUUGUUUUUCACAGAAGCUUGCUCUGUCCACCAUUUAAGCAAUUUUUGGGCUAGGAAGCCAUUGACAGGUUUGUUGGGGGAGUCGGUGUAAUUUCCAGCAUCUCCUUCAGGGGCAGCUAUGGCACGAGCACUUCAAAUACGUUUGCCCGAUCAAACAUGGGGCCCCAUGUCUAAUUGACAACAUCUAAAUAAAUUGUAGCAGAGAAAAAGUCUUGCUCAUCGGGCAAGAUUAUAGCUCCAUCGGGCAAUAGCAACAUACUUUCAUCAAGCAUUCGGGCAAACUGCAAAAACAAUUCUGCACCCACCAUCCAACCUCCACGGUUUAAUCGUAGCCUCAAUGGUAGUCGUCGAAGUAGCCCGACCCUUGGUUGUAGGAGCUGGUGAGAGUUAGGGAGACAUGCAGAGUCUGUUGGUGGUGAACAGGGAAGACGUCACUUCCGUCGGGCAUGGUUAUGGUGGUCUCAUCGGGCACCACCAAUCGGGCAAGAUAACCCCCCUGCUCUUUUGCAAUAGCCAUUGAGAAGCUGUCUGAUAGAUUUUUGCACAGGAAAGCCAUGAUUUGGCUUUUUAUAAAACCUCCAAUUCCAAGAUUCUGGGUGAGAUUUUGUGGAAAAUGUAGUUUUAUUGUAUGGUUUUGGGUUCGGGCUAAAUACACCCAUUGGAUAAGAGAAAAGGUGGAAAGAAGGGUAAAAAUGGCUACUCACAAACUGCCCAACUCUUUAUAUUUUCUGUAAAAUUCCCCAGCAAGAAAACAAAAAGGGAAAGAAAGCAAGAAAAAACAAAGCAAGAAAGCAAAAUGUUUUUGUAAUUUUUGGAAUUUUUAAUUUUUAUAUCUUUUUCUUUGUAACAACACAAGAAACACACCAAGAAAACAGAGCCCUUUCGGGCAAACAGAAAAAGGAAAUUAAAGGCCUGUCAAGCAAGUUGGAAAAAGACAAAUAAAAAGAAAGACUUGUCAGACUUUCUUUAAAAAGAGUAAAACAUAAAAUGGACAAAAGCCCUUUCGGGCAAACCAACACCAAAGGAAGAAAUAUAAUCUUUUUAUUUUUCUUUGUUGUCCUUUUUUUUUUAAAAGCUAUACAUAUAAUAUAAUAAAAUAUACACCUACGAAAAGCCUUCGGGCAAAACACUUUUAUCAUAUAAUAUAAUAUAAUAAAUAUAGAUAUAUAGAUAUAAAAGUGUUUUGGGCAGCAGAAAGACAGGUGAGAGAGAGACAAGAAGGAAAAGAAAGGAAGAAAGAAAGAAAGAAAAAGAAAAGGAAAGAAAAAGGAAAAGGAGGAGAAGGGUACUGGAGAAAAAUGCACAAAAGAAUAACAUAAAAGAAAGCCAUUCGGGCAAAUUGGAUGAAGCCCCUUGGCUACUCAAGUGUUAUUUUUCUCUCAACACUCAAAUCUUUUUCUCUUUUUAAAAUUGAGUGUAGAGAGAUCAAACCCACCAUUUAAAUUGGCCAUGCUAUGUAGCUUGGGAACCAUAGGAGGUGGCCAUUCAUGUUUGAUCCCAAGCUUUGUCCUCAUUGAGAUCUCGAUGCGGACAACAUGCUUGUGUUGGCGGGGAAGAUUAUAGGAGCUAUUUUCUUCUUCUUCGGGCUCCACAUGAGGUGUGGGCUCAUGCCCCCCGAGCGUUGGUGUUUGGCCUACAACGGCUUGGACUUCUACAACCAUAUCCAUUUUCAUGGAUUUUUCCUUGGGUGGGGCCAUUGUUUGGCCUUCAUCAACAUGUAUGAUCUGUUCUUCCUUGGUUGUAGUAGGGUGAGUGUGCUUUGUAGAGGGGAUUUGACACAUUUGAUCUAUCAACUUUCCCAAAGUUUCUCCAAAAGUUGUAUAGCUUUCCUCCACCUUUUUAAAACACUUAGUCAUCUCUUCACCAUAUUCGAUGCUUGCCACAUGGAGUUUUGACACCUUCUCUAAUUUGCCCACAUCCUCUUUGUAGAGCUCUUCAUCCGAAUGAUCAUGAGUUGGCAUCUUAUAUAUUGGCUUUAUGUACUUAUUGGAAGUCUUUUGAUACUCAAAGCCAUUUGUUGGCCUAUCAUAGUAUUCAUGAAUAUGAUUGUCUUCAAAAGAAUAAUAACCUUCAUCAUAACCAUAAGUUGGCCAAUCUGUAAGAUCAUUAUUUAUUUGAUGGCCAUUAGUUGGCCGACAAUCAUGUUCCAUGGGACUUGAGUACUUUUCAGCCAUGUACCCAUAAGUUGGCAACUCAUAGGUUGGCUCUAUGUGAUAGCCAUAGCUUGGGCGCUCUUCCACACCAUCAUCUUCCGAAAAAGCAGAAAAAUCAUGAACAUAAGGAUUGUUCAUGAUCUAACUCCAUAUAAGGAUCCCACCGGGCGUGCCAAAAUAUGUUCGCUCCCUAAAUCCGCCAUGGCGCCUUGCGGGCAAGCCGGGGAUUUACUUCACAUAUGAGAUUGGUGGGUGCGGGCGUGCCACUACUAGAUGCCGCUAGUAGACGGGAUUUGAGUGAUUGAGGUUGCGCCUGAAUUUGCCCGAAUCAAGAGAUUGUGUCAUUUGAGUGGGAGUUGCUCAAAUUAAGGUUCUUUGUUUGCCUUAAAAAUAAGGACUUUACUUAUAUGGAGAGAUAGAACAAUAUGUAAAUGACAAGGUUGCUUGGAAAUGUAACUGACAGAGGAAAGUGACUAAUAUUGCAGAUUGCUUGUAAUUUAUAUGACUGGAAAUGAGUACAUAAAAGCUACAAAUGAAAUCGAUACUACAAGUGAGUAGCAGAGCUAAUAAACUAGAGAAAAGAAGGCUUUUUGGUGAAGGUUGAUCCCGAAAGGGAUGAAGGCUUGGUGCUGACUACAGCUUCGUUUGAAGGCAAAUCUGGCUUGAGCAGAGUUUUGGCUUUUGUUUGUUUGUUUGAGUGUCCAUAAUCCUUGUGCAGCUGCUCCUUUUUAUAGAGGUCUGGAGGAAACCCUCCUGCUGAGGUUUUGUAUCUGCCCGAAAGAAGCUUGGGCAGCUUGUAUUUCAUUGCUUUAGACAGCUUGCAUGCUUUUCACUUGCCAACUUGCAUGGAGAAAUAAUAUUAAAAGGGGAACUUGCAUUUCCACCACAAGCUUUUAGCACAUGUUUUCCCACUUGUAAUAAACUAACAUUUAAAAGAAGCAAGUUGGCUUCUUUCACAUGUUCCUUGCCCGAAAGCUUGCUGAUGCUUUUCCAUCCACUUGCAAUACAUGCAUGUAUCUUGAUUAAACAAAUGCUAGACAAACCUCCACCACCCAAACAAAUAGGAGAAACAAUAUUAUAGUGUCCAACCCCUCCACUUGCAUCUAAAUAUCUUUCCAAGUUAGCUUUCUUGCAUAUUAAUCCUCCAAAUGUCAUAUUUUACCCAAAUUGCCCAAAUAAGUAAAAAUGGGUAUAUUUUGAGUGCAAACAACAUGUCAACCUCCUGUACCACUUGUUGGAUUGAACCGUCGGUAGUCUGAAGCCAGAUAUAAGACUUCAUCAUCUGAGAAUGAGUUGGCACCGAUGUGGCUUUAGAAUUCCAACAUUACAAAGUACACGAAAAAUAUAAAACAGUUAAACAACCCACCCACCUUCACCCCCUCCAAAUAAACAAAAACAAAAAGAGAGAACAAAUUAACACUCAACAAGUAGAGGCGGCUACAAGCAUUCAAAAGAAACGAAAAACAGAAAACAAUCGAUUCGACUAUGGCUUGAAGAACAAAGAAAAGAAAACAUAAUGCAUUUAUCUAUUAAACACUAGACAAAGACGACAUAACAUAGUGGAAAAAAAGGAAGAAGGGGCAUAAAAAGAAUCACGAAGAACGCGUACGGAAAAGUGAUAAUACCUCAGGUUCAAUAACAGUCAUGUCACCUUCUGACAUUUGAACAAUCCCAAGUUCUGAGGCUUAAAAACUGGAGUGCAUCAGGCAAAAGAAAACAGCUUUAUGCUUCUUUUGCAGCAACUUGCUGAUACCCUGUUAAGUCAAACAAAAUUAUAAUUAGCAGCCCUUCUAUGCAAAUCCUUACCCAAAAUUAAAGUUUACACAAAUUUAACAUAAACCCAAGUUAGCUAGGGCAGUAAACCACCCUUUGCAAUCCCCAAGCCGUCGUUUAGAUUAGAUUAGAAUAUCGCUUUCAAAACAUAAACCCAGCUCUUACUUGCCAUGAAACAAUACAAGUUCCAAUUUUUCCUAACAAAUCUAUACUUCAUACAUAUAUAUUUCCACUAAACUUAAUUCCAUUUAUUCCCAAGUACAUGAAAAAGCAUUCUGGUGAUUAUAUUGCCCUAAAUCAAGUGAGAAAAAUUGCAAUUCAUAGGUAUUUUAGCUGAAUUUCUCGAUUAAACUAACUGUUAUUACCAGUAAAUGAUUGUUUUUCCUAAAGAUUUUAGUUCACCGAGCUCCGGAUUAAAGGGUACUUGGCAAUUUCAUUUUUCUAUUCAAUCAUUUCCAUUUUCCCGCACUUUCUGGGCAACCAAACAGGCAUACAGAAGAGAAAAAAAACAUGGUAAAGAAAAGCAAAAGGACAGACAAUUAAUUAACACGAAGGAGACAUACGAAAUGUACGGAUUCCAGGUAGGGGGAGCUUUGAAUUGCAGAGAUUUGGCGGUUGUCGGCGAAUCCCCAAAAAUGGAUAAAAUUGCGAAUAAAAUUUAGGAAAAAAAAAGAAAAAGAAACUCUCGUGUGACUGAAGUUGCGUCAAAAAUCAAAAGGUCUGCAAAUCACACGUCAGCGUUUCGUUAGGGUUUCCUGACCUCUUGUAUUUAUUUUGAUUUGAUUGAUUAGUGUUGUUUGUUUGUACAAUUCCUGGUGCGGGCCCACCUUAACCAACGGAUCAUAUUGAUCAUCAAUGUGACCUGGUAAUUAGCAGGCUUUGAUUGAAAAUGGUUCUUAUCAAUGAGGCCCGUACUCCCCUUGUAUAGUUGGACACUGAAUAUUGAGUUAAACCUCGUUGCAGUGAGAGGUUUUUGUGUGAGGCCAUCGCUGUUGGUGAGUCAUUUGUGUUGUGCGCAAGGUCUAAAAUUAUUCGACAGCCUGCUGCUAUUAUCACCAACUAGGUGAUCAAAAGUACGUCCAGUACUCUAAAAUUAUACAUGAGCAUCACUCAUGUCAAUCAUGCAUAAACACUCAUGAGCAUCACUCAUGUCAAUCAUACAUAAACAUUCAUGAACAUCAUUCAUGUCAACAUUCAUGAGCAUCACUUAUGUCAACAUCCAUGAGCAUCACUCAUGUCAAUCAACAUAAACAUUCAUGAACAUCACUCAUGACAAUCAGCUUUGAAAGUUUCAUUUACAGAGCUCCAACUUCAAGAGCUCCAGCUUCAAAAACUUCAUUUACAAAGCUCCAGCUUCAAAAACUUCAUUUACAAAAGCUCCAGCUUCAAAGCUUCACCUACAAAGCUUCAGUGCAUGGUUUACAAAGAUCGCCUCCGAACAACUGCCACUUCGGUCCAUACAUGGAUUGAAUUUGAAGUCUCCAGCCAAUAGCCUCUAUUGACUGAAGACUUGGGGGACUGCACUCUGUACCAUAUAUUGGGCUUCCACAACUAGGUCUCAUGAAAAAUACUUUGGGACUCUAGUCCAUUAUUUAUGUACUGAGGAGCGAACCCUUAUUCUAUAAAAAGGACUCCCUUACUUUCAUUAGAGAGCACACAUUAUUCAUGUACUGAGGAGCGAACCCUUAUUCUAUAAAAGGGACUCCCUCACUUUCAUUAGAGAGCACUCAUUAUUCAUGUACUGAGGAGAGAGCCCUUAUUUUAUAAAAGGAACUCCCUCACCUUCAUUAGAGAGCAUCUCCACCUGUUGAGCAACCGCCUCGCCCCGAGCAUCAACUCUUAGCCCAUCACUUAUGUAUUAAAGAGCAAGCCCUUAUUCUAUAAAAGGGACUCCCUCACCAUCAUUAGAGAGCAUCGCCGCCUAUUGAGCAACCGCCUCGCCGCGAGCAUCAACUAUAGCCCAUCAUUUAUGUAUUGAUGAGCGAGCCCUUAUUCUAUAAAAGGGACUCCCACACCUUCAACGCCACAAGCGGAGCCAACCAAGGCAACAUAAGCCACAAGCAGGGCAACCUCGCAACAUGAGCUACUUUUAGUUGAGCAUCAUUUCAGAUUGGGCACCGCCUCAUAUCGAGUAUUAGUUCUAGGCGACAUCUAGUUACUUCGGCCCACACGUGGACUAAAUUUCAAGUCUCCAGCCAAAAGACUCUCUUGACUGAAGACUUGGGGAACUACUGUUUGUACCAUACUUAGGGUAUCCAUAUUUAGAUCUCGUAUAAAUACUCGGGAGACUCAAAUGUAAUUAUGUAAUAAAUGGAGGGGCAAAUAUGUAAUAAGUGAGGAGCCCUUAUUCUAUAAAAUGGCUUCUUCACCCUCACAAACCGAAAGCUCUCAUCCUCACAAACAGAGAGCUCUCUCAAACUCUCUCUUUCUUUGGGGGACUCCCCCUCACCCUUGUAAUCCAUACGUACAGUUAGAGAGAAAUACAAUCAACAUCAGUGUGGACGUAGCCCAAACAUUUGGGUGAACCACAAUACAUCUUGUGUUCUUUACUUUCUUGCAGAUUCACGGUUGGAUUUACGUUGUUCCAAGACCCCUCCGGUUUUGUGCAUCAAAAUAAAUCAUAAUUCCCAUUUACGAAAUUUCAUAAUCACCCUGGAAUUUUCACCACAAACACAAUACAAUUUAUGUAUGUAUUUCACAUAUAAAACAUGAAUGCCACUUCAUUCACAAAAUAUGAAUUAAUACAACCACAAUGCAUUCCACAAUCCAUAUAACAAGAACUCAAGAAUAUUGCAUAUUGUAGAACAUGAUCAUUUGCUCUGAUACCAUUAAAGUUGUCACGCCCGAUCCCGACAUAUGUCCAAGAUCGAUACGUGACGUUACAAAAUACCCAUAUCACUCACACACCCCGCUUCUAGGAUAUGGACAAUGCACAACUCAAGAUUCAAAUUUCAUGAUAAUUUUUCUUAUACUUUAUGGUUGCAUCUAACCUCCUCGUUAGACUGUUUACGUACCCUCAAUAGGGAUCAAGCCAUUCGUAGUUCAACUUCGCUAUAACUCGACAUAUAACACAGUAUGUUCAAGCCAAAAUGCAUAACAUUCCUCAAUCAAACAUUUGGACUUGACAAGCAUGAAUUAUUCGAUUCAAACUACAUAACAACCCGCAUGACAAUCAAGGUUUCUAUUUCAUCCAUCAUAUAAAUCAUUAUGUUUCAACAUAAAAUUGCUAUUCAUAUCAUGUAAUAUAUCAAAGAAUCAACACAGCACAAUAGUAUCCUCUAGUCGCAUUAAUCAUUGAUCUAAUCAUAUUAAUAACAAUCAUAUUCAACAUCCUUCCACAAUCAUCUCAAGUAACCCAUUCCAUGAUAUCAAGGAGGCACGAUAUUAACAUUUAAUUAUGUUAAUCAAUCAAUCAAUCAAAUCACACCUCAAUGCACAAAAUUAAUAAAGGACUUCUACAUAGUUCUCUGCCUGGAUUUCAAGUAAUAACUUGAUAAUUCUAAUUUAUAUUCACAAGAUAUAUUAUGGGUACAUCCCAUUCAAUCGAAUCCAGGGAACAAGUCUAACUUAAGGAAAAGAGCAAAAGUAGGGAUAACGGACCACUCAACGUAAUCCAAAUCAGGAUACGAUUCCGAACCAUCACUCAAUGGAAUUGCGGAGUAGAAAGGAUUUUGGACCAUCUCUCAACGGAAUCUGAGUGGAUACGAUUCUGGACCAUCACUCAGCGGAAUCGCGGAGUACAAUGCAUAACAACCACUAAAUGAAACCCAAGUUGGAUACGAUUCCGGACCAUCACUCGACGGAAUCGCAAAAUAGAAGGGAUUCCGGACCAUCACUCAACGGAAUCCAAACAAGCAUAUGAUUCUCCCAUCAAAUGUACCAAGUACAACUAAUCCUCCUCACUUUUAGAAUGCAUAUGGUCCCCCAACGCGGAUUAACCAAGUAGGUAGUGACUCCCCAAAGUGUAUUAACCAAGCAGAGUCAUACCUACAAAACUGUUAGGCAAUGAUCACCUUAUGCGGAUUAACCAAGCAUGAUCACCCCUAAGUAUAAAUGGCCAUAAGGAUCACCCAACGCGGAUUAACCAAGCACGAUCCAUAAAUAGUAUGGUCCGCCAACGCGGAUAAACCAAGCAAGACCAGCCAUGCACCACGUCUACAUAGUGCAGUCUCAUCAUCACACCUUAUACAUAAUUAUACGCAUACAUACUAUCGAUUCCGCAUAUCAACCAGCAUUCAGUCAUAUGGAGCACAACACAAGGAAUUCCCUCAAUUACUAAUUCUACUAAAAAUCUAAUAAAGUACCUAACUCAUCUCCUGACUUUCAUCUCCAUCUCAUGCUAGGUAAUAGUGCAAAGUUCAAAUAAGUAUUCAGUUGGCAAUCAUAUCCAAAUAAUUAUCAAACAAUAUUUAGAUCCCAUAAUUGUCAUAACAUUCUUCAUAAUUAUCAUUCACAUUAUUAAAAGUUAAUUAAACACAUAUCUAUCACAAACAUCAUCAAUACACAAGCCAAAUCAUAUUUAAUUAGCAUAGGUCUAUGGCCAAAUAUAUAAAAUUCACAUUUCAAUAGAAAUCAUAUUUAUAAGACCAAUUCAUAUUCACAAAUGAUACUAAUAGUAGAAAUUAAGAUAAUAAUCAUAUUUCAUAUAUUCAAGUCGCUAUCUAACCAAUGUAGGCCCACUAGACUUCACUUAGUCCCUCAUGAUACUAAUUUUAGUAAUUAGGACGUUUCGAGACAUGUUGAUCAAAAGUCAACUUUUGGUCAAAGGUAGGGUCCACAAUUCUACACAAUUCAAUCCGGAAGAUCCACACCUUGGAUUUCGGAUAUGUAACUUUCCAAAGUCCACAUUAUGCUCAAAUAACAACAUGCUAAAAUCUUAACACGAUCCGACGAUUGGAUCUCCGCCAAUUAAAUUCAAGUGGCGAUCGACAUUUAAUUUUACAAACUUAGAAAUCCAAUUAGGGAAGAUCUGUAUGUCGGAUUCUCGAUCCGUAAGUUUCUAUGAUCCAAAAAUAUUAUGUUCUAUCACACAUUAAGAUUUGGUGACAAUCCAACGGUCGGAUCGUCGAAUCAUAUUUUUGACCUAACCACGUAUCGUAAUGAAAUUAGGUUCAAACAAUCAAAUCAUAUAAUAAGGAUAUCAAUUAUGAAAUCAGGGCAUCUAAUUGAACUUAAAAGGACAUCAUCGGCCCACUGGCCAGGCCGCCGCAGCACACGCCGUCGCGGGUGGCGGUCGGCCACCCCGACUUGUCGGAAAAUUCAACUAUUUUUAAAAAUUACUAAAAAUUAUAGAAAUGAAGAUCUCAAAGAGUAAAAAACUUUAUACCUAUGGCCAAGUUCAAUUUGGCCGGGAAACACUUCAAUUUCACUCAAACCCGCCGAAACCCUAGAAAAGGGUGUGCUUUGAUUCGGCUUCCAAUCGAACUCCGACGCCUCCAACACUACUUGAGCUUUGUUCCUGGGGUUGAGAGAAGUCUUUUGGUGGUGGUCAUGGAUGGUGAAACUUGUCGGAGCCACCGGGAAAAGGGAUAAAGCUGCCGGAACACCCGUGGGUUUGUGGCUUCGAACUGGAAAAAUGGGAAGGAAAUUGUGAAAUCUAACACUACCAGGAUGUAGGGCUCAUCAAAGGCUUUCCAUGGACACCAAGAUCACCCAAAACGGAGUUCGUAUGAAUAAGAUAUGGCCGGGUCAAAAAUGGUGGUUCGUAGGUCAAAAAAUGACCCAUUUCAGGUCCCUACUUUCCCCUCCUUCUCCUUCUCCUGAUUGGGCAGCUCCUAACCUUUUAAAAAUCUGAUUGGUUCCCUCCCUCUUCUAAUUGAUUGGUCCCUUAAUCCAAAUAUCUGAUUAGGCCUCUUUCCCAUAAAGUGGGAGUCUAAAUAAUUCCUAAAUUCUAUAGUAUCCCAACUUCAAACGCCCGUAACUAUAUCGUUAUAACCCGAACUCGUAAACGGCUUUUGCCUAUGCGUUCGUGAUCUCUAAAUCUAAUCAACAAUAUAAAUUGUGACCUUGAAUGGUCUACGGAUUUUAAAUAAUUAAUUUCCCAAAAAAUAAUAUAAAAACUCAAUAAUACCAAUACUUAGAUUAUAAUAAUGAAAUCCAGGAAUGGGAUUUCACAAUUUAUAUGUCUGUUCCUCCUGGUCUUCGGCGACAGUGGGAGAAUCUUGUGUGUCGCCUUCACAAGUCUCUUUAUGGUCUCAAGCAGGCUUCUCGCCAAUGGUUUGCCAAAUUCACUACUGCCAUUCUUUCCGCUGGCUUUCAACAAUCCAAAGUUGACUAUUCAUUGUUCACUAAAAAGUCUGGUACUUCUUUUACAGCCUUGCUCAUUUAUGUGUAUGAUAUUGUGAUUACAGGCAACGAUGUUUGUGCAAUUGAUUCUCUGAAGUCUUUUCUCCGUGAUCAUUUUCGGAUUAAAGACCUUGGUGAUUUAAAAUAUUUUUUGGGCAUUGAGGUUUCUCGUUCCAAACAAGGGAUUUAUAUUUCACAGCGCAAGUAUGCAUUAGAGAUUCUCAAGGAUUAUGAUUUUUUUUUAGCACAACCCAUUACUUUCCCUAUGGACGACACAAAAUUCUCUGAUAAGGGAGAACUUCUCAAGGAUCCUGAAAAGUAUCGCUGAUUAGUAGGACGGUUGAUCUAUCUCACAUAACUCGGUCGGACAUCACCUAUUAUGUGCAUGUUCUGAGUCGUUUUAUGCAUGAGCCAAGGAUACCUCAUAUGGAUGUUGCGCUUCGUGUUGUUCGUUAUUUGAAGGCUACUCCAGGUCAAGGCUUAUUAUUCCGUUCUGACAACCAAACCAAGUUAACUGCAUUUUGUGACUCUGAUUGAACAGGUUGUCCUAUCACUUGCCAUUCGACUACUGGGUAUUGUGUAUUCUUGGGCAAUUCUUUGGUUUCGUGGCGGGCAAAACGACAGGAAACUGUUUCACUUUCUUCAUCAGAAGCAGAAUAUAAGGCUAUGGCAAGUGCUUGUUGUGAGUUAAUUUGGCUUCGGUUUCUAUUGAAAGACUUGAACAUUCCUUUCGAUGGUCCUUCCGUUUUAUUUUGUGAUAAUCAAGCAGCAUUACAUAUAGCAGCUAAUCCUGUUUUUCAUGAGCGGACUCAUCACAUUGAGAUGGAUUGUCACUUUAUACGAGAUAAGAUUGCAGAUGGCACUAUAGAAACCAAGUAUGUUGGUACGGCACACCAGUUGGCGGAUUUGUUUACCAAGCCUCUCGGGAAAGACAAGUUUUCGAGUAUGUUACGCAAGUUGGGAGUUCUUGACAUCCACUCUCCAACUUGAGGGGGGGUGCUAGACAAGUAGAAACGUAGUUGGAAUCUAUGUAUAAUUGUAAUCCUAGUUAUAGUUGUAUUCCUAACUUGUGGGAUAAUUUCUUGCUGACCAAGUUAUGUAAUUGUAUAUAUUUGUGUUUCACGUAUCAAUGAAAUGCGCUUCAAACCCAUAUAUCUUUUUCUACAUAUUUUAAAUUGCAUACAAGCAAGCUUCCGCCAUUUAAUUGUUGAAAGUAUGCCAUUUCUUGCUUAAUGAACUUAGAUUUUCAUAAAUUUUCCUUCAGUUAUAUGGAUCCCCAAGCCUUCCGGCAGAAAUUCAGCAAUAAUAAACCUGGGUUUUGGUCACAUUCGCUAUUGAAGAUAAACCAACUUCGACAACCCGCUGCAGCGCAACCCACGAGGUCACCCACCUUCAGCCCUCGCGGUUUGAAGUUUCGAUCGCCACGAUGCCAGCCUUAUUCCACAAUAGCAGCAGCACUCCAGAGACCCGUCGCUGCAACCCAUGAAGCUUCAACCCGCGGUUCGUACCACCAGACCCCAGCCGCAACCACAUUUGAAUCCCUCGGCAGCCGUCCCCCGAGCACAGCUUUCCCCGCGACGCAACUGCAGCUCAACCCACGACCAGUUUCGGUCACGAGCUUCGAGUUCAACCUUUGGUGGUCUCGCGUUUCCCAGAUCUUCAGUCAUGAACAAACGAUGGUCUUUGUGCAGCCCGAAAAGGCGGAGAUCGACGAGGAUAAGGAAAGAAAUGGAUGAAGGGAUAAGGAAGGAAAGAGAGAGUUGUGUGGCUGUGCGACCGUUUGGAUGAGAGAGACGGAAACAACAAUAGAAAAGGCGCUGGCUGCUGCAACAAGAAGGCUGGGUCCAAACUUGAGCCUAGUGGCCGUCCAGCACAAAAGGGAGAAGGUGCUGCAAUGGUUAAGCGGCGUGGGCCUCCUCUCCUCUUGGCCUUGAGCUAUUAAAAAUAAAAAAUAAAAAUCAGGGAGGCAACAAAGAAAUUGAAUAAAACAAAGAUAUGUGGCCUUAUAAAAGAAGGCUCAAAUGUACACCAGAAGAAGGAAGGCAGAGAAUUUUUGAAAUUUGUGUUCCUUCGGUGACUCGGGAAAUUAAGACACCUUCUUUAGCAACUCUCCUUAUUCGGAGAUUUCGACAGACUCCACUAUAUGCUACUACAUUUCGAUAGUCAUAAGUUUCGUAAUUACUCAAUGACUUGGAUUUUGUAAGUCCCAACUAAUAAACUUUCCUCACUCGAGAACUUGGGAGAGAACUAUUUGUAUUAUACUUGACCAAUCCUGAAACUAUCGUGCAUUGGUCAACUUCCUACCUUCAAGGACCCACUGAAGGGUUCGUGCUGAGGCACUCCUGCCGAAGCACAAGAGUUUCUCUCCAAUUAGAAUGCCAAUUUAGUUCCUGAAUUAUCACAUGAGUGAAAAUUAGGUCCCUAACUUCUUCUUUUUUCAGAAAAAUUAGUCUUUGAAUUAUAAAACUCGGUCAAUUACAUCCCUAAUAUUAGAUUUGAAGCUACGAUAUUCAAUUUUCCAUCAACUUAAGUCAUGGUACAUGCAUGUGAUACACAUUUGAGGGUAGAUUGGUAAUUUUACAUAAAGAAUAGUGUUUGGUAAUUUUACUUAAGUUGAUGAAAAUUGAAUAAAAAAAGCUUUGAAUAUAAUAGUAGAGAUGAAAUUAGUAAUUAACCGAAAAAUAAUUCAAGCACCUAAUUUUUACUAAGAUAACAAUUCAGGGACAUUUUAUCCUAAAUCAAUUGCAUCUUUUGGGUUUCUCACCACUCCUUGAAACAUCAAUUCAUUUAUGCACUUCCAAAUUCUCCAAAGAACAAAAACCACCUCCUACAUAAUCUCCUCUCUCCGCUGCUCAUCCUUACAUCGCAUACCAAUAUACUCCAACACGCACGAAAAUCAAUCCCCACAAACGCCGUUGCAUCCAGUUGUAAUGAGCAGCAAUACCAAAUGACACGACUAAAUUUACACCCAAAAAAUAGGUGUUCUUCCAUUUCCUCAGCACACCCACAAAGGACACAUGAAUUGUCCACUCUCAUCCUCCUACGAAUUAGAUUGCACCGAACAGCCAUAGAGUUGUUACAACACCUCCAAAUAAAAAAAACUUCAUUUAUUUGGCACAUGUAAUCUCCAUAUAUUCGGAUUAUUGUUUAAGUGUCGAUUAACGUGUUUAUUUCUUAUUGGUGACACAUAAUUUGGUUUGAAAUUGACUUAUAAAUUUGGUUAAUCUAGCAUUACUCACUAGACACAGUCAGACUCAUUCACAAUCUAACAAAUGUCCCUAACUUAAGCCAUUUGUCUCCCCAAUAUACUUGGGUGUAGAAAACUGAUUAUAGCAGUAUGCUUCUAUUGAACUUGAACUCAAUGUUCUAAACCUUCUUCCCAUAAUUUAGAUUAGAUUAGAAUAUUGCUCAAAUUAGAAAAUUUAGAUUAGAUUAGAAUAUUGCUCAAAUUAACAUUCUUCCCAUAAUUUAGAUUAGAUUAGAAUAUUGCUCAAAUUAGAAAAUUUAGAUUAGAUUAGAAUAUUGCUCAAAUUAGAAAAGCUAGAUGUAGCCCCAAACUUAAUCCGCAUGAUGAACAUGCAAAGUAUGAUUACGUUGUAAACACUUAUUUAAAUAAUAUUGAUCAUUCUUGCUAUAAUAUCUCACCUACUGAAGCGUGCACAUUGCCUCGCUUUUAAAAAUAUUAACUUUCAUCCAGAUUUAGUGGUUGACUAGAAAGGAUAAUACUUUCGAAAGUUGUUGCUUUAAUAAAAUUAUUUUACACUAAGAUUUCCACACCUUGGUGAAUCAAAAAAGUAGUUUGGCGGAAAGCAAAUUUUUUAAUCAAAAAAGUAGUUUGGCGGAAAGCAAAUUUGUUAAACACUCGCCUUUGUUUUGGUUGCUUGUAUUUUAUCAAAACUUAGUGGGUGGGCAAUGCAUAAUUCAAUAUUAUAAUGCAUAUAGAUUAUUGGGCGAACUAGAAAAAGCAGUAAAUUAGGUGGAAAGAAAAUUUGUUAAGGACUCACCUAUAUCUGGUGCAUAAAAAAACCUCAUUUUAUCAAUCAUGUUGUCUAGUGAAAUUAUUGUAUAGCUUAGUGCUUGAUGUAGUUUAUCAAGUGGAAUUAUUCUGCUUUCGUAGCUGAUUGUGCUUCUUCUUGGUCUUAAUUUGACUCUAAUGAACAUGGUUGAACUUGAAGGAAUGUACAGCUUCAAAGUGCUUUACCCUAGGAUUUCAGUACCUUGAUGAAUAAAAAAAAUAGUUUGUUGGAAAGCAAAUUAGGUAAAGACUCACCUAUAUGUGGUGCAUCAAAAAGUUUCAAUUUAUCAAUUAUAAUGUCUACUGAAUUAUUGUAUAGCGGGCAUUUCUAAUGGGGACGCUAAAUGGUGUCUCCACAACCUUAUAGCCUCUAAAUAUAUGGACAAAGGGUUUUCAAUAGGCUUCUAAUGAGCUGGACUAAAGGUUGUUACAGUAUCCUAGUGUAUAGAGACUCGCCGGAUACCUCAAAAAAAAUCUCAAAUGUAAAGACCGCAUAGGGACUCAAAUAGUACGCCCAAAUGUUGAUUUUGAGUGGGAAACAAACCUCACCCACGUGAUAAUGUUGCACAGAAGCUUCUCUCACCACCAAACUGACGCAACAUCACUCAUGGACCCUUACCGCACUUGUGUCAUUUUCUUUUCUUUUCUUUUUUUUUUGUUGAACCAUUGAGAAACCAACGGUUGAGUUUUUUUUUUUUUUUUUUUUUCUUGUUUUUAUUAGCAACCACAAUACUCUAACGAAAUUAACAAUGAUUUUUUUUUAAUAUUUUAGUCCCUACAUUUAAAGAUUCUAUUAUAAGGUCUCCCAUUGAAGAUGCUCUUGGUACUCGAUGAACUUUAUCAAGUGGAAUUACUUUGCUUUCCUUAGUAAUUGUACUUGGUCUUAAUUUGACUCUAAUGAACAUGGUUGAACGUACUGCUUUUAUUACUACACAUGAAUCCCUGCAUUGGAUGCAUUGAGAAGAUUUUACAUCAGUGUGGGGAUCAGGUUUGUUGUUGAAUUUUGGGAUGUUUGUGGCACAUUGAUAUUCAACAGGUCAUGGAGAUAUUCAUACUUCAAGUACUGCAAUGUUGUAAACGAUGGGGUUUAGGAAAGGGUGGAGUUGACAGAUAAUACUUUGAUGUUGUUUUUGUGGAUGCAAAUUUCUUCCUCCUUGAUUUUGGACAAAAUUGCACCUACAAAACAAUUAACAUCUUAGGUCAAGGCCAAGAGCCUCAAGGGCCCAUGAUGAAUGGGGGGCUUUGGCCGAAGAACCUCCGAUGCCAAAGUUAGAAUUUAGAGAGAAAAAGUGUUUGAGAAUUCUAGAGAAUUUUAGCAAGAGUUGGAACUAGUUUUUGGGAGAGAAUGGUGAGCUAUAUAUAGGGAUACGGGCGGCCCUAUUAGGAGAAUAGAGACCGGUCAUUUAGGUAUUUUUGGUUGUAAAUUGUGGUUGAUUAGCCAUUAAUAGUUUAAUUAGGCAAUAAAUCUAUUAAUGGACUAAUUGACAUAUUUUGAAAGAAAUUAUUUGGGGAGUUAUGGAAUGAUUAAAAUAAUUAGCUAAUUGAUUAGCUAAAAAUGGAAAAAUGAGGUAGAAAAUAUAUGGAAUGAAAUAGGUUUUGGGAGUUACCUUGUAGAAGGGAUUUGAUGAGAUAGGUUUUGAAUUGUUACCUAUUUUGGGCACUUUUGAUUUAGUUGAAGGAUGAUUGCUCGCUGCUCGUGCAUAGGAAUCUCGUUGUACCUCAAGGGUAUUUUUAUCCUCUUUUAUCCAAAAAUCCACGUGUCGCAUUAUGAUUACUUUUGGCUCCACAGUUUUAGCAGCAUCUUUUUGGCUCAUGCAUAUCUUGGUGACACUCCUGCAUCUACCAUUCAGUUGGAGACGGAGAUUGGUGACUGCACUUUUAAAAUUAUGACGGACAACUACUAGUGUACUUAACUUGUAUUUGAUUUUGUGGCCUUGUCUCAAUGUCGACAAUUUGCGCACUAUAUUUUUACUUUUGAGGAAGCAGCAUAUGAAAGAUUCAUGCCAAAGGGUAAGGCAAAUACAUGUAAAAAUAUGAAGACAAAAAAUCACUAAUUCAAGUCAAUACAUUUUCUAUUUGCAUUGUAGAAAUUUUGAUUUUGUUCAUCACUUAUUGUCUCCUCUUGUAUGAAAAAGUUGUUCUUUCUAAUACCAUGGAAUUUUUUAUUUUGCAUUGUGAAAAUUUUGAUUUUGUUCCGCUUUUUACCGUGAAUUCGGCAACUAUUUUCGUCGAGUGAAGUAUUGUCACGUCCUGGACUCGAAAUGAGUGAAAGAAAUGAUCUCGGGCCCGUGUGUGAAUAAAAAUAAAAUAAAUAAAAAGAAACUAAAACAGGUUUGAAAACUAGCUCAUUUAAAAAUGAUGCAGAAGAAUAAAUAGGCUGGUAAGCUGAAAUGAAUGGAAAAUUGAUUUAUUUAAUAUACGAGUCAACUACACAAUAAAUCAGAAUUUACUAAAAUACAAUAAUCACCAUUCAACUUCACGUAAAUUUCACGAAUCCCUUAAUUCUCUAAAUUGAUUUGCAGCCUUAGAUGCUUGGAUUCGACUCCCUGAUCACUGAUGUGAAAAUUGUACUGUAAUCCGACUUAACUCAAGUUAUGAAAAUACAGUAAAGAAGUUGGAAGGCUACAAAGUUCCCUCUGUCUCACUUUCCUUCUUUUUCUUCGGAUCUGAAAACUAGGAAAACAAAUGUUGUUUUCCUCUUCAUUCUUUUCUCUUUCUUUGUGGUCCAAUCAAAAUCCUUCAUAUGUGACCCCAUGUCAUCCUUCAUAUGUGGCUAGCUAUCAAUUUGUCACGUGGCCAAGUCAACCAUUUGUCGUUGCCAAAUGUCAAUCAUUUGGUCAUCCUCUAAACUAACAAAUAUUCCGAAAGAUACUAUCAUAUCACCACUAGUUUCAUCCUACUAUUUCCGGAUCAUCAAUUGUUCUCAAUCAAAAUAAUAUUUUUUUCCGAUAUCUUAGUCGUCCGAAAUAACGACUACUUGUGAAACAUUAAUAAUUUCAGGGUUUCACAACCUUCAUCUACUCUUCACGAUCUUCAAGUUGGUAUACUUUGUUCCUGCAUUAAUAGUCGUUUUGGAGUCGGAUGUUUAGAAACCUAUAAAGCUGGUUUUGGCCGGUGAUUUUGGUCAGUUGCCGUCUAGAAUUGAUUGUCGUGAUAGUUAUAAAAGUUAAUCCUUAUGUUGAGUUCUAUAUGCCUGUACAAUUUGGUGUGUCAGAAAAUUGGGUUUCUAGUUUCAUAAUCAUAUCAACACUAAAUCAGGCCCAGAAAGGUGGCGUUAGAAAAAUCUGUAUGUCCCUCAAAACUUGUAGAAGGAACCUUCCUUAAAAAUCACCAUCUUGACCGGCUUAUAGAACAACUAAGCCCAAAAUUUCAAACUGACAGCACUGCGCAGUCAACCUUCUUUUCUUUGCUACAGUCAAAUGGCAUGGAAUAAAAAUCUUGAAUUUUUACACUAUUAACUUGAAAGAUCACAAACACACAUAAUUACUUCAAAUUCCUUUUUUUGAUAACUUUUUUCCCUACAAACGAAAUAUAGAAUAAAGUAUUAAAAUUAUACCAAAAUAGUUAAUAAAUUAUAUCUAAGACUAUGGUAAAAAUAUAGAAUAAUGUUGACUCAUCAGCAAGUAUUGAAAUAAUAGUUUAACACAUUUUUAUUUGGCCUAUCGAUUCACCAAACAUAUACAUACACAUAACUAGAGACAGCAAGAGAGAGAAUAGUGGGAAUCAUUCAUCCCACAGUCCCACGCAUGGAUUCUCCCCAAUUCAACGAAAGUCCUCUUCCUUAUGUACACAAAAUAACAACAAACACGUUUUUGAGUAAUUAUAUAUCUGCCUGCCCCUUUUACUUUUGACUUUAAAGAAAGCGGCCCAUGCGAUGUACGAUUCAUGCCUAACUCUAAAGGCAAAUACAUUAUUCUAACAAACUAUUAAAACUUAAUAGAGGUAAUUUGGAUUUCAGAGAAUUUUAAUGGAUUUUUUUUAAGUGAUAAAUUUGAAAAAAAUUUAAUAGAUUCAUAAUUUUACGUGGAUUUUGACAAAUGUAUAUGGAUUCCUAUUAUAGAUUUUUAUGGAUUUGAAUGGAUUUCUUUCAUGGAUUUCUUAGGAUGCUAGUUGACUCCUACAACAUAAAAUGAAUUUCUUUCGAGUACACAAUAUGAAAAGAACAUAAACUGAAAGGAACAUAAACAUAUAUCUAUUGAUAUAGAAUACAAACCAAUCAAAUAUGUAAAUAGAAUGGGUCAUUGAGAAUAUUGAUCCAAGAGUUUGAAUAAUUGUAAAUGAUAGCUUCUGCUUUAGAACAUCAUAUCCAUUCAAGAAUGAUGAUUUCAAGUUUAAGAACAGGAUAUCCAAUCAUGAAUAAUAAUAUAUGUGAAAGAAUAUCAAAUGACAAUCGAAAUUGAGUAGGGACAUAUUUGGGCUGCAAAAUCCUGGGAUAAAAACAUUUUAACCAUGACAAAAAAAAAAAAAAACAUUUGAACUCAAACAAAAACAUGGUCACUAAUUUGCGGGAAAAAAAGGCUUAAAUCAAAAGUGCAAAUGGGAAAAGCCCAACUUAGAAAAAUCAGAAGUGCAAAUGAGAGAAUCUCAAUUCGGAAAAAGCACGAGUAUGAAGCAAAACAACAUACAACUAUAAUCCAAAUUAAAAAAAAAAAAAAUCAUGGUCCAAUUGUUACUCAUCUUCCCAGAGGAACAAACCAAGAGCAUGAAUUCAGAAAAAUACAUAAACAAUGCGAAAAACGGGGAGUCUACCGGGAAAUGCUCUAAAGUCUAAACUCAUGGUAGGAUUGUCCACUUUCUACUGUUUGGUGUGAAAAGAAAUCUUAGGGGGAGGGUAGGAUUGUCGAUACCAUUUGGGUAUUUAGAUCACCCACUCUCAAAUCCAUUAAAAUCCUUCAUUCACAAAAAUUCUAACAAAUGUUUGACAUUUCCACUACAUCUAGAUUUGUAUGGACUUUUAAAACUUUUGAUUGACUACCCAUGAAUUUGGAUAUAUUUUUUAAAUCCUCCUAAAUCUUAAUUUGACUACACCAUGAUUUUAAAAUCUUUUAAAAUCCACAUUUAAACUCCUAAUUGACUACACGCUGAUUUUAAAGUUUAUUAAAAUACUACUAAAUCCUAGUUUGACUACAUCCGAUUAGUUUCCCAACCAACAUUUAUUCACACCCAACACAUUACACUGUCAGGUGUUUUUCCAUACCACGAGUCCUGACCAUUUGAACUACACUUGCAGCUUUCCUUUUGCUCCUAAAUCAAAAUCCUGAAUCCACAGUUUUUCUUCUUCCUUCUUCAAUUGUCUUUUGGUUGAUUUAGUUCAAUUAAGAUGGAGGGUGACGGAAUCAAGUGCUUGAACAAACUCUGUCGUGCUUUAAUUGGGGUGCUAAUUUUACUACAAUGUGUUGUCAACCCUUCCCAUUCCCUUGGAUUCAAUAAUAUUUCUUCAGGAGGAGUGACGAGGUGCUUUGAGAGGGAAAGAGAAGCACUCCUUGCUUUCAAACAAGGCCUCGUGGAUCACUACAAUCUCCUCUCUUCGUGGGGAAGAGAAGAUCACAAGCAAGAUUGUUGCAAAUGGGUAGACGUCCACUGCAGCAACCGAACCAACCAUGUUACUCAACUUCAUCUUGGACGGGAAAGUCUCGUGCAUGUCGUACAGCGUGUCCCGCCUCCCCCGGUUCUCAGGGAUGAAACCAGAAAUUUAACUAAGAGGGGGCACCUUAAAAAAUUUGAGCUCAUUUUUUUGACAAAUAAAGUUAGUUCUUUUACAAAUGUUGAAAAAAUUAAUUACAAAAUGCCUAAUUUUAUUACUCUAUUGUCUAAUUUUGUUUUUAAUUGUUGACAAUGUAAUGCUCAUUUGUACUAAUUAACCAAAUACAUGUAACUCAAUAAGGUUUAGACAUUAGUGUGUGAAAAAAAUAUACAAGACGGAUGAGCAUUUGAAAACUAAAAAAAGAUUUUCACUAUUUUAAUAUAAUUAAUUGAAUAAUCUGCCAAGCAAAAAAAAUAGGAAUGAUUAAUUGAAUAAUUUGUCCUGAGAGACCACGUGUCGUGAGCCGUUCCUGCUGCGACUCAGCGCUUUGUUCGCAGAGAUGAGCGAUAGGAUCGUCCCCGUGGCGGUCGACUGUAAGCAGAGCAUGUUCUACGGGACCACCGUCCGUGGGGUCAAGUUCUGGGACCCCUACUUCUUCAUGAACCCGAGGCCGACGUACGAGGCCACGUUUCUGGACCGGCAGCCGGACGACAAGUUUCUAAUUCCACAAAAUACAAAAAGACUUAAAAAAUGUAAACAGAAUGAAACAAUCAACGCGGAAUUGUGUUGAUUGUUGCAGGCUUUGUCAUUAUUUUGGAGAGAAGAGUCAACGUCUAAUUACUACACCUACCUACAGAAAAGUAGGUGGUCCACUCACACAUGUUCCAUACUUGACCAUCUGAAUCAAGACAACUCAGUGUGUGGAUCGUAUUGUGAACUAUUACGUAGUCACCCAGCCUUAUAAUACACUCGCAUCUUUCCUUGUGCUCCUAAAUCAAUACUGAUUGUACACUUCUUCUUCUUCAUUCUUCAAUCAUCUUUGCCUUGAUUUUGUUGAAUUAAGAUGGAGAAUGACGGAAUCAGGUGCUUGAAGAAACUCUUUCACACUUCCAUUGUGGUUCUACUUUUUCUACAAUGUUUCAACCCUUCCCUAUCCUCUGGAUUCUAUAAUGUUUCUUUCGGUUUCGGAGCAAUUGGCCACCGGGUGGUGACGAGGUGCAUAGAGAGUGAAGGGGAAGCACUCCUUUCUUUCAAACAAGGUCUGAUUGAUGACUACAAUCUCCUCUCCUCCUGGGGAAGAGAAGAACACAAGCAAGAUUGUUGCAAAUGGCUUGGCAUCCACUGCAGCAACCGAACCAACCAUGUUGCUCAACUUGAUCUUGGAUGGAAUCAUAUGAAUGAAGUUUACUCACUUCAACAGAAAGAACAGCAGGAGUAUCCCGAAUAUUACUUUCAAGGUAAAAUGAUGAGUCCUAAACUAAUUGAGUUGAAGCAUUUGAAAUAUUUGGACUUUUCUUCCGUUAACUUCACUGGGACCCAGCUUCCAGAUUUCAUUGGUUCUCUUUCCAAUUUAAGACACCUCGGUCUCUGGGAUGCUUCUUUUGGUGGUCGAAUUCCAACUCAGAUCGGAAACCUUACCCACUUGCAAUAUCUUGAUCUCAGAUCCAAUCACUUUGCUAAUAUAGAAAACCUGAAUUCAUGGUUGCCUCGUCUUUCUUCUUUAAUAUAUUUGGACCUGAGUUUCAACAAUCUUAGUAAUGUUCCUGACUGGUUGGAAAUAGUUAGUAAGCUCCCUAAACUUACAAACUUGUCUCUGUCUUCUUGCAGUCUUCCAUCUCCUCUAAUUCAUUCCAGUACUCUUUUUAACAUAAAUUCUUCUAAAUCUCUUGCUCAUGUUGAUCUCAGUUACAACCAACUCACAUCUUCUUCCAUAUUUCUUUGGUUGUCCAAAUACAAUGCCAGCCUUGUUCAUCUUGAUCUCAAAUACAAUAACUUUGCUAAUGUAGAAAAUCUGAAUUCAUGGCUGCCUCAUCUUUCUGCUUUAACAUAUUUGGACCUGAGUUACAGCAAUCUCAGUAAUGUUCCUGACUGGAUGGAAGCAGUUAAUAAGCAUCCUAAACUUACAAACUUGUCUCUGUCUAAUUGUGGUCUUCCUUCUCCUCUAAUUCAUUCCAGUACUCUUUUUAACAUAAAUUCUUCUAAAUCUCUUGCUCAUGUUGAUCUCAGUUACAACCAACUCACUUCUUCCAUAUUUCUUUGGUUGUCCAAAUAUAAUUCCAGCCUUGUUCAUCUUGACCUCUCUUACAACCAGUUAACUGGCUUAUUUCCCGAUGUCAUUGGAAACAUGAGCUCUCUUGCAUAUCUAGAUCUCUCUUCUAACCAAUUUGAAGGGGUGAUUUCAGAAAGUCAUUUCUCGGGUCUCUCCAGAUUAAGAUCUUUGUAUCUGUCCUCUACCUCACUAACUUUAAACUUCCAUUCUAAAUGGGUUCCUCCCUUCCAAUUGGAUUAUAUAAUCUUGGGGUCUUGCAAGAUGGGUCCACAUUUUCCAAAUUGGCUUCAAACUCAGAAAAGUUAUUGGAGCCUUGAUAUUUCUAAUGCAGGAAUUUCUGAUAUCCUUCCAAGUUGGUUUUGGGAAAGGCUGUCUCAUGCUCGUGAAAUUGGUUAUGUAGAUCUCUCCAACAACCAAAUCAGAGGAACAAUUCCAAACUCGCAAAUCAAUUUUGUAUGUUUCUCUCGUCAACUAAAUUUGAGUUGGAACCAAUUGGAAGGUCAAGUCCCUCCUUUCCUAUUGAAAGCCUCGUCAUCCCUCUUUCUCUCCCACAAUAAAUUUUCAGGGUUGUUUUCUUUCUUGCUUCCAGUUAACGCAAGUCAUUUAAGAUUGCUUGAUCUCUCGAGCAACCAUUUACAUGGAGAACUUCCCGAUUGCUGGACUCAUUUCAAAAAUCUUUUAAUUCUUGAUUUGAGUGACAACCGUUUUUUUGGGAGACUUCCUACCACAAUGGGCUCUUUAUUAUCAAUUCAAACAUUGAACCUAAACAAUAAUGGAUUUGUGGGAGAAUUGCCUUCAUCUUUGGAGAACUGUACAAGUCUCAUGGUUUUUGAUGUUGGAGAAAAUAAAUUAUCAGGUUUGAUACCUAAAUGGUUAGGGGUUGGACUUCCAAAUUUGACUAUCCUUAUCCUCCGUUCUAAUCACUUCUAUGGAAGCAUUCCAUCACAGUUGUGUAAUAUGGGAAGCAUUCAAAUUUUGGAUUUCUCGAUGAAUAACAUCUCCGGAAGUAUACCCAAAUGUCUCAACAGUUUGACUAAUUUGGCUCUAAGAGGAAGUUCAAGUCUAACUAUCAGUCAUUACUAUAAUGUAUCCUCGAGUGGUCUCGCUUUUCUGUAUGACGACGAGGCAUCCUUGAUAUGGAAAGGCAUAAUGUCCAAAUACAAAAGUACUUUGGGGCUUGUAAAGAGUAUUCAUCUAUCAAGUAACCGAUUAACGGGGGAGAUUCCUAGUGAAAUCACUGAUCUUGUGGGGUUAGUUUUUUUAAACCUGUCAAGAAACAACUUAACAGGUCAAAUAACUCCAAAAAUCGGGAAGUUGCAAUCUUUAGAUUUGCUUGAUUUGUCAAACAACCAAAUACAUGGUACAAUUCCAACAAGUCUUUUCGGAAUAUCUGGCCUUGGUAAGUUGGACUUGUCCAACAACCACCUGUCUGGAAAAAUUCCCAUGGGGUCUCAGCUUCAAACCUAUGAGCCCUCUGUUUUUGCGGGAAAUCCUCUCCUUUGUGGAAUUCCACUUCAGACGUGUUUUCCUGAGGAAACAACGCCGGCAGAGCAACCAGUGGUUAAGAAUCAAGAUGAAGAUAAUGACGGGUUUAUAACAACUGGAUUUUACGUGAGUUUGGGGCUUGGAUUUGUCGUUGGAUUCUGGGGAGUUUGUGGGAGUUUGAUAUUGACAGGUCAUGGAGAUACACAUACUUCAAGCUCUUGAAUGGUUUAAAUGAUUGGCUUUAUGUCAAGGUGGCAUUGCUCAAGCAACGAAGAAUGCUCGAUGAAUAAGCUGUAAGUAUACUGUCGCAUAAUGAAUAAUACUGCAAUUAACAUACAUGUCCUCCUCUCUUUUUAAACUCCCGGCUAACGGCUAACGCCUGUAAUUUACUUGAAUUUUUGUAGCUCGUCCAUCGGCUUCUUUGGUACGACAUGCUAACCCUUUCGGCUUUCGGUUUGAGAAGGAGCCUGAAGAAGAAGAAUGCAAUAACUUUUAAGUUGUGGUGGAAUUUCUCCAAAUUCAUGAGUGGGAAAUGUAUUUGGUUCAUUGUCGAGUUGUAAUUUUACACAAGUAUUUAUGGUUUUAGUUUCAAUUUUUCCCAAUUUGUUAUGAAUUAAUGGAUGAAUAGACUGCGUUCCAAAUUGAAAGCCAGGAUUGAAGAGCUGUGUGCAAGAGACUAAAAAGAGUGGCACUAAACGAAGACCAAAAAGAGUGCCACUAAACAAUGGACAUGAAUUAAAAUUUCAAAACUACAUUGAACUUGUUAAACAAAUUCAAAAAUAAGUGAGACGACCAGUUUGUGUAAUCUCAUACAAGCUUGUGAUAAACGAACAAGUUUGGCUCAUGAAAACAAAGGCAAAAUUAUUUUUUUUUUUAUUUAUUUGUUGCCCUAACAUACCAAACAGUAGCCCCCAAAAUCCGACUCCAGCUAAUUACCCCAACAAAAUAAGAAGAUUAAAUUAUGAAGAAAGGAAAAAAUAAUUAUGCUUGGGUCCAAAUAAAUGAGAAUUGGAACUCUUGGUAGCCUGUUAGCAUCUGGUCAAAAUUGUUCCAGCCUAUGGCUGAUAAGAGUUUUGUUCGAGCCGUUUCCACUCUGGAUGUACUCCUGUAUGCACGAGAGGUAAGAUGAGUAAAAGGGAAUGUAAUGCUGAAUAAGUGCUCUAGUUUAUUGUUUGUGGCUUGUUCUGAUCCUUCAGUAGAACGAUGCAGAAGCAGAUAAAAUAGUGUAUUCGAAUAUUGAUCAAACAUUCAGGAUUGGUACAAUACUAGUGGAAUUAAGCUUGUCUGAGUGAGGGAAUAUCACUAAUCAAAUAGCUAAUGCACAGCUAACUUGACUGAAAAGGGAAGGGAGGAAAUAACGAUAUCCAUAUCAAUUCCCCUCACUUGGUAAAAUAAGAACGUGACAGAAACAGAACAGCCAAUUAUGAAUAACCAGGAAUACGAAAAGAAAUUCUAAUGCAUAAUAUCAAUCAGCCCAUGAAAGAAAAAAAAAAGAGAUUUUGGAAAACCACAUGUAGGAGACAGGGAAACAGAUUAUACUUUCCAACUUUCGCUCCACAACUAUAUGCUUUUACGGAUAUCAUAUAGUAAAGAGGAAUGUUGAAAAACAAUUUCUUUUCGGGUUGCAUAGGUAAGUUUCACAGACCCACCGGGAUUAGCAUUCGCCCUCCACCCUUGGUCUUAAGGAAAAUGGCAUGUCAUUAGGUUCAAAAGCUAGUUGAAAGGAGAAACAUGUAAAGCAUUUGUAACCUUACCAAAAGAAACGAAAAUACCUUAGCACAGAUUUACUUAUGUGACAAGAGAUUAUGUAUCAGGAAAAAAACAAUGGUAGAAGCUUUCGGAAGGAAACAAAAAAGUAAGAAGAAAGAGAUCAUACAAGCAUAUCUUCUGAAAGAACUGUUUCCAUUAAUGGAAAAUGGUACAGGCCUCCUUUCCUGACCCAAAGAUAGGAUCUCUUGCAUCCUUUCAGGCCAGUCUGAAUUUAACCUCCGAGCAAAAUCUUCAACCUCCCUGAAUAACGAUUUAAGAAAAUAUGUAACAUUAGCAAGAACAAGUUUUGUCCCUAUAAAUUGCGUAUUUACAUGCAGAACCAUGGUGGAGGAUGCAACUUGAAAUUCCAGUUACAUCCUUAUCAGAAAAUAAAAUAAUACCGACGAGAGAAAAAGACUUGCAGAACCAGAAGAGUGGGCGGCCGGAACCAUGUUUCACAACAGAUGCUUAAUGGUGAUGACCAGAAUGAGAGCUAUUUUUCUUUAUAAACAUAAACAAAUAUUUAUUUAAUAUGUCCAAACAACUAUUGCACACAGAAAACUAAAAACCAACAUCUCUCAAAGCCACCAUAAAGAGCUAGCAAAGGCAAAACAAUAUCCCCAAUGUUUACUCAUUUUUAUCACAGACCAACUUUUUUAAGCAACCUUUUUCAUCUUCUUAGCUGGGUGAGGAGUGGAUUUGAACAUGGGACAGUUUAAAAAAGAAGUGGAGAAAUACCACUACAUUAAUAGCUAUUUAGUUUUUAAGCAAACUCUGCAACAUUGAAAACAAAUGACACUUUGAAAUUCUUUUGCAGGUAUCAAAUUUCAUCUUCUAAUUGCAUAUCUUCAAUUUCAUAAAAAUAAAAUAAAAAAUAAAACAAAAAUAAAGCAACGAAGUUGCACCAUAAUGAGAUCCACCAUUCUGUUUCCUUAAGCUUUCCAUAACUAAAGUCAUCAUCGACAAAGUUAUUACCACCGAGUUCAAUUCAGUACUUUUUCUUCCACAUGUUGCUCAACGUGAUAUAUAUAUUUUUUUUCAUCCACUAAAAUUAAAAAAGAUAAUAUUAUAUUGCAAACCGUGUAAUAACCCAAAAUAGUUGCAGACAAACCUAUCAAUUUUUUCCUUCAAUGCCGGAUCAAUCUCAUCGUCAAUAUCACCAUCAUCAAACCCAAUCAUAUCAUCCACCCUAUCAUCCUUUAGAUCUUGUAGCUUUAAUGUCAAACUAGAACUAGGCGUAAAUUUGUUGAGUUGAUCACUGGGGCAAGCAAAGUUAAGAUUGCUUGACACCUAAAACAUUUGGGCGAAAAGAAAAAUGAAGAAAAAUUAGCUACCCAACAACUCAAGCGGAAAUGUACAAGUUCAAGACCGAAUUAGUGAUUCAAACCUCAUGGAGCUCAUUGGCCUCAUAUAGACACGUGCUUUUCUGCUGAUCUUUUCUCCUGCGAUUCUUCUUUUUGUUCUUGGAAGUUUUAAUCCCUUUGGAAUCUGUGACACAUAAUUUCCUUACCUCCAAUGAGGCCUUCAAAAGGAAAUAAAGUAAAAAUAGUCGACUAAGACACUACACUUCAAAUCCCAUUUAAGGGAAUCUUAAGUACUUCCAAGUACAGUAUAAUGUGGGCUAAUGCAAUCCUGAAAAACAUUAGGAUCAAGUGUGCAUUGUGCAAUUUGCUCGUUGGAACUACAACCUACUCAAUGAUAAAUCCAAUUUCUCAAUUAACAAUAACUAUGCAGUCAAGGAAUAAGAGAGCAAUUACUCAGGUAUACCUCCAAUUUCUCCAUUAAUGAAUGACAAGAGUUCAUCAACUGAACGAUCAUCGUUUUGCUCUUCUUCGAGCUCGGCAUUCUGAAAAGUAUGGAAGGUUCAAUAAUGACUACUGUUGAUGCACAAAAUCAGCGAAGACUUUGGUACAACAGAAAGUGUCAGGUUUUGUGACCUUCGCUUGGUUGCUUCGGUCACUAGUGAGGAUAAGUACGUAAAUGAAUAGAGACAGAGAAACAAACACAGGAUGUACGUGGUUCACCCAGAUUGGCUACGUCCACGGAGUAGAGGAGUUCUUAUUAGUAGUGAAGGGCUUACACAAGUACAAAGGAUCAAGCUCUCAAUUUAGUGAGUUCUUGUGAAUGAUUUAACACAAAAUGGCAUUAGGCAAUAUUGUGGGGGAAUGACCCCUAUUUAUAGAAAAACUUGUAGCUUUGUCACAUUGACAUGUGUCAUGUUAUGAUUGGUUCUUGAUGUUGACACGUGCUGCGCUCUGAUUGGCUUCUAAUCUUGACACGUGUCGAGUAGUGAUUGGCCUCCUGGUCGGAGGGGAACUCUUCUGGGUCCUUGACAGUAUAGCGUUGGCCGGUGCUCGGUAGUUUCGGGAUUGGUCAAGUAUGGUACAAACAGUGCUCCCCUAAGUUCCCGAGUGAGGGAAACUCCUCGGUUGGGGACUUGCAAGAUCCAAUCCCUUGAGUAAUCACGAAACUUCUAAGUACCGAAGUGUGGUCUGAUCUUCAUCUGCCCUUCUCUGGAAGUACCUUUCCUCCAUCCGGGAAUGGUGUACUUUAGCUGAUGUUGACGCACAAGGUAAUGUAUCAAUUUCACUUGAAGCUUAGUUGUAGUUUCGGGCUUAGUCAAGUGUGAUACAAACCCUAUAGUAGGAGUCCCCCAAGUCGCCGAGCUAGGAGAUCUGCCGAAAGAGGUGACAGACAAGGUAAGCAGUCAAACUUCCAAGUAAGCAACCCAGGAUCAGAGGUUUGACGUCGGCUUCCGGUUGAUUGUUCUCAUUCUCCUUGUCUCUCAUUCAACUGCCAGGAUAAGGAGAAGCAAAUGGAUAAGAGAUGAUAUGAGAUACUUUUGCUUUUGAAGAAGUAACUUUCCACAGGCUUAUUCUUGAACUGUGCUGGAGGGUUUUCUGGUGCCCUUCAGAGUAUAAGGCCGACUCAAAAAUUUGAGGGUCAAAACAAGUCCAUCAAAUCUAGAGUACGUUCGACCUUGAUGAUAUGGGAUACUUUUUGCUGUUGACGGAAUAAUGAAUGUGGUAUGGAAAGGUGUCGUGCUGUAGUGAUCUGUUUCAGCUCACCGUUGAACCUUCUGCUUCAAUCUUUUGCAUGGCAGAAGUGGUGUGCAACCUUUGCAUUUAAAUGGUCCUUCAGAACAUUCCUUCAUAGUGACUCAUCCACGCUUGGCAGCUUCAGUGUAAAGAGCCAAUAUCUGAUCAACUGUCAUGAGGUAUUUGCCGGUGGAAUUCGUGACCUUGACAGCAGUUGAGGAUGAGUACUCGAGAGCAAUGCUAAGUAAGCAACCAGGCAAAGGCUCCAGGCAGUCAGUUCCAAAUUGGAGGUUUGAUUUCAGGUUCCGACUGACUGCUCUCUUUCUCCUUGUCCUGCAGGUGUGGACAAGGACAAAGACAAAGACAGGGAGAAAGCAUGAUAUGGGAUACUCUUGCUUUCGACCCUGAUGAUAUGAGAUACUCUUGUUCUUGGUGUGGCUUAUUUGCUGAGGUAUUAUCGGGGGGAAAAUAAAGCUGAGUAUUUCGAGAGGUUAUGUUGAGGGUGCCUUUUCGAAUGCGAGAAAGGGUUGAGCAUUUUUGCAGGUUUGCCUGUCCGUUGAGGAGGGAGGUCAAUGUAUAUAGGGAUUUCCCAAUAACAAGUAGUAAUGCUAUUCCUUUACCCUUCUUGGUCACAGCAAUGUAGUGGGAGCUGCCAGCUUCACGUGUUUUAAUUUUGUCAGAGCACUUUGAAAAAGUGGUAUGUGGUAUCUGGAAAGCUGAUAUUACGUGUGGAGAUUACAGACAAGCUUUAUCUAAGGAAAUCUGGCUCUCGAAGUUCUGAGAGUUGUGCCUCUUCGGUUUUCGAACAAGCAAUCCCGUCGAGGAUCUGACUCUCGAGAUUCGGAAAGCGGUGCUACUCCGGUUUUUGAGAAAGUAAUUAUGUUGGGAGUCUUUUCUCGAAUGUGAGUAAAGGUUGGUCGUUCUUGCCAACCUGUCUUGCCACAAAACACGGAGGUCGACACACAUAGGGACUUUCCAGUUGUCAAGCAGUGGUGCUGUUCCUUUACCCUUAUGGGUAAUAGUAGGGUAGCUGGCAACUUCGAAAUUCUCGUGCCUAAACUUUGUCAGAGAUCUUUGACAAAGUUAUAUGUGGUACCCGAGGAGUUGAUGGUGCAUAUGGAGAGCGGUGAUUGAACAGUAAGAUUCACGUGCUUUCUACUUCACCAGAAAUCUUCGACAGAUUGCCCGUAAUUUCCGCAAAGCUGAUUGUGCAUGUGACAGGUGCUGACGAGGCUGCAAAAGCAGGUGCUUCUUCGAUUUCUGAGAUCGGCCCUCGUGGUCUCUGAGCAGCCCAGCUUUUGAGAAAGCAUUCGCCUCUUCGAUUUCUGAGAUCGGCCCUCGUGGUCUCUGAGCAGCCCAGCUUUUGAGAAAGCAAACGCCUCUUCGAUUUCUGAAGCUCCGUCGAGUGCAGAUUUUUAUAGAGGCUGGCAUUAAGUUCCACAGCACACUUGAAUCUCUACCAGUAGAAGCUCAUUUCUUGCACUUCUAAGAUCUUGAUUUGUCUGACCUCUUCCUUCUUCAACACAUUUGAAAAUGUCUGGACCCUCCGACCGUCGUUUUGACUUGAACCUUGGAGAAGAGACAGCCACGCCUUCUCCAGACAACAUAUGGCGCCCAUCCUUCAUAUCCCCUACUGGUCCUCUUACCGUUGGGGAUUCUGUGAUGAAGAAUGAUAUGACCGCUGCAGUGGUGGCCAGGAACCUUCUCACUCCCAAAGAUAACAGACUACUUUCCAAACGGUCUGAUGAGUUGGCUGUUAAGGACUCUCUGGCUCUUAGUGUUCAGUGUGCAGGUUCUGUGUCUAAUAUGGCCCAACGCCUAUUUGCUAGAACCCGCCAAGUUGAAUCAUUGGCUGCUGAAGUGAUGAGUCUCAAACAGGAGAUUAGAGGGCUCAAGCAUGAGAAUAAGCAGUUGCACCGGCUCGCCCAUGACUAUGCUACAAACAUGAAGAGGAAGCUUGACCAGAUGAAGGAAUCUGAUGGUAAGGUUUUACUUGAUCAUCAGCGGUUUGUGGGUUUGUUCCAAAGGCAUUUAUUGCCUUCGUCCUCUGGGGCUGUACCUGGUAAUGAAGCUUCAAAUGAUGAACCUCCAAUGCCUCCUCCUUCUGGGGUUUUGUCAAGUACUGAGGCUCCGGAUAACCACCCUCCGGUGCUUUCUCUUUCUGGGGCUCUACCGACUGCUGAGACUUCCCCUAAGCAACCUUUGUGAAGGCUCCCUUUUGUUUGUUUAUUUUGACUCAUGUAUAUGUACAUAUUUGUGGCUUAUCGAAAAUAUUAAUAAAUAAGCUUUGCUUCAUUUCAACAUAUUGUGUUAAAUACACCAAAGCCUUCUUCAUAAAGUUCUUUGAAUUUUUGCUUUUGUUGAAACCUGUAUUGUUGAAGCUUUGUGAGUGAAGCAUGUAGUUUGAGGUAGUGUUCCCUUAAUUUCCCGAGUGAGGAAAACUUCUCGGUUGGAGACUUGAAAAAUCCAAGUCACUGAGUAGUCACGAACUUUUGAGUACCAAGGCGUAGUAGCAUAUGGUGGGAGUCCCCCAAGUCUCUAGUCGAGGGAGUUGACGAAUGAGGUGUCUUGCUAAUAGUCCAUGUCGUAAGUACCAAAACUUCAUUCUUUUGUUUUCUAAGUGGUAGCCCCGGACUUUUUCUUCAUAGAUUUUGUUUAUGAAGGUUGCUAGGCCCGAAUAAGUGGAAUUGCAGAAGGUGUAACCGUUGGUGCAUUAACAUCAUAAUGGAAGCAUCACAACAAUGAUGGAAGCAUCACAAUGAUGAAAGCAUCAUAAUGAUGAAAACACCAUAAUGAUGAAAACAUCAUAAUGAUGUUUCUUUGGUGGAAUUGUUUUUUCAUUUCCCCUAACAACCGGAAUUGUUUUUCAACAUAACACCAUCAUCUGUAGGUCGAAUCACAAAGUUGUCUUCAUGAAAGUUGUUCGUUAAUUCCUUAACUACAACAUAUCCAAAUUGGAGAGCCAUCGGAGCAGUACAACUCCAGAAAUCCAGGUAUGAUGAGUGACUGUUUAUCAUUUGUCUGUCAACCCGUCAGAUUUGUUGUGAGCUUUGAAACUCUAUUUUCUCUUGCUCAGAUCAGCAUGCUUUCUUCAUUGAAGUUGUUCCUCAGCUUGUGAACUACAACAUAUCCAAAUUUGAGAUCCCUCGGAGCUGUAUAACUCAAGAAACUCAGGUAUGAUGAAUGACUGGUUAUUAUUUUUCUGUCAACCCGUCAGAUUUGUUGUGAGCUUCGAAACUCCAUUUUCUCUUGUUCAGAUCGGUAUGCUUUCUUCAUUGAAGUUGUUCCUCAGCUUGUGAACUACAACAUAUCCAAAUUUGAGAUCCCUCGGAGCUGUAUAACUCAAGAAAUCAGGUAUGAUGAAUGACUGGUUAUUAUUUGUCUGUCAACCCGUCAGAUUUGUUGUGAGCUUCGAAACUCCAUUUUCUCUUGUUCAGAUCGGUAUGCUUUCUUCAUUGAAGUUGUUCCUCAUCGACUCUUUCAUAACAUAUCAAAAAUUCAGGAUGAACUAACGGUUAAAUAUUUCCAGAUCUUCGAAACAUCACAACAGCUUCGAAAUCUGCAAGAAGCCGACUAUCAUGUUUGGAGCUUCAACACUUUAAUUUCCGUCGCUCAAACAGAAAUGGUUCCUUCUUGAAAGUUGUUCAUAUGCUCAAGAACUAUAGGGUGUCCAAAAUUCAGCUCCAUUGGAGAAGAGCAGAGGUUGCAGAAAUUUGAUAGAUGAAAGGAGGCGGAAGAGGGAGAGAGAGAAAAAAAGUCUCUUGGGUUGGAUUUCUAUUUUGGGGCAGAUUCCAAUUUUUGUAGCACCUUCAUUAUUGAUGAAUUGCUUGUACUUUUGUCCAUUAUGAAAUUUUGGGACUUUGGCUUGUUGUUGGAUCUAUUAUAAUAUGUUUGGGAACAUAUAUAAGUGAAUAAAUAAGAAGGAAAAUUUUGGGCCCUUGUGGGUGUAAAACAAAAAAUGUUUAUGUUUACCCAAGUGUUUUUUGUACAAGUUCAAGGGCAUCUUGGGUUUUGUGAACAAAAUUUGUUUAUUUGGAGCAAGGUUUUGUGUUGUUGAAGCUUUGUAAGCUUUGUGUGAAGCUUUGGAGGUGAAGCUUUUCGGGUGAAGCUUGUUGGGUGAAGCUUUUUAGGUUUUGAAAGCUUUGUUGGGUGAAGCUUUUUAGGUGAAGCUUUUCGGUGUGUGAAGCUUUUUUGGGUGAAAGCUUUUUAGGUGAAGCUUUUCGGGUGAAGCUUUUUGGGUGAAGCUUUUUAGGUGAAGCUUUUUUGUGGUUGAAGCUUUUUAGGUGAAGCUUUGAUGGUGAAGCUUUUUGGGUGAAGCUUUUUAGGUGAAGCUUUGUGGGUGAAGCUUUGGAGGUGAAGCUUUUCGGGUGAAGCUUUUUGGAUGAAGCUGUUUUUUUUUUUUUUUUUUUUUUUUUUUUUUUUUUUUGGCGCUUGACACGGUCUUCAUUUGCUUGUUUUGUAGUGACUUGCUUUAUUGAGAAGGGUUCCGGCAUUGCCAAAAUGGCCUUUCAUUACAUAGGAUGCCGAACGGCUAUAGCUCAACACUUGUACAUCGUGAGUCUAUUUGUAGUAGUACUUCAAGUGAUCAGCGUUCCAUGGAUGGCCAAGGGUCUUGCCAUCGGAGCUUCUAAGUGUGUAAGAGCCAGGGCGACUGAUGCCAAUGACUUCAUACGGUCCAUCCCAGUUUGGACUAAGUGUGCCUUCACUCGGGACUCUGUCGCAGAGUAAUCUUUUCUUUAAGACCCAGUCUCCUAUUUUGAAAGAACGAGGCUUGACCCUAGAGUCAUAAUAGUUGGAGAUGCGCUGCUUGUAGGCGACAUUCCUCAAGUGAGCUUGGUUUCUGUGUUCCUCGACUAAAUCCAAGUUGAGGGUGAGUUGUUUGUCAUUUUCACUUUGAAUGUAGUUCUGGACUCGGAAUGUUGCUUGCUCGAGCUCAACAGGGACAACCGCCUCUGUGCCAAAGGCAAGUGAGAAUGGAGUUUCUCCUGUUGAAGUCCGAUAUGAAGUGCGAUAUGACCAAAGAACUUGGGGUACAAAUUCUGGCCAACAGCCUUUAGCUUUGUCCAAGCUGGUUUUCAAAGUGCGCUUGAUUAUUUUGUUGAUGGCCUCAACUUGUCCAUUAGACUGGGGAUGAGCUGGAGAGGCAAAGCAUAAGUUGAUGUUGAACUUAGAGCAGAACAACCUGAACUUCUUGUUGUCAAACUGUCGCCCAUUGUCAGUGACUAUCGCAUUGGGAAUGCCGAAUCUACAAAGGAUGUUCUUCCACACGAAGUCUUCUAUCUUUGCCUCAGUAAUGGUUGCCAAGGGUUCUACUUCGGCCCACUUUGUGAAGUAGUCCACUGCAACGACUGCGUAACAGACUUUGCCCUUCCCUGCCGGCAUUGGGCCGAUCAAAUCAAGUCCCCACUGGGCGAAGGGCCAAGGGCUGAUCAUAGGAGUAAGAGGCUCUGGAGGGGAAUGAGGAAUAGCCGCAUAUCGUUGACAUUUGUCACAUGAGCGGGAUACUUUGAUGGCAUCCUGGUGGAGUGUUGGCCAGUAAUAUCCUUGGCGAAAAGUCUUGUGUGCUAGGGACCGAGAUCCAGCAUGAUCUCCACAGACUCCCUCAUGUAUUUCCCGAAGGACGAUUUCCGCCUCGGCAGGCGUAAGACACCUUAAGUAUGGCAGGCUAAAACCUCGCUUAUAGAGUUGAUCAUUGAUGAUCAGGUAGCGGGUAGACUUGUAUCGAAUUUGCUUAGCCUGGACUUUAUCAUUUGGGAGGGUGCCAUGAGCAAGGAAAUUAUAGAUCGGGGUGAUCCAACUAUCCCCCUGUUGUAAGUUGCAUACUUCUGCGGCCAUGGUGCUUGGUGUUGCCAACAGUUCGACAUGAAUUUUUCUUCCAAUCUUGUCUUCCACAGCUGAGGCGAGGCGAGCCAGGGCGUCUGCAUGACUGUUUGCCGCUCGAGGAACUUGGGUGAUCUGGUAGUGGAAGUGCUUGAGCAAAAGUUGUGUUUGCGCAAGAUAUGCUGCCAUGGAGCUGUCCUUAGCAUCAAAGUUGUUGGUAACCUGGUUGACCACUAAUUGGGAGUCACUGAAAAUAUCAAUUUGUUUAACCCCGAGGUGUUUGGCCAAACGUAAUCCUGCUAGAAGGGCUUCAUACUCGGCCUCAUUGUUUGAUGCCUUGAAUUUGAAACGAAGAGCAUACUCCAUUGCUACUUUGUCGGGCGUAGUCAAGACUAGUCCCGCUCCACAGCCCUGUUGGUUGGAUGAGCCAUCAACAUACAGACUCCAUGCUGAGGUCGUUGAUUCUACCUUCUGAGCUUCCGAUGGUAAUGAAGCUACUGCUUCAGGUGUAGAAGCAAUGUCAACAGGAUAUGUGAAGUCGGCGAAUGAAAUCUGCUACUGCUUGGCCCUUCUCAGCUGGCUUUGGUUGGUAGGAGAUGUCAAACUCACCCAACGCUAUUGCCCAUUUGAUCAUUCGCCCUGAAGUGUCAGGACUUUGGAGUAUCUGUCGAAGAGGAUAAUUGGUAAGCACGAUGAUGGAGUGCGCUUGGAAGUAAGGGCGGAGUUUUCGAGCAGACAUGACCAAUGCCAGAGCCAAUUUCUCAAUGUUAGAGUACCGUGUCUCCGCAUCUUGUAAGGCUUUGCUAGCGUAGUAGACAGGUCGCUCAAUAUUCCCAUCCUUUCGAAUGAGAACGGAACUUACGGCUGAAGCUGAUACCGAUAGGUAGAUAAUGAGAAUGUCUCCUACCUCGGGCUUGGAGAGUAGAGGGGCUUUACUCAUGUACUCCUUGAGGUUUUUGAAUGCCUCGGCACAUUCAUCAGUCCAUGUAAUGUACUUCCUACUUCCCUUAAGUGCUUUAAAAAAAGGGAGCACAUUUGUCUGUGGCCUUAGAAAUGAACCUGGUUAAGGCUGCCACCUUGCCAGUAAGGCUCUGGAUGUCCUUUGAAGUUACCGGUUCCUUCAUGUCGAGGAUUGCUUUGAUCUUCUCGGGAUUAGCUUCAAUGCCUCGUUGGCUAAUCAUGAAACCUAAGAAUUUGCCAGAGCCUACGCCGAAGGCACAUUUGUUGGGGUUUAACCUCAUUCGAUACCUCUUCAAAAUAGUGAAAGUUUCAGAUAGGUUGGUGAUGUGUUGGUCAGCAUGUUUGCUCUUGACUAACAUAUCAUCAACGUAAACUUCCAUGCUCUUCCCAAUCUGCUCGGCGAACAUUGAGUUGACUAGUCUCUGAUAAGUCGCUCCUGCAUUCUUUAGGCCGAAAGGCAUGACUUUAUAGCAGUAUAGUCCUCUGUCGGUAGUGAAGGCUGUGUGUUCUUGAUCCGAAGGGUUCAUGAGGAUUUGGUUGUAUCCUGAGUAAGCAUCCAUGAAGCUCAGGAGUUCACACCCGGCCGUAGAGUCUAUAAGUCUGUCAAUAAGAGGAAGAGGGAAGCUAUCUUUCGGACACCCUUUGUUUAGGUCGGUGUAGUCAACACACAUUCUCCCACAAGACCUUUUGAAGCAAAAGACUUUCUUUGGUCGGAUUUUUCUUAACAAGGACCACAUUUGCUACCCAUGUCGGGUAAUUGACUUCGCGGACAAAGCCUAUGCCUUUGAGUUUUUCAACUUCUGCUUUCAUUGCCUCGUAUCGUUCAGCGUCAUAAGAUCUUCGCUUCUGUCUCACCGGCUUGAUCUUGGGGUCAAUACUCAAACGAUGACAGAUGACAUCGGGAGAGAUGCCUGGCAUGUCCUCGUAUGACCAGGCGAAGACUUCAGUGUUCUCUUUCAAAAAAGAUAUCAAUGCUAACCGAAGGGGUGGUGACAAUGUGGUGCCAAUCUUCACCAUGCGAUCUGGAUAAUCUCUUGAGAUAGGUACCUUCUCCAACUCUUCAGCAGGUUGGGCUUGCUGGGUGAAAGAGAGUCAUCUCGAGGAUCAUCGGGUUGAUUGUUGCUAUCAGGAAGAUCCAAGUUCGCUUCAUCUAGGCUGGUCUUUGUGACUUGGUCAUGUACAGACAGGGUUUCCUUGGGUCCGGGCAAGUGUUGUUGCUUAACUGAAGUGUUGUAACAUGAUCGUGCACUAAGCUGAUCUCCUCUGAUGUAGCCGUUGCCAUGGGGGGUUGGAAAUUUCAUCAACAGCAUAUGCGUGGAUACCAUAGCCUUGAGAUCAUUGAUGCCUGUGCGCCCAAAGAUGACAUUGUAUGCCGUUGGGCAGUCAACCACUAGGAAGUUAGUGGUAAUGGUAGCCGUGUAAGGGCCUGUACCAAUAGUAAAGGGUAAAUGUAUGCUCCCUAAGGGUUGCACGAUAUCACCGGAGAAGCUUAUCAGAGGAGAAAUCGAGCGAUCGAGCAAGUGUUCAGCUACACUGAGUGCCCUGAAAGCUUCGGCAAACAUGAUAUUGACCGAAGCCCCUGUGUCUACGAGGAUUCGUCGAACAUCAAAGUUGGCUAUGUGAGCCUCCACGAUCAAUGGGUCGUUAUGAGGGUAGAUGAUGCCUCUUUCUUCCUCAGGGUAGAAACAUAUCGGAUCCCAGUUAGGCUUUUGAUACUUCCCUCCCCUGAUGUCUUCCACGUGAAACACUUGGUGACCAGGCCUCAGAAUUCGUUCACUGUUUUUUCAUGGCCCUAUUGGAAGAUUCAGAUAUGGGUGUGCCGCCGCUUAUGGAAUAUAUGACAUUCACCUGGCGUUGGUUACGGUUAUCCCUUUGAGGGUGAAGGAAGGAAUUGAUCAAUUUUUCCUUCUCGUGCCAAAGCUUCAAUACGAUCACGGAGGAUGAUACAUUUCUCGCUAUCAUGGCCGUUAUGCUCAUGGUAGCAACAAAACAUGCCCGCGUUAUUCGGGGGCGUGUAAUCUGGGUGCCUCGGCUUUGGCUUUGGUAUCAGGUGAGCUAUGCUGGGGUAAAUGGCCGCGCAUGUGGCAUUCAAGGGCGUGUAUGUCUCAUACCUUGGGGUAGGGGGUAUCUUGACGCGGGUUUGACCCACUGCAUUGACUGCCUGGGGGCGAGCGUUAUUGUGGCGAUACCCUUGGUUAUCGGGAUAGUGUCCCUUACUCUUUUUACUGAAAUGGAGAGUGGUGAGGAUGGAAAUCCUUCCUCUUGCCUUGAAAUUGAUAUGUCUGUUGAUUCGGCGAAGCAUUAUGCAAGGCAUGGGGAGGUGCCACUGCUGUUUGGAAAGUCGAGGUCUUCUCAUUUAGGUGAGUCUGGCUUCCACCUCCCACUUGUUGAUAAAGGAUGGUUGUAGGGGGUUUCUCCUGAUAUGUCUUUGCCUCGGCGGAGGCAUGGUUAUAAGCCUGCGCCAUCACCUCAGAGUAAGUCUUCCAAGUAUUGGCAUUGAUCAUGUAUUUAAAGAAACAAUCACGUAGGCCUGCCGUGAAGGCUUUGAGGGCAGUCUUGUCGUCUGCCUCGGCACACCGGGAGUAUUCAUGGCUGAAGCGGCCAGCAUACAUACGUAAUGACUCGUCUGGCUUCUGGCGGAUAGUGUACAGGUCAUCUGCAGAGUGCAAGCGAUCGGUUUGGAAAAUGUGUUGGGAAACAAAUAGUUUCCUCAAUUCCUCAAAUGAGUCUACCGUCUCAGGUGUAAGACGACAAUACCAAUUUAGAGCUCCGCCAGAGAGGGUGGAGGGGAAGAGAAGACAUCGCUCUUCGUCGGUGUGCAUCCGGUAUGCCAUGGUGGACUCAAAGAGGUUAAGGUGCUCAAUCGGGUCCUCUUUUCCAGUAUAAAGUUGCAAGCCAAGCUUUUGCUUUGUCUUUGCUUGAAGGGGGGUGUUGAGGAUCCUCCUUGUAAGAGGGCCAGGCCUGGGUUGGUUCCAGUCAGGUAUUUCAGCCUGACGUUCAGCCUUCAACUUGUUUACUUCCUCAAGAAGUUGUAGGACAAGGGGGUCCUGAGCGGAGUUAUGUGCCACUGGAGCUUUCUUUCGUAAAUCUCCAUCUCCUCUUGGAAUUAGGAAGGUUUGAUCAAGGGCAUGUGAUUUUUUCCCUGGACUCGUUGUACUGGCUUCCAGGGUAUGUCUGUCGGAACACCUCUGAGUCCCCUGUACCCUCAUGUCUCUCUAGGACUUGUUGCCCCUUCCCCAAAUUGGUGGCCGGCUCGGGCCGUGGCAGGGGACCGAGUCUCUCAGAAAUCCUUGGGUCAUUGAUCUUUGAGCUUAUAUGGAUGGAAUUCUCUCGACGUUGCUUCAGGAAAUCCCGACAAUCGCGAAAGACGGCUUUCGAUCCUUCUGCCCCUUCAGCAAAGAGGUGUCUCCCUCCACUUCUCAUGGUUCGGGUCGAAGCAACUGGGUUAAGAGAAGCCUCAUGUUGAUUAUCAAGUCGAGGGGUAAUCUGUUCCCUAUCAGGGAUAUCUAUGUCGAAUGCAUGUGACCCUCCAUGUUGGAGGGCACCCAGUUGAUGGUUGACUUCCACGGGGGCAACAAGCUCGCGUGUCUGAGCUUGCCUAGCUUCGUGGAGUGUCUCGAAGAGCUUCUCAUAUUGCUCCUGGAGGACCUCAUUCCUCAUUGCUAUCUUGUUGUUCUGAGCUUCCAACUCAUCGACUUUAGCUUGAAGAAGAACUCGUUUUCCUUCCUUCUUUCGUUGUUUCGCACUAUGUGCAAGGGGGGUGUCAUUCUGUGUGCUGUGGCUUCCUUCGCUUCCCAUGUUGGAGAGGGAUGCCUGAUCAAAAGAAAGUGUACGAAUGAUAGAAACCAGCUUGACACAGCUGAAGAGAGUAGGAAUAAGUGUCGUUUCCCACAGACGGCGCCAAAUGUUGAUGCACAAAAUCAGCGAAGACUUUGGUACAACAGAAAGUGUCAGGUUUUGUGACCUUCGCUUGGUUGCUUCGGUCACUAGUGAGGAUAAGUACGUAAAUGAAUAGAGACAGAGAAGCAAACACAGGAUGUACGUGGUUCACCCAGAUUGGCUACGUCCACGGAGUAGAGGAGUUCUUAUUAGUAGUGAAGGGCUUACACAAGUACAAAGGAUCAAGCUCUCAAUUUAGUGAGUUCUUGUGAAUGAUUUAACACAAAAUGGCAUUAGGCAAUAUUGUGGGGGAAUGACCCCUAUUUAUAGAAAAACUUGUAGCUUUGUCACAUUGACAUGUGUCAUGUUAUGAUUGGUUCUUGAUGUCGACACGUGCUGCGCUCUGAUUGGCUUCUAAUCUUGACACGUGUCGAGUAGUGAUUGGCCUCCUGGUCGGAGGGGAACUCUUCUGGGUCCUUGACAGUAUAGCGUUGGCCGGUGCUCGGUAGUUUCGGGAUUGGUCAAGUAUGGUACAAACUACAAAAAAGAUUUUUAGCUGAAAGAGAAACUUUUGAUCGUUUGAAUUCAGAUUCAAUCAACUACUCAUUUCUCUUCUAGUUCCCCUUUCUGCUUAUAUUAAAGCGAAGCGGAUGUCGUUGAUGUCAAACCAUUUCCUGGAUAUUUUUGUGGUGUUAAAAACAACAAAGAAACACCAAGUUUUUGCUAAGCAUACACAGAUAUCUCAAGCAUCGGAGACCUCUGUAAGAUCAUCAGGGAGAUGAAAUAUUUCACGUAUCUCCUCAGGUGUUUUCCCUUCAAUUAUUCGUGCAAGAGCAUGACUAGUAAGAUCCACCAAUGGUUUUAAUUGGAGGCUGUCAGCAGCUGAAGUCAACUCACAGAGCAACUUGGUGUCCAUUCGGAUGUAUUUUUCAUCAAAAGCCUUGCAUUCCUACAUAAACGAGUGGUGCCGAGUCAUAUAAGCGUGCCGAGUUUACACCAGCAUCAGAGUAAACAUUUAAUCCAGUGUGCAGGUGGAGAUUAAUGUCCUCAAUAGCUCAAAUUUAUGCAAAACAGACAGAGGGCAUAGACUCAGAAAGAAGGAAAACAGAAUGACAUUCCAAAAACAUGUAGAACCUUGUUCGAGCGACCUGGUACUUGAUGAAACCGGCAGUAAUCAAGAAUUAAGCUCAACAUUGCAGUACUGACUCUUUCAGGAAGAGAUAUUGCAUGGUUCUUGGAAGCUCCCAUCCCUUUCUGUAUAUUUUCUUUGCAUAUCAUAGGGCAAUACAUGGCAACCUCUUGUUCCACUUGUUGGAUUGAACCGUCGGUAGUCUGAAGCCAGAUAUAAGACUUCAUCAUCUGAGAAUGAGUUGGCACCGAUGUGGCUUUAGAAUUCCAACAUUACAAAGUAAACGAAAAAUAUAAAACAGUUAAACAACCCACCCACCUUCACCCCCUCCAAAUAAACAAAAACAAAAAGAGAGAGCAAAUUAACACUCAACAAGUAGAGGCAGCUACAAGCAUUCAAAAGAAACGAAAAACAGAAAACAAUUGAUUCGACUAUGGCUUGAACAACAAAGAAAAGAAAACAUAAUGCAUUUAUCUAUUAAACACUAGACAAAGACGACAUAACAUAGUGGAAAAAAAGGAAGAAGGGGCAUAAAAAGAAUCACGAAGAAUGCGUACGGAAAAGUGAUAAUACCUCAGGUUUAAUAACAGUCAUGUCACCUUCUGACAUUUGAACAAUCCCAAGUUCUGAGGCUUAAAAACUGGAGUGCAUCAGGCAAAAGAAAACAGCUUUAUGCUUCUCAUGCAACAACUUGCUGAUACUCUGUUAAGUCAAACAAAAUUAUAAUUAGCAGCCCUUCUAUGCAAAUCCUUACCCAAAAUUAAAGUUUACACAAAUUUAACAUAAACCCAAGUUAGCCAGGGCAGUAAACCACCCUUUGCAAUCCCCACUCCGUCGUCUAGAUUAAAUUAGAAUAUCGCUCUCAAAACAUAAACCCAGCUCUUACUUGCCAUGAACAAUACAAGUUCCAAUUUUUCUUAACAAAUCUAUACUUACAUUUAUAUUUCUACUAAACUUAAUUCCAUUUAUUCCCAAGUCCAUGAAAAAGCAUUCUGGUGAUUAUACUGCUCUAAAUCAAGGGAGAAAAAUUGCAAUUCAUUGGUAUUUUAGUUGAAUUUCUCGAUUAAACUAACUGUUAUUACCAAUAAAUGAUUGUUUUUCCUAAAGAUUUUAGUUCACCGAGCUCCGGAUUAAAGGGUACUUAGGAAUUUCAUUUUUCUAUUCAAUCAUUUCCAUUUUUCCUGCACUUUCUGGGCACCAAACAGGCAUACAGAAGAGAAACAAAACAUGGUAAAGAAAAGAAAAAGGACAGACAAUUAAUUAACACGAAGGAGACAUACGAAAUGUACGGAUUCCAGGUAGGGGGAGCUUUGAAUUGCAGAGAUUUGGCGGUUGUCGGCGAAUCCCAAAAAUGGAUAAAAUUGCGAAUAAAUUUUAGAAAAAAAAAAAAAAAGAGAAAAAAAGCAACUCUUGUGUGACUGAAAUUGCGUCAAAAAUCAAAAGGUCUGCAAAUCACACGUCAGCGUUUCGUUAGGGUUUCCUGACCUCUUGUAUUUAUUUUGAUUUGAUUGAUUAGUGUUGUUUGUUUGUACACUUCCUGGUGCGGGCCCACCUUAAUAAACGGAUCAUAUUGAUCAUCAAUGUGAGCUGGUAAUUAGCAGCCCUUGAUUGAAAAUGGUUCUUAUCAAUGAGGCCCGUACGCCCCUUACAUAGUUGGACACCGAGAGCAACCCUCCCCAGACAAUAUAUUAUGCUAUUCACCCAUUUAACAGUAAUUGUUCUUACUGAACAGUAAUCAUCUUUACCGUUACACUUCAAUAACCCUGGUAAUAGGUAAUAAAAUAAUAAUAAUUUUUUUAUUUAUAAAAUAAUACUAAGAUAAUUAAAAAAGACAAAGCAAAAGCAGCAUCUGACUUUCUCUCUCUCUCUAUGUUGAAAUGAAGACCACAAACACAAAGCUUAUCCUCCUCCACCCCCAAGCAAUCCACAAACGGCGGAAGCCACCGCCUGUGGCUCCUCUUCUUCUUCACCUUCUUCACCCUCACUCUCAUCAGCACCACCAUCCCCCAAACCCUCCCCACCUCCGUACUCCCCCUCCCGCUCGCAGUCCUAGAUGCACUUCUUCACUACGCCAUUUCAUCAUCAAACACCUCGUCAGCACCCCACAUGCCCCCGUCGGAACUCACCUCCAUAUCCUCCGCCCUCACCCGCCUCUGCGCACCCAACUGCAAUUUCCUCGUUUUCGGCCUCACCGAUCCAGAACCUGACAGAAAAAAAGAUUAAAAAAGGCGUCUGACAUCAACUGACGUUAGAACCACCUUAGGCGCCUGGGCCGGCACGAAUCCACGGGCCUGGCGCUCGGCCCUGCUAGGGCUCCCUCGCCAGCCAACGCUAAAAUUCCUCUCUUUGGCAAUCAGGCCCUGUGCUGAAGCCUGUCCAUAGAGCAAAAGCUCCCGCUGGAGCUGCUCUGAAUAUUGAGUUAAACUUGUCGCAGUGAAUAUUGAAUUAAAUCUUUUAAUCGUAUCAAUUCAUCGCAGUGUUCGAAAAAACGGCCUAGGCGGAUUGGAACCUUGUGCAAAACGGCUAGGCGGGCUAGGCGGCUGGGCGGUUUUUUUUUUUUUUUUUUUUUUUUUGAAAUUAAAAAAAAAAACUUAGAUUAAGCCUAAUUCUAACAUUUGACUCAUUUAGCAUUCAAACAUUUGACUCGUUGUUAAUUUUAUCCUAUGAAAACUUGUUCUGAAGUAUACCAUAUUAUUAUGAUUCGCAGAUGUGAACUUGUUUUUGAGAACUGCUUUGUUCUAGAAGAAAAUGUUCUCGGGCAGGAAGGAAAAAGUGUAGUGAUGCUUUUAUUACAACUUUGUUAUUGGAAGGAAAGAUCAUUUGGAUUGGUUGCAUGUUAAAAUUCGCAGCAAGAAUUGAUAUGUUAGUUAACUUAUAACCUGAUUUCUCAUCUGUCAUAUGGCUUCUGAGCUGCUGUUUAGUAUUAGGGCGAUCAAAAUUUACCAUUAGCGAAGACUUUCACCAUGGGACUUAUUCAUGUAUUGCUGGAACUGCUCAACCAGACUUGUUCUAGUAAUAUAUGAUGCCAACAGUUUUGUUGCGCCACUGGCCUCCCAGAUUAUCACCUAAAGAAAAUAGACGACUUUAUGAAUUACUUCAUUUAUUGAAAGAAAUAUUUCUUUUGUACAUUUUCUACCUAUUUUGUAAGAGUCACUAUGCACUUAUUCAUAGGAUAUACAAAAAAAUUACCUAAAUCCACCUAGGCCGCCUAGGCUCCCGCCUAGGCGCUAGCCCGCCGCCCGACUAGCGCCUAAUUUUUUUUAGAACCUUGAUUCAUCGUACAUUAUGCACUUAAAAAUUAUUUUAAAUAUUUUAUUUAAAAUUAAACACAAAUAGUACCAGAUAAAAAUUGACAGUAUGAUUUAUGAUGAACGAACAAGAUUAAAGAAUUUCCUGAAUCCUCACAAAGAGGAUUAGAAGAAAAUCCUCAUUCGUAUGAGCCACCUAGUCUGGACUCUGAACAGAAAAAAUUUUCCUUCAUAGGACAUAUUCUCUUAUAAGUCACAUCACUAAUACAUCACGUAGUCAGUUGAUAAGUGUUUAAUCAGUCAUUACUUUUAUUAUCCUUUUCUUCACUAUUUUGUUGUUUCUUUUAUAUUUGAGUCGCUUUUUACAAUUUGUAAGUCAAUUGGAGUAAAGAGAGAAAAAGGAAGAAUUUUCAAGAGAUUUGAAGCAAGAUUUGUCAAAGUGCUAGAAUGUUGCUGGUGGAAUGUCACGAAGAUUAAUUUGCCGAGACUAGAUCAGGAAGAAUUUGAUGGCGUGCCAUAUGGAUGGAAUCUGGAUCUAGUUUUUGGAGGCUUUUACCUUUUGUGAUCCCGAUGUAUGAAACAAAAAUGAUUGUUGUUUUAGUAACUGCUGCUCAGUGUGAAGUUUCUUCGCGAACAUUGGAGAAUUAAAUAAACUAAUUCAAAUUGUUAAAUUGGGUUUAAGAGUUAAUGCUGCUGAAGUUAAAGAUUGGAAAAUGCUCUUUGAUGAACAGAUAGGAAUAACAAUGCUGAUGCGGAAUUGAAGUAAUCCUAAUCAUCGAACUCGUUGGGCCUCAACUAACUACCUUUUGGUGUGGGCUUUGGUCAUGGAUGAGUUCAUGCUCAUGUACUCUAAUUUAAAUUUGGCCCAUUGGCUUUCUAUAUGCAUAUUAGGGUUUUUAUUUUAUUUUUUUAUUACAAACGAUAUUACUCAUAAAAAAAAAAGUGUUUAUCCACCAGAGAGAAUCAACCACCUGUUGUAUAGAGUUUUUAAUUAGCUAAAGGGUGCAUACUUUACUUGCACACUGCAAUAUUUUACUUUAUUUGCUAAGACUUUAACGAUUGUUUGUUUCUAAGACUUGUGCUCAAUAUAUUGAGUACCAUGCGAAUUGGUAUCUGAAUUAUUACGCGAGUAGAAAUUAAGUCCUUAACACUCAUUUCUACUAUAAGAUUCAAAAUUAUUCUAUUUAUAUUAUUGAGGGGACUUUUAGGUUGAGUUGGACUUGAGUCUUGAUGGAAACCCUUGUACUUUCCUUGGUUCGUUCCAACACGAAGUCCCAAAAUACCAAAGAAUUAGCGCGUCUUAGGAAAUACUCUGCUUGUAAUAGUGGCACAAAAAUUGAAUGAUUAAGGCAAAUUAUGGCUUGCCUAAGAGAGACGUGGUGUGGAAGCUAAAAGCUUAUCAGUUUAGCAUGAGAUCAAACUUGUGCAUGGUUGCAUGGUUUUGAAAGAUGAAUCAUCUGGAUUUCCUAAGGGUCUAAGGGUGUUUAUACUGGCUAAGGAAGCUCAAAUGAAACCUCAAAUAACCCCUAAAACUCCAGGAAAGUGAUUUCCUAAGGAUUCAAGGCUUUCUGCACUUAGAGAAGAAUUUCCAUGCCUCGUGCAAUUUAGUCUUGAAUCCUCUCUACCUUGUCUCUCCUUUGCAUUGAGUUCAUCCUUCCCUUUUGUAGAUGCAGGGUCUCUUUCUAUCUUUCCUUAGGGAAUUCCUUGACUUCCUUGUUUCCUCUCGUUUUGGCUUAGUCUUCCUUUUUCUUUCCUUUGGCACAUCUAUGACCUUCCUUUUUGGUGCAACAUUGAGAACGUCAUUGCUCCCCUGAAGAUUGAGUCGCGCACUCUGCCCAUAGAGCCAUCUUCCCUGGUCAAUUAUCCACGGACGUUACUUUUAACAACGCUCUUCCUUGUUUUCCUUCCUCAUUUUUCUGUGUGAGCUAGGAAGAGAAAGAUCCAUUCUCUCCUCAUUAAGGAAUGCUUUGCACUAGGUUUUCACAUGAUCCUGAAGCUUUGGGUUCUUGUUUCUUCCUAAGUGGGUUGGUUUGCUUGUUAAGGGAAAGGGAAACUUGGUUUGUUCUCUCCUAGACCUACCUAUGUGGAACUCAAGAAUCAUGAGCUUGGACUUUUGGUGCUCCAAGAAGCUCAAAGUCUUCCACAAUUUUGGUUUCAUAUAGGUUCGAUAAUCUUUUGUAACCAUCCACACCACAAUCCACUUGUCAAGCCCCAAUAUGUGGCUUGGGCUCAUUUUAUCGUGUAGCAUGGUUAGCUUGACUUGUCUACAAUGACCACAUCAUACUUAUGCAUGGAUUUUCAUGGGCUUGUUGUGAUCAUGCAAACGUCCCGCUCACAGAUUAUUAUUUUAUUGGCGUGAUGUGAUUGUAAAUACGCUUCCUUCUUGAUUUCGCACCUUUGCAUGUGUUUAAGCUUGGAUUGGGGCAUUUUUAUGACAAUCGGGCUUUGAGAUGUGAUUGAGCUUGUAUGUGAGAUUUUUGGGCCCUAACACAUAUUUUGUCACUUUAAGUCACAUGACUUACAUGUGAGACACUUCAUGUGUUGGUCGGCUGAGCACCUGAGCUUUGUUAGGCUAAUGUAUCAAGAAAACAUGCACCACAUAGAGCAAUUGAUGGAACAGAUUCAUUGUAAUCGUGACAUUUUAGACAAAAUAUUAUUGUUAUUGUAGCGUCCUGUAUUAAUAAUAUAAGGUCAUGUAUAUAUAAACUUCAAUAUAUCAUUAUCUUAUUAAAUAGAGACAUAACGGUGAUAAUAAACCUGUUUCAUAUAAAUCUUCCGCAACAUGACAUCCGAUGGCUGCCACGUGGACUGUAGGGUUCAUGUACGGUCGAUGAAAAGUGCGUGGUGGUUGAACUUGAAAACGUGAAGUGUCAGCAUGAUUGAGAUGGUGCCCACGGAGGCAUGUGAGUAGGUCACAGGGAGGAUCACAGCAAUGGUAUGAGUUGGAUUGAAUGAAUGACCGGCCAAUCCUUUGAGACAAAGGAUUUUUAGAGGAGUUUCAAACAAAAGCGUUCGUGGUCUCUCCCUCGGUCCUACUCAUUUGUGUGUUUUUAGCAAUGAUUCAUUCCUACUAUCUUUUUUUUCUUUUUUUUAUAUAAAUAGGGCAUGGAUAAUGUUGAUAUAUAUAUAAAGAUAGAUAAUAAUUCUAUUAAUCAAUGGUUUAAUCAAUUAUAUUCGUAUUAGUAAUAUAUUGGGAUACCAAAGUGUUUGGCCUUAGCUCAAAUGGAGAGAGAAUGUAUGACACUAAAUUAGAAUUACGGUAUGUGUUAAAAAUUAGAUUAUGGUAUGAUCAAGUUUCUUUUUCCUUCAAUAUACACAAUUUGAAUAAGUCCACGCACCUCAUGUAUUAAGUUUUUUUAUAUUCAGCAACUAUUGUUAAAAAAUAAUUGCAUAAAUCCAAACAUUUAUUUAUCCAGCCUUGAGGUAGAUCGACUGCUACUCCUCUGAUAGGAAAUAAUGAUACAUCAUUCUCAUACCGAUGACAAUUUCGAAUAGAUAAAUACUAAUUCUCCUUCUCUCAAUAUAUAGAAAAAAGGAAGUUUGUGUACCAAUAUCCGCCAUAAAGGGAUCAAGUCAUAACAUAGGAGAAGCUAUUAUCUUCAAUAUAAAGAAAAAGUCAAAUAAGUCCAUGCAUGGUGCAUGAUUUAAUAAAAAUUGUAAAAAUUAGGACCGGCACAAGAUUUAGAAUCAUUGCAAGAGAACUUGUAUAUGCUUAAAAAUAAUUAAGCUACUUCUUAUAUUGCCAAUUGAUUUUAUAAUAUAAUCCCAACGUUCUUCACUUCGUCUUUGAGUAAUUCAAACUUCAUUAGUACAUAAUUUAUUUGUUUUAUAGUGUAGCGACUUUUGCACAAUGCAUGCGCCUUUUAUUUUUCUAGCAUUAAGGCACAUACCAUCAUUAUCACAUACUUGUUGAACUUUUGUUGUCAUUUUAUUUUUAUUUAGUGGAGAAUUUUCACACAAUGACCAAAGUAAUUGAUGGUGGACAAACUCAGAAGCUAAUUUUAUCAAUUUUAAAUCUUAGAAAUCAAAAUGAAGAGUUAUUUAAAUCUCAAAAAUUAUUUUGAUUAAAAAACUAUCAAAAUAUAAAAAUGUAGCCGUUGCGUUCCAUUCUAUUGCAAAAUGCUCUACUUUUCUUUACUAGAAGUAGAAGACCCUCACCUGUCGUUUGAUGCUUUAUAGGCUGCCAUGAUGCCAUCCCUUUCUCAACGGUCCUCAAAACGGAGGUGAAUAGUCUGCCUUCCAUUUCCAUGCUUUACUCAUACACUCUUGUGAUGUAUGGUCACAGUUAAAUCACGUCAAUAUUUUAUAUUAAUUUUUUAUAAAAAUAAUUAAAAAAAAAUAAUAAAAAUAUAAAAUGUUAACAUGAUUUAACCGUAACCAUAUAUACAAAAAAUAACAAAGAAAAUAUGAAAAUAGGAUGACAGAUAAUCCACCUCACCUCGAAACACCCAAAUUUCCUCAAACCUCUACAAAAUUCAUAACUUUACUUUUUCUUUCUGUGGGCCGUGUUCUAAUUCACAACUAAAAUUUAGCAAAUGGGACGGUUUUAUACCGUUAAAUUAUCUCAUUGCCCAAAGUUGCCUUUUGCUUUAUAAAUCUAAUGCCUCGGUAAUAGGGUCUUCUUUUUUUUUUCCUCUUUUUAAACUUAUCGUUAUCAUCCAACACAUAUUUUUUUAUAGUUUAAAUGGGUGCUAUUAGUUUAUCUUCACUGGCCUGGAUAACAAGAUAGUCCGAUCUUUUAUUUAUUAAAUUGGCAUGUUAAGAAAGAUAGUAGUUUCUUGAUUCAAUCAUGACCGUCGAUUUUUCAUACUACUAAGUACUGCUAAAGAAAAAUUGUUAUAUUAUAGCAAAAUUAUGUAUCGUUAAUUCACAUGAUGAGAAAUGCAAAUACAUGUAUAAAGUAUCUUCGAUAUGAACACACAAAAUUUUAAUAUUAGAACAUCAUUCACGAGAAUCAAACUUAAAAUUAAUGAAACAUAAUAGAUCACAUUUAUAAACCAUAUGAUGUGUCACCAAUAUAAAAUAAAGGGUAAUGCUAUGGAGACCAAAAUUUUCAAACCAAAUUUGCAAACCAAAUGAUGUGAUUGCUGAUGAUUGAAUUAUUACUUAAACGUUGGUUAACGUACUUAUUUUCUAUUGGUGACAAGACAUUUGGUUUGUAAAUUUAAUUUAAAAUUUUGAUAUCUCUAACAUUAUCCAAUAUUAUUCUAGACUAAAAUAAUAAUUCAAUUAUCAAUAACUAAAUUAUAUAAUUUAUAAAAAACGGUUUAAGUAGACGGUAUCCUUAAAUAACUAAAAUGAAACUUAGCUUUAAAAGAUUGGAAAAGUGGAUUAAAAGGCAAGGAAUAAAUAAAAGCGAAGAAGAAAAGAAAAGGUGGAGGGAAAUAAGAUUAAAUUGUCCAACGGGUCUCUGGAAAGACAAAGACAACCCACCAUUCAUGACAUGGAUUGGUGACAGCGACGUUGUCCUCAUCUUUCCUGCACUCUCCAGAAACAUCUCUUGAUUAAUCCACAUAAAACAUCCAUUACCACUAAUUUACUAGAAAAAGGCAUAAAGGUUAAGGUUAAGCACACACCUUUUGAGAAUAGUUCCAAAUAAUUCACCUACCAAAACUUGAAAAGGAUGUAACUCAUGUAUAUUUUGUUUUUCUGCUAGGAUGUUUGAUUUUAUUUUCAACACAAGAAAUACAAAAGAAAAUCUGUCCGAUAUACUGAGACUGAUUUUUCUUUCGAAUGCUGUCGUCUUGUUUGAUUUGAAUAUUCUCUUUUUUAUCUUACAAUGUAGUAGAAGGAUUAUUUAUUUAAUAGAUUAUAUUGAAAAAAUUAAUUAGGUAUGAAAUUAUUUAGUCAUUUUAAAAUUAUUUAAUAAAUAGACGAAUUAUAUCUUUUAAUUAAAUAAUUCCUUUUUACAAUAAUGAUCAAACGGUUAAAUAAUUUCUAGUUUGGUUAAGUUUAACUGGUUCGAAGUUUUCAAUCAUCAAGAAUAAUUGAAGAGUGAAAUGAGAGUAGAGAAAGGUAAACCGCAAAGAUUCUAGCGAGAUCCUUUUUUUUUUUUUUUUAAUAUAUAUUUUAGGGGGAUAAAGAAUAAAGGGAAUAAAAUGCCUUUUCAUCAUUUCAUUUGUUUAGCAUACUUUAACAUACUUUAACAGCUCAGGCAGACAAACAAUUUUCCUUUAUAAAUCUCACUCCAUUUCUCACUCGAUCAUCCAAAAACCAAACCCUUGCAUUCUUUCAAGAGAGAGAAACCACACAACCCCCCAAACCAGAGAGUUCUAGAGAGAGAAACACAAGCCCAUGGAGGGUAAAGAAGAAGAUGUGAAGCUGGGAGCCAACAAAUUCCCAGAGAGGCAGCCCAUAGGGACCUCAGCACAGACAGACAAGGACUACAAGGAGCCACCGCCGGCGCCGCUGUUCGAGCCCGGCGAGCUCAAGUCCUGGUCUUUCUGGAGGGCUGGGAUUGCUGAGUUCAUGGCCACCUUCCUCUUCCUCUACAUCACUGUCCUCACUGUCAUGGGGGUUUCCAGGGCACCCAACAAGUGUGCCUCUGUGGGUGUUCAGGGCAUUGCCUGGGCCUUUGGUGGUACCAUCUUUGCCCUUGUUUAUUGUACUGCUGGUGUCUCAGGUAUACUUCUCCCUCUCUCUCUCUCUCUCUCCUGUUUUUUCUUUUGUUUCUUUGGCUUGAUCUGUUGCUUGCUAUGCUUCCUUUUAUUUUGGUGUUUUUUUGUAAGUUUUUGGUUAAGUAAGUGCAGAUAUGUACAAGAAUAUUUGGGUUUUGAGUUGUUUCUUAAGUUGAUGUUUGGUUCCCAGGAAAAUGAGGGAAAGAAAAGUAAUAGUGGAGAAAGAAAGUUUCUUUUUCUUUUACUUUAGCAUUCUGAGAGAACCAACUGGAGGAUUGGAGGACUUUACUGUUUUACUUGGGUGUGUGAAAAUUGAUGAAAAAUAAAUAAACCACUUACCAAAAAGAGAAGAAAAAAGUGAGAACUUUAGAUUAUUGGGAUUAACUGUAAGGGUUAUUUUUCUUAAACUCUUGUAUAGUUAGCAAUUUUUACUGCUGAAAAUCAGAGUAGUAGAGUAAAAAAAUUUGGAUUUGUUAAAGAUAUCAACUUUGUUACUGAUCUUCUUGUUGGAUUUACUGGUCUUUAUAACUUUACCUCACAAAUCCAAAUUUCUGGAAAAAUGAAAAUCUGCAUCUUUAUUUUGCAGUAAAAAUUUGAGAGUGUAUAAAUUAAGCCAAAAAUGAAUUCAAAUCAUAUGUUCCUCACCAAUUUUCAUAUUUCGUCGUAACAGUAUAUUAACCUUUGAUAUAUUGAUAAUUUGGACAGGUGGUCACAUAAAUCCAGCUGUGACAUUUGGUCUCUUCCUAGCAAGGAAGCUCUCCCUGACCAGAUCCGUGUUCUACAUCAUCAUGCAAAGCCUUGGGGCAAUGGCUGGUGCCGGGGUGGUGAAGGGGUUCCAACCGAAGCAGUAUGAGUUGCUCGGCGGUGGAGCUAAUGCGGUGAACCAUGGCUAUACCAAGGGUGACGGCCUAGGCGCUGAGAUUGUUGGCACUUUUGUUCUUGUGUACACUGUUUUCUCUGCCACUGAUGCCAAGAGAAAUGCCAGAGACUCUCAUGUCCCUGUAAGUAUAUCUCACCUUUGAUGAUUGAGUACUUGUUUACACACUGCGCUCAUAACUAUUUUCUGUAAAUGUUGUAACUAUGCAUCUGUCUACUUGUAUCAUUGUAAUGCCUUGGUUACUAAGGCAUAGAUUUCAUUGAGUUUUGAGUAUAUUGUGAUUGACUGUUUAGCUAACCGCCGCUCAAUCGUUGUUGCUAUUUGCAAUAUCUUUGGUUAAAAGUUAAUGUUUUAUGGCUCUGGUACAUGAUUACAAACUUUUUCUUUGUGCCAAAAUUACCAUGCCGAUUAGUCAAUCUUCUCUGUGAUUUAGAACACUUUAUCUACAAUAAGCAUCACACGAAACUCUUUCAUGUAGUAGCAACUGGUAUCCCUAUUGCAGCUAUGUCGAUAAACAUGUUCUUAUAUACGAAUGGAAAUGCAGAUCUUGGCUCCACUCCCCAUUGGGUUUGCUGUAUUUUUGGUGCAUUUGGCAACCAUCCCCAUCACCGGAACUGGCAUCAACCCUGCUAGGAGUCUGGGAGCUGCCAUCAUCUACAACAAGGGCCAUGCAUGGGAUGAUCAUGUGAGUAAAACUAAAUUGUUUACAUCAUGAAGUUGCAUCGAUCUAAAUGCACGGGAGAGGAUACAUGUCUUACAUCUUCAAUGAUUUUGUUGUGUUUGCAGUGGAUCUUCUGGGUCGGACCAUUCAUCGGAGCUGCACUUGCUGCACUCUACCAUCAGAUAGUCAUCAGAGCCAUCCCAUUCAAGACCAGGGAUUGACAUGGUAAUCCCCGUCGGGCCUUGUUCUCCCCGUCGGGCCUUGUUCUCCCCGUCGGGCCUUGUUCUGUCUAAAUGCUGCGAUUGUGUUUAUUUCGUUCGUUGUGUUUUAAUGUCGAGAGUGGAGUAUUUGGGGUGCUAAUGUGCAUAUUAGUUAUUUAUCCUGUUACAUUAAUGGAAAACUUUAUUUAAUUUAUUUAUACUUUGUUAUUAUGUUAAUCCUUACUUUUGCAUUGGAAGGCUUUAGGCAUUUGUUACCAAGUAAUUUGGGACUCGAAAGCUUUAUUUAAUUCAUGACUUGCGUAGCCACAUUUAUAACAAGAGACAAUGCGUCUCCUCUGUCUCGUUUGGAAAUGGAUCUUCAUCAAAUCUCUACUUAAUCUUUUUCAUCAAAUAAUCUGGAUUUUUGGUUACAAAUAGGGGUUUAUUUUAAAAGUUAUAAUAACUUUAACCGUUUGAUCAAAUGAAUUAUUUGAUCCAUAAAUAAUUCAUUUCCGUCUCAUUUCUAAUUUGUUGACACAUGGUCCGUAAUUGGUAAUUUUAACACUGUUACUUUACAUAGAAUUUGAUUGGAAAAAAAAACCUGAAAAAUUAAUGGUACGUAGACGGAACGGGAUGAAACGAAACGAAGGUGUAAUUUUUGAAAAAGACAUGGGGUAUAUUUGUCUUAAAAUGGUAAAACAUUGUGUUCCACAGACGUGGAACAAACCCGUUCCAGGGGGGAGGUGUGACGCAAAAACACCCAAAAUCUGUCUUGUGGAACAGCCCGUUCCACCCAUUUUUGACGCACCAAACGCGGGACGGAACGCCUCGUCCCGUUCCGUCCCGUCCCGUCCCACGUACCAAACGCACCCUAAAGGCACCACAGCUGAUGAAACCCUUCAGCAUCCUUCCCCACGGGAUGGAUCAAUUAGAUUAGAUAUUUUCAAUCUAUCACCGCAGCAACCAACCCCAACCCUUCAACAUCCUCCCCCAAUCGAUCGAUAUGAUAUUCUCAAAUUUCAAACUUCACACACUGUUUGCCAGCUGUGACUAGAUGGAUUGAUCACAUACCGAUCGAUUAGAUAUUCCAAAUUUCAAACUUCAAACUUCACAUGUAUUGACGAGAGUAAUUUGAAAAGAGAGAAAGGAAAGGAAAGAAAGCUUCGCCGCUGUGAGGAGCAUCGUCGGCAGCGAUGGGGUGGUGUCACUGGUGUGGUUGCAGUGGUCGGCGGCGAUAGGUUGUGUGGUUGCAGUGGCCAUCGGCGGUGUGAUUCUGUAGUUGCAAUGGAUAGUUAUUGAGUGGGUUUUUGUUUUCUUUAAUUUUUAAUUUUUCAAUUAUUUUAUAAAAAAUUACAGUGUUAACUUUGGUGUUAAAUUAAUAGACAAAUGUUAAAAAAUUAAGAAAGAGACACAAAGGAGACAUUAUAAAUUCAGAAAACAGAUCCCCGGCCCUUGAAAGCUUUAUUUAAUUAAUGACCUGGUUAACCACAUUUAAAUUGUUUAUAACAAAAUCAUGCUCAAACCGAGUUAAUAACAAGAGAAAAUGUUAUUGAUUCUCUAAAAAAGUUGUUACUUAAUUUCCUCAUUAUUUUCACAAGGGUUAGAUGGUUAGACAUUAGGGUUUGAUGAUUCGUUUUGUUUGAGAGGAAUGAAGAAAAGAAGAAAAAAAAUUAUAUGUUAAGUAAAUAGGUCGAAAAAAUUGUUAACGACCGUAUUUUUACUUUAAAAUCUAUUUUGGUCAUCAGUAGUUUCUAAAUUCUCUUCCAUAUGUUUUGUUUGUUCUUUUAUUGUGUCACCUAAGUUUUCUUUAAGUUCAUUCACAGUGGAUGAAUUUCAUACUUACUAUUAUAGUCUUGAAUAAAAUGAUAAAAAAAGGAACACAACAAAGUCGUUCGGGAUGUGACAAUCGAUUAUCACUCAUACUAUUCAACAAACCACGAUUGAAUUAAGCAUACGGUUGGGAAUGACAGAAUAUCAGAAUUAUGAUUCAGCAAAGGACAGCAUAACGAGCAAUGCCAAAUUUUGUCAAUUAGGAUCAAACAUUGUGACAGCUUACGAGCAUUUUCUUUUACUUUAAAAUCUUUUUUGGUCAUCAGUAAUUUCUAAAUUCUCUUCCAUAUGUUUUGCUUGUUCUUUUAUUGUGGCACCUAAGUUUUCUUUAAGUUCAUUCACAAUGGAUGAAUUUCAUACUUACUAUUAUAGUCUUGAAUAAAAUGAUAAAAAAAGGAACACAACAAAGUCGUUCGAGAUGUGACAAUCGAAUAUCACUCAUACCAUUCAACAGACCACAAUUGAAUUAAUGUACGGCUGGGAAUGACAUAAUAUCAAAAUUAUGAUUCAGCAAAGAACAACAGAACGAGCAAUGCCAAAUUUUGUCAAUUAGGACCGAACAUUGUGACAACUUAUGAGUAUUUUCAAAGGAGAUGUCAAAUUUCAAACGUAAAUUUAAAUUUGACAGCUUAUAUAACACUUUGACAUCUUUUAAAGUUUUGUUCUCCACCUAAUAUGUCAAAUUAAACUAUUAUUUUAUUAUAAUAAAUGUUUUUUUUAACAAACGAUAUUUAACAUUGAAGGGGAGGAGAGUGAGCUUAACCUUCCAAUGGGUUAACAAUAAUGUAGUUCAAAUUCGCCUUUGGUGAGAAUCGAACCUUAGUACUGUCACAUUCCAGGCUCGACUCUACUGUAGCACGAUAGCUUUGUGCCCCGACCACGCUCUCACAGUUUUGUUUCUGGGAACUCACACGAGAACUUUCCAGUGGGUCACCUAUCCUGGGAUUGCUCUUGCGCAAACUCGCUUAACUUCGGAGUUCCGAUAGAACCCGAAGCUAGUGAGUUCCCAAAAUGCCUCGUGCUAGAUAGAGAUGAGAAUAUACAUAUAAGACAUAGAGGAUCCUCACCCUUGGGCGAUGUGGGAUAUUACAAGAACUCUCGCUUACAAGUGAAGAGGAAUACCACCAGACCGUAGUAUUUAGUGGCAUUAUAAUAAAUGUUUUAAAACAAAAAACAAUUAUAAUAUUAGUAAAAUGCAUUUAAUAAUCAAUUAAUAAAAGAUUUGAAGGUGAUGUCAAUUUUGGCAACAAGAGUGAGGGCUGCCAAUUCAUGUCAUGCCGCUUUAGAUUUGGCUUUUCGUUAAAAAACAUUGUUGUUAGUUUUUUUAUUGUUAAUACUGAUUUGAACAUUUCUUUUAGAGAUGCUCUAAGAGUAUACGGUAGAUUUCAAUGGCUGAGCUUUGGUAAUUUGUAGUUGGAGUUAAUGCCGUUGAGUGGUGCACUUAUAAGAUUUUCAGGUAAUUCAGAUUAGGUUGCAUCUUUAGUUGAGAUUGAGAGCACCCUUUACACGAAUUUAAUUAUGGCAUUUUUCCCUUUCUAUUGUUGAUUUAACUGGAGGCAUUUUAUUUGAAGAUACCUUGGCAUAAACAAGAUCCUUAAACAUAUGUGUCGUGCUCUCUUUUUCCUAGUUCGACUUUUUCUGAGAUCCACUGCAAUGCAAUUUUUUUUUUUUAACAAACUAUAUUAUCUACAUUAACAGAGAAAGGACGUUAGCUAAGUCUUACAAUGGGUUAGCAAGGAAGUGGUACAAAUUCCAUUUUGAGAGAAUUGAACUUAAAACAUAUCACUUAUCGAUGACGGAGAAUACCAUUAAACUGUAGUAUUAAGUGACACAUUCAUAUGUUCUAUCAAAAGUUUUUUUUUUUUGAAGGCAGAAAAAUUGGGUACCAAUAGAGGGCACCCAAAAACAGACACAAAGCGCGGGCCUUUCAAUUCUUCCCAUACAAAAGCCCAAAUUCGAGUAACCCAAACUCUGCUGUCACCCUUUCUCCCACUUCUCCCUCGACAUUUUUCCAUCUCUCUCUGACGCCACCUCUACCAGGUAACACCGCCACUCAUCCUCCACUGCACUUGCUGAUUUUUCAGUCUCUAGCUAUUUUAUCGGAAUAAGUUCAAUUUUUGUUUUUUUUUUUUCUUUUCAUAUGGUUUCGAUCAGUGCAUAUCCAAUUCUCCGAAAUGAACCUUUCUGCUUUGAUUUGUGCAGCGAAGUUAAUAAAACCCAUAUAAUAUAAAGCUUCAAUUUUGAUUUGAGUUCCAGUCUUUGAAUUGUUUUCUUUCAAUUUGGUAGCUUGGUAGAGCAAUUUGCUAAAGUGGGUAGUUCCUGUUCCCCUCAAAUUUGCCGAAAGAUUUGAAAUUUUAGAUGAUGUUAGGAUUCUGGAUAUGGGAUUUGGUGGGUUUUGAUUAGUUUGGCAUCAAUUAGAUGGGUUUUGAGCAAUGAUGGAUUGAAUGGGCUUUUGCUGGUUUUUGUGUUUAGUUUAUCUUUGGGUUAUCUGUGAACUAGUUUUUCUUUUAGUACGAAAAUAAAAUUUAAUUGAUGGCAAGGGCAGUUUAAAUAGGGUUUUAGUAGACAAUGGAACUUGUUUUUCAUCAAAUUCUCCUUGUUAUGUAGUUUUUGUAAGUCAUCCAAGUUUGAAAGAUGAAUUCUUCUUUUAAUGAUUCAGUUCUGUGUUGAAAUCAAUUCCCGGUGUUAAUCUUCCUUUCGUUGUUCUUUGGAUUACAGAUUCUACUCGUUUUGCAAACUUUUAAAUCUUUAAUUUGUUGUAAUACUUGGUUGUUCUCUUGAUUCCGAAUAUUUUUAUUCUGUUAAUUUUUUUUUUGUUAUCGCUAGGAACAGCACUUAGUUUCUCUAGCAAUGGCUUAUGAAAUUUUUUCAUAAAUUGCCUUGCAUAAUUUAAUAAUCCUGUAAACUUUUUGAUUUAUAAUGUAUAUCUUGUUGGAAAAAAAAAUUCUCUCCAUUAAACUUUGAGUUUCUUCUCUUGGUGGUUAAUAACAGAUAAUACAAACUAUAGUCAACCAAACAGCUAUUACACUUCUGUGCUAAUCUACUGCUUUCUUGUUUCUAGGUAGAAAUUAAUCAUUGGUUGGAGAACCCAAGGGGAGGCAACUAUGUCGUUCAUGAAGGGAGAUUUACUUACGAGAACUAGAAAGCUGGUGAAGGGCCUGGCCAAGGCCGAGCCUGUUUGGCUCAAAGCCAUGGAAAAGUUUGCCCCUCUCUUUCUCACCAUUUUGUAAUUCUUGGAAUGCCUUUUCGUUUUACUUAUUUGUUAAAAACAUCAUGUAUUGUGAAUUUUUCAGGGCACCGCCUGUAACGUUUCCUCGUGCAAAUGCAAUUCAGAAAAUCACUCUCCCAGAGGAUGUUUACAUAAAGAAGUUUUUCCAGAAGCAUCCAGAUUCCAAACAUGAAGAUGCCAUCAAGUAUGGUUUAUCUUUGUUUUUUGGUAUAAUAUGAGUUGUUGUCUCGUUACUGUUGUUUGGUCUUGUCAUGAGUUUAUCCUUGGCUAGUAGAUGUGGUUGGUAAUUCAGGAUUGAACAUGUUGCGUGAAUCCGAAGACUUAAUAACUUCUUAUCAGAAAACGCAGGGCUUAUUAACUUAUCCGUCAUGUUUGAAUAGGAUUUCUUCUUUUGAUCCUCCUCCAGCCCGUAUAUUUGGUUUGCGGGUACUUGUGUUGAAGGAGCAAGGUGUUGCUGAGGAAGAAGCAAUGGCAGUAGCUGAUGUAUGUAUUUGGAUUUCCUGUCCCUAAAUGUGUGCUUUUCUAAGUUGUUUUCUGACUGAUGUUUCACGUUGUCUCCUAGAUGGAAUACCGGAUGGAGAGAAAAGAGAAGAAGAAGGCAUAUUCCCGCUUGAAGAAAAUUGCACGCCUUCAAGGGAAGAGGCCUCCUCCCAACCCAUAUCCCAGCGCUAUCAAGGAAAUACAAGCUGAGGAGAAGAAGUUUGUUCGUGACCGUUUUUACAAUCCCAAAAUUAUUCAACUUGUAAGGCAAUUGCAAGAGGACAAGGCAGCUGAAGCGCAGGAGAGAUUCAGAGCAGGAGGAGGUUCCGGGUAACUUAAAGUGCCGUCUUUUGAUAAUAAUUUAGUUCAGUUAGCUUCCUGAGAUUUUUACUGAUUUGCUCUAGCUUUUGAUCAAAUAUUAGCCUAGUGUAUUGGAAAUGAUUCUUAGGUACUUCUCAUUUGCAUCCAUUUAUGGUCAAUGAAAUGCUAUACAUUUGUGAAAAUCAUGGAAUAUGAAUGCUGCAUUUUCCGUUUUCCAGUUUGUGUAUUUUUAUGAACUGCUUAUCCUUCCAGACCACUGGUAACGUCUUUCGUAAUCCCAUACUCAAUAAUAGAUAUUUCCAGUGUUCGAAAUGUUAGCCACUUGGUUUUAAGAUGCGACUAACAACUCUUGGUCCAUCGGUACUUCUCUCUAACUAUUUUGCAGUAUGGCAAUUCAAUUGUUAUAGAGCUUCGGGUUCAUUUCUAAUAAAUCAUUAGGCAUGAAUCAUACCAUAUUUAUCGUAGACUUGCAUCCAAACUUGUUGAAGAUGGUAGAACUUCUAUGCUAGUAAAUAAGGGGGCAGUGUAGAACAUAUCAAUGGAGAAGAACCAUCUAACUGGGACGCCAAGGUGACUGUUUUCCAACCAAAUCACGUUAAGCCAUGUGAGCAAGUUAAAACACAUGACGUCGGGUAAUAGGCUUGACAUACCACCACCUUGGCGUCUUGGUUCGACUCUCAUGGUGAAUGGUUAGAUAUGACAAAGAAUCCAGCUAAUGAAUGUGUUUUGUAUGCGUUCCAUUAAUGUGUGAAGAUUGUGCAUCAGCAUGUCUUUUAUCAUUUCAUAAGCUGAUUCACCGUCGGAAACUAGUGCUUUUUUACAAGUGAUGAUAUUACCAAUCUAACGUUUUAGAUUGUCUUACAAAAGAACAUUUCUCCGAGCGAUAAAAGAUACACUCAUAAUAACAAUUCAUUUGAGAUUGACUCUGUUUGAAGUAAUAUUGCUUGUAAGCGAUUCAACUAAAAGUUUCUUUGCCAAACAUAAUUCAAAGCGUUCUAAAUUGCUAGAAAGCACUUUACUUCUCACAUCCCAUUUUACUUCUCACACACUCCCUGAUAAUUUCUGUUUGUUGAUCUUCAAUUUAUCCGAUCUAACGAUCUAAAAUUAAAAAGAUAUGUGAGAAGUAAAAUGAGAUGCAUGAAUAUCACACGAUAUCAAUUCCCACCAAAAAAUAUAAGCUGAUAAAUUACACCUUCAAUUACAAUCAACUUCUACCAGUUCAGAUUGAUAACAUUUUAAACUAUCUAACAAAAGAAUAUUUAUUCUAAAAAAAAGAGAAAAUAUUAUCAGCGAGAUAAUCAUAAAAGAGGAGAAUAACGAUUCAUUUGAGGUUGCAAAAUACUGCCCAUAAGCGACCCAACCAAAAGUUCUUUUACAAUAAACAAAGUUUAUUAAAAAUUGAUUCUACAACCCGUAAACGCUUUCAAGGUUUUGUUUUUUUUUUUGCAAACAUAGUUUAAAGCGUUUUUAAUUGCUAGAAAGCACUUUUAGCAAUUUCGGAAGUAGUCUCAAAUAGAUUGGAAACCAAAAGAGGUAUCAUUUGCUAGUGCUGAAAAUAGUAUGUAUUGGCAAUUGGUGUUAACCUAAUGGGUGAUUUUCCUCCUAAACAAUGAAUUUAACAACAUUAUCACACAUAACAAGGGUAAUAAACAUUUUCUAGGCAACCAAACAAGUCCUAAAAUUAAUUCCUUGCACGCAUUCAUAGAAGUUGAAACAUAUUAGAUAAGAUAGACCAAAAUAAAGGGGAAAAGUAUGGCCACCAAUAAAAAGCAGAGAUGAAAUAAACAUUUAACAAUACUAUCGGAUUCUCUUUGUGGGAUCGGAUGAUUAAUCAAUCAUAUCCGUUUAUCAUAUAUUAUACGAUAAAAAAUCACUUUGAAUUUUUUAUUUAAAAUUGAAGACAAAAAGUAUAUAAUGAAAAUUAGCCGCAUGAUAUACGAUAAUUGAUCUUCUAGAUCUUCACGAAGAGGAUCCGGAGAGGAUCCUCAUUCACUUUAAGGCUUCACCAACUCCAACCAACCCCCUAAAUAAAAGUAUUAACUUUGCUCGGAUUGAUGAUCUAACUUCCAACAGUAUUUAGCUCCCUCUAUGCUUCCUACAUUUAAUUUCUUGGGAGACAAUUUUCUUCACUACAAAGUCAAAUAGCAAAUCUAGAUGAGCUGCCAAGGCAAUGUGGUUGCUUAUUCGAAUUCAUUUGUUCGUAAAUUAGACUAGUUUAUGACAUUGUCUUGUCAAUCUAUUAUUUAGGCCCUUUACAAUGUGUAGAAAAAUUGAGUUUGACUCUAAUUUAAAGUCAAAAAUUUUGAGUUUGAUUUCAAUCUACUAGCAGAUGCUAUUUAAGUUAGUUGGUCAGAGUAAUGUGCUCAUCUACCAAGUUUAAAAUUAUCUACCAUUGAUUAAAUUCGAGUAUUUUUGAAUAUUGAAUUGUAAAAAAAAAAGAGUAUUUUUGCUCACCAACACAUUUAUCACUGUUAAAUAAAUUUAAAUUCAAGAUAUGUACAGUGAACAGACACAAAUUUUAAAAUUUAAAUAACUAUCCAUCACCAAAGUUGCACAUCAUCACACAUUAGAUUGUAAUGUUGGAAGAUUUUGCCAUACAACAAUGUUUGUCAUUGUUCAAUUCGACUGAUUCAAUAUUCUCUAUCGUUCUGUAUAUCUCUUAACUAUGUCUUGUGAUUUUGAGCAGAGAGGUUUUAGCAAAAAUAAUAAAAAUCUUUUAUACACACUUUGCUUGUGAGGAAUUGAAUUAUAUAAUAAAGCUGUAAACGCAUCAACAUCUCCGGUCCCAUGGGCAUUUUUGGGUGUGGGCAGCAAUUUAAUGCUCGCUUGAUCCUACAGCUAGCUAGCUGCAGGUCAAUUAUUUUGGCGGUAAUGCUUUGAAGACAAAAUUUACAAAUUAAAUGAUAUGUCACUAAUACAAAUAAACACGAUUAUCAAUACUUAAGUAGUAAAUCAAUUAUCAACUUCCAUGUUUUUAGUUUUCAAAAUUUUAUCUACAAAUUAAGUCCCUUAUCAUUACCCUUAUUUUGGUGACAAAUGAUAUUAAUCACUUAGUUAAAAGUCAAUAGAAAUCAAUCAUAUAUACUAAAACCCAGUUCGGGUGGGUACUGUUGAUGACCAGUGAGAUGACCGCUUUGCCCCUCAGUUUAUCCUUGCUUUCCUCCUUUGUGGUCUGCUUCAUACAAUAAAUUUACGGUUUUGCCCUUUUCCAUGCGUCUCUUAUCUUUGAUAUGUCCGCUUCGAGUAUGAGUAGGGAUGGGCGCGGUGCGGUUUGGUGCGGUUUUAAAGGCAAAACCGAAAUGAAACCAAACCGUUUGGUUCGGUGCAGUGCGGUUUCAAACGGUUUCGGUUCGGUUUUUGAGAAAAAAAUGUACAAUUUAAAAUAUACACUUAUUUACGCAUAAGACGGUCUUAUUUUUCUUAUAUAUUAAUUAAUGAACAUGCAGAAAAAACAGCAACAAGAAUGCAGUAAAAACAGCAACAACAUUGCAGCAAAACUGCAGCCAAAAACUGCGGAAAAAAAAAACUGCAGCCAAAAUUGCUAAUUCCUGGUCUUUAUCUAUGACUCUGCUAAUUCCUGAGAAGUGGUCUCUAUUUGCGACUCUGCUAAUUCAAUUACAUAACUCAAGCCAUGCUUCUGAUGAACAAAAAUCCUAUGAGAGUACCUCUAUCGUGACUCUGGGAUUUUGUUGCAAGUGUUUUUUAUACAGUUAUUUGGCUUCAUCAAUGAUCAGAGGCUUUUCUUAUAAUAAAUACCAAAUUUGUUGAACUCCAAUUUUCAUGAUACAUUAGUGGUUUUUGUUACAUUUAGGCAAGCACACAAGGCAAUGCCUAAAGAAAUUAAUAAUUUAGAACUUAAAUUGAUACUUUAAGAGAUGAACAUGAGUUUUGAGAGAGAGAUGAAGAUGAGUUUUGAGAGACAGAGAAAGAUAAAUGAAUAUAAUGACUUGAAUAGUGUAGUUGAAGUUGAACUAAUUAAAAGUUAAAACAUAACAUUCAAAAUAUAUGGUGCGGUUUCGGUUUUGGUAUGGUACGGUUUUGAAAAUCUAAAACCGAAACUAAACCGUUUUCUUUGUUGCGGUUUGGUUUCGAAACCGCAACCGUUUUAAAAUCGCAAAAUCAAACUGUUCGGUGCGGUCCGAUUUAAUUUGUGUUUCGAUUUCGGUUUUCGGUUCCAAAUGCCCACUCCUAAAUGUACGAGAGUUUUCUAUUUCGUUUAAACCUUUAUUUCUUCUGCUCAUUCUCUGAUCCGUGCCUUAUUCUCACUGUUUUUCUUUGAUAUUGUGGUGUUUUGAACCCAAAAUUUUUCGUAUUUUAAGUGAUAUACUACGAGGAAGACAUCCUCCAAACCCUCUACAUAAGCAUCGAGGUAAAUCCCGCUUCUGCUCUGCUGCACAAAUUAUUUGUUAUUUUCCGUAAUAUAUUUGAUUUCUAGAACUGUAAUUUCAGAUUAUUGCCCCUUUCGAUUUUUGUCAGUUUGGACCAAACCCUAACCGUUUGGUUUUGUGAUCAGUAGCACUCUUUGUUAUCUCACUUCAUAAAUCUCGGAUUUGGCAGGAAUUGGAACGGCGCUGUUAUUUUUUGGGUGUGUUAUCUCUGCUUCUGUUUAUCCCAAUUUUAAUAUGUAUUUGCAAUUGUUGGAUUAAAAAGGGUUUGUGAUUUGUGAAAAAAGAUGAGUCAAGCGACUCCAAUUUUUGAAAGUUAUCUGGUUUUGGUUUGUAUCGAAAACAGGGAACACUGAGAGGGAGAUGAUGACAUAAAGUAUUAAGUUUAAUUGUGAUUUAAAUUUUUUUAUGUUGUUAGCGGAUGAAUCCAUCUGUUGGUUGAAGUGAUAGGUGUAAAAAAAUGAAUAUGCCAAGGUGUAAAUAGUUGGAGGUUUAUGGUAUUUUGCAGGUUUUCUGUUGGUUCAUGGUUUUGGUAGUUUUGAUUUCGUGAGAGGCAUAGAGAGUAUACACUGAGACAAAUAGGUGGGAAGACAGAACAAGGGAAGGGGAAAAUGAGAGAGACACGGGUUGGGCCAUUUUUUUUUUAUAAUUGAUUUGGGGUUUUGUUUGGGUUUGGGGUUGUGAUGUUUCUGUAUUUAAUUUGGUAUUUCAUAGUUUGGGGUUGAGUCGUUAUUUUUUUGGACUUUAUGAUCUCAUUUGUGAUUAUCAAGUGCAUAAUGGUUAAUUGUAAUUUUCAAAUUUUUAUGCUAUUAGUAGUUAAAACUAGGGGAAUGGCUCCAAUUUUGUUAGUCAAUUAAUUUAUUUUUUUGUGUAUCUCAAGCUUCUAAUUGAUUUCCUGCAUCAUUGCUUAGUUUUAUUCACUGAGAUUUGAGUGGUUAAUUUUUUUUACCUUAUGACCUCAUUUGUGAUUAUCAAGUACAUAAUGGUUAAUUGUAAUUUUCAAUUCUUUAUGUUGUUAAUGGUUAAAAUUAGGGGAAUAGCUCCAAUUUUGUUGGUCAAUUAAUUUAAUUUAAUUUUUGAUAUAUCUCAAGCUUCUAAUUGAUUUCCUGCAUCAUUGCUUAGUUUUAUUCACUGAGAUUUGAGUGGCUAAUUUGGAUCAAACUCUAAUGAUUUUCCUUUUCAACAGUUGUGGUCCUCUGUUAGGAUUUUCCUGGAAAAGAGUAUAUUUUCCGUUUUGGUUGCUCAGUUGCUCAAUCACAAAUUUGCAAAUAGCUCUGGUGGUGCUAUUAUUUUUGGGUAUGUUUUCUGUCAUUUUUUCCCCUGUUUGAUCAUGCAUUUAUGAAUGUUGGAUUAAAAUGUGUUUAUUUUUGGGAAGAAAUGAGACGGCUAGUUAGAGUUUUAGAAACCUUUGUCUUUCUUGCUUUUUAUGGCAAUGAGAAGAAGGAAGAAAACAUUGAUCUUAAUUGUAAUUUUCAGUUCUUUACACUGUUAGUGCUGAAACCUCUGUUUUGUAGACAAAUAGCUGACAUGUGAACAUUUGCAAAUCCAUGUUAUUUUCUAAGUUGUUUUUUAUUUUCCAAUGUAUUUUUUUCUUCAUAUGAACCUGGAUGAAAUGAUUGUUGGUGGUUUUUAACCAGAUGCUUUGUUUCAAAAUGAUUAAUCCUAUUAAGAAUAAAUAAUUGCUUGGGGUAUAAAAUGUGUAUUGUUGAUGCUUUGGUCAAUCUGACCAUAAAAAUAGAGUGCAUUUUGGUUUCUUUGACUCUUUUGUUUGCUUUGUUUGUUGUUUGGACCUAAGCUUAAAAUACUUACACAAUACUUGACAAGAAAAAUAAUAUUUAGGAUUAGGUUAGUGUUUAUGCAAUGAUAACCAUAGACAAUUAAUUCUCUGGUGACUUAUUUCAUGCUUUAGUUUGGAAACUCUUGUUUUUGUCAUAUAUAGAAUACUAGCACGGCGUGCAAAUGCGUUAUCGAUUGACUUCUAAAUGGUGGUUAAUUUAGUUUAUAAAUUUGUAAUGCAUGUGUUCUCUAACCUUGAGCGACUGUACAUGAGGACAUAAGACGUCUUUUGGGUGAGAAAUCUGCUUCCUUGAUAUGGGCAGCGAGUCAGUUUGGUUCGACUCUUGAUCCGGAGCAGAGACUAACUGUUCUUCACAUCCAAGCUCGUCUUGUGAUAGGGUCCUUAGGUCUGUACAGAAUCUGAACAUAGAAAAGCACCCUAGGCAUUUUGUUUUGUUUUUCUCUGUACUUGAAUGAAAUACAAUCAGUAAUAUGUAAGAGAAUGGUCGGCUUCAAUGAAAUGUUUGCCUUGACAUUUUGUGCAGUAUAAUUUCAAAAUCAUACAACAUUCUACGGACUAACGUGACGGUAGGUAAAACUCCUCAUGCGAGUCUGGAAGCCCUCGCAUUGACAAUAAUCACACAAUGAAUGAACAGUCACAAGUGAAUAAAACGCAAGAAACCGUUGUCGCUAAAAGACCAAAUAUCAAUAAUAAUGUUCCAAUAGUAUUGCAUUAACAACACUUUAGCAUAAUUUCUAUGCAAAUACAUUUAAGUCAGUCAAUUAUUGUGUGAAUAAAUCUGUAAAGACCGAGUAGAAUAAAGUCGGUCAAUUAUUGAAGUAUCACAUGGAGUGUCGCAUGGGGUCCAAGUCAAGACAAUAGUUUCACUUGCAUCGUGGAAAUUUUGGUUUGUAAGUCCCUAUUGUUCUUAAUUUGUAAUUUAUUUUGAAGCGUGAUUAAGAUAAAUGACAAACGAAAGUGGAGAAGAAUCAUUAUUUUAUGGGAGUCAUUCAUCCUUCCUCUUAUCCUCCAAAACGACUUUUGACUGUUUGCAACUUGUUUGAAAAGAAAAAAAGUGAUGAUUCUUCAUUAACAACACUUUAGCAUAAUUUCUAUGCACAUACAUUUAAGUCGGCCAAUUAUUGUGUGAACAAAUUUGUAAAGACCCGAGUCGCGGUAGAAUAUAGUCAGUCAAUUAUUGAAGUAUAGCAUGGAGUGUCGCAUGGGGUCCAAGUCAAGACAAUAGUUCCACUUGCAUCGUGGAAAUUUUGGUUUGCAGGUUCCUUCUCAACUUGUAAUUUACUAUGAAGCGUGAUUAAGAUAAAUGACAAAUGAAAGUGGAGAAGAAUCAUCUAUUUUGUGGGAGUCAUUUAUCCUUUCUCUUAUCCUCCAAAACGACUUUUGACUGUUUGCAACUUGUUUGGAAAAAAAAAAAAUGUGAAUUUGUCUCUCAAAAGUUGAGGCCUUUUUUUGCGUAUUUUAGCCUGAUCUAAAUAACAUAAAUUAUGCAUUCUGACUAUUUGCAACUUGUUUGAAAUUAAAUGUAAAUUUGUUCUCUCAAAAGUUAAGAUGGUGUCUGUGCUUUUUAGCUUGGUUCAAAUAACAUGAAUUACGCGCAUAUACGUUGUUUUCUAAUUUCACAAAAAACAAAAAAACUUCUAAAACGUAAACAGAACGAACAAUCAACGCGGAAUUGUGUUGAUUGUUGCAGGCUUUGCCAUUGUUUUGGAGAGACGAGUCAUCCUCUAAUUACUACACCUACCUACAGAAAAGUAGCUGGUCCACUCACACAUGUUAAUUACUACACCUACCUACCUACAGACGAGUCAUCCACCUAUCUACCUACGGACGAGUCAUCCUUAUAAUACACUCGCAGCUUUCCUUUUGCUCCUAAAUCAAUUCUGAUUGUACACUUCUUCUUCUUCUUCAAUCUUCAAUCGUCUUUGCCUUGAUUUUGUUGAAUUAAGAUGGAGAACGACGGAACGGCGCUUGAAGAAACUCUUUCAUACUUCCAUUGUGGUGCUACUUUUUCUACAAUGUUUCAACCCUUCCCUAUCCUCUGGAUUCAAUCAUGUUUCUUUCGGUUUCGGAGCAAUUGCCCACCGGGUGGUGACGAGGUGCAUAGAGAGUGAAAGGGAAACACUCCUUUCUUUCAAACAAGGUCUGAUUGAUGACUACAAUCUCCUCUCCUCGUGGGGAAGAGAAGAACACAAGCAAGAUUGUUGCAAAUGGGUAGGCGUCCACUGCAGCAACCGAACCAACCAUGUUACUCAACUUCAUCUUGGAUGGUCUUCUAUGCGUCAAGCUUACUCACUUCAACACAAAGGUCACCUGGAAGAUACCGAAUAUUAUUUACAAGGUAAGAUGAUGAGUCCUAAACUGAUUGAGUUGCAGCAUUUGAAAUAUUUGGACCUUUCGUUGAUUAACUUCAAUGGAAGCCAAAUUCCAGAUUUCAUUGGUUUUCUUUCCAACUUAAGACACCUCGAUCUCUUUGUUGCUUAUUUUGGUGGUCGAAUUCCAACUCAGAUUGGAAACCUUACUCACUUGCAAUAUCUUAAUCUCAGCUACAAUAACUUUGCUAAUGUAGAAAAUCUGAAUUCAUGGCUGCCUCAUCUUUCUGCUUUAACAUAUUUGGACCUGACAUACAACAAUCUCAGUAAUGUUCCUGACUGGAUGGAAGCAGUUAAUAAACUCCCUAAACUUACAAACUUGUCUCUGUCUUAUUGCAGUCUUCCUUCUCGUCUAAUUCAUUCCAGUACUCUUUUUAACAUAAAUUCUUCUAAAUCUCUUGCUCAUGUUAAUCUCAGAUCCAACCAACUCUCAUUUUCUUCAUCUUCUUCCAUAUUUGUGUGGUUAUCCAAAUACAAUGCCGGCCUUGUUCAUCUUGACCUCUCUGAAAACCAAAUUGAAGGAGGGAUUCCGCAAUCUUUUUCCGGGUUAUGUAAUCAGCAAGAAUUGUACCUUUACAAUAACACUUUGAGUGGACAGUUUUCCUGGUUGGUUCAAAUAUUAAUGUCUGCAUGCCCUGAUCAGAACUCAUUAGAGACUCUGUCCCUCUCAAAGAAUCAUCUUUCUGGAUCAAUUCCUAAUCUCACAAACUUUUCAUCAUUGAAAGAAUUAUCUCUCGAUGACAAUCAAUUGAGUGGAACAAUACUUGAAAGCAUUGGGCAUAUGUCCACGCUUGAGGCUAUCUACCUUGGUAUGAAUGCUUUGGAAGGUGUGGUUUCGAAAAGCCACUUCUCCAACCUCUCCAGAUUAAGGAGUUUGGAUAUGUUCAAUACCUCACUAUCUUUAAGCUUCAGUUCUAAUUGGUCUCAUCCUUUCCAAUUAGAGUAUAUAAAAUUAUGGUCUUGUAAGGAGGGUCCACAUUUUCCAAAAUAGCUUCAAAAUCAGAAAAGUUAUAAGAGACUUGAUAUUUCUAAUGCCAGAAUUUCUGAUAUCCUUCAAAGUUGGUUUUGGAGCCUUCUGUCUCAUCAGGAUCUUAGAUCUAUUUCUAUAGAUUUUUCCCACAACCGAAUUAGAGGAACAAUUCCAAAUUCAAGAUUUGAGUUUUCCUCAUCUUCCUUUAGUCUAGUGAAUUUGAGUUAGAACUAAUUGGAAAGUCCAGUCCCUUCAUUCAUUUCCACAUCGAUAUCUUUAGAUCUCUCCAACAAUAAGUUUUUAGGGUUAAUUUCUUUCAUGUGUCCAAGGACUUCGAACAAGGUUAGUCAUAUAGCCUUUCUUGAUCUCUCAAGCAACAAUUUGUACGAACAACUUCCUAAUUGUUGGACACGUUUUGAAAAUCUUGCCUUUCUUGAUUUGAGUGAUAAUGCUCUUUUUGGAAAAAUUCCUACCACAAUGAGCUCUUUACCUUCUAUUCAAACACUAAAGUUAAACAAGAAUAGGUUUGUGGGGAAUUGACUUUAUCCUUGAAGAACUUUACCACACUCAGUGUUUUUAAUGCUAGAGAAAAUAACUUAUCAAGUUUGAUACCUGAAUGAUUAGGGGUUGAACUUCCAAAUUUGGCUAUCCUUAUCCUCCGUUCUAAUCACUUCUAUGGAAGCAUUCCACCACAAUUGUGUAAACCCAACCCCUAACCAUUCAGGUAUCAAACCUGAUAAGUUAUUUUCUCCAACAUCAAAAACACUGAGUGUGGUAAAGUUUUUCAAAGAUGAAGGCAAUUCCCCCACAAACCCAUUCUUGUUUAACUUCAGCGUUUGAAUAGAAGGUAAAUAGUCCGUUGUGGUAGGAAUUUUCCCAAAAAGAGCAUUAUCACUCAAAUCAAGAAAGCCAAGAUUUUCAAAACGUGUCCAACAAUUAGGAAGUUGUUUGUACAAAUUGUUGCUUGAGAGAUCAAGAAAGGCUAAAUGACUAACCUUGUUCAGAGUCUUUGGACACAUGAAAGAAACUAACCCUGAAAGCUUAUUGUUGGAGAGAUCUAGGGCUAUUGCUAUGGAAAGGAAUGAAGGGACUAGACUUUCCAAUCGGUUCCAUCUCAAAUUCACUAGACUAAAGGAAGAUGAGGGAAACUCAAAUCUUGAAUUUGGAAUUGUUCCUCUAAUUCGGUUGUUGGAAAGAUCUAUAGAAAUAGAUCUAGGAUCCUGAUGAGAUAGAAGACUCCAAAACCAACUUAGAAGGAUAUCAGAAAUUCCUGCAUUAGAAAUAUCAAGGCUCUUAUAACUUUUCUGAUUUUGAAGCCAUUUUGAAAAAUGUGGACCCACCUUACAAGACCUCAAUUUUAUAUACUCUAAUUGGAAAGGAUGAGUCCAAUUAGAACUGAAGCUUAAAGAUAGUGAGGUAUUAGACAUAUCCAAACUUCUUAAUCUGGAGAGAUUGGAGAAGUGGCUUUUCGAAACCACACCUUCCAAAGCAUUCAUACCAAGGUAGAUAGCCUCGAGCGUGGACAUAUGCCCAAUGCUCAACAAUUUGGCUAAAAAAGUAAGUUCAAGUAUAGCAUCCUUGAUAUGGAAAGGCAUUCUAUCCAAAUACAGAAGUACUAUGGGGCUUGUAAGUGUAUUCAUCUGUCAAGUAAUCGAUUAAUAGGGGAGAUUCCUAGGGAAAUCACUGAUCUUGUGAGGUUGGUUUCUUUAAACCUGUCAAGAAACAAUUUAACAUGUCAAAUAACUCCAACGAUCAGGAAGUUGGAGUCCUUAGAGUCCCUUGAUUUGUCAAGAAACCACAUAUAUGGUGGAAUACCAACAAGCCUUUUUCAAAUAUAUGGUCUUGGUGAUUUGGACUUGUCAAACAACAACUACAACAACAACAAAGCAUUUUCCCACUAAGUGGGACUCGGCUCCAAAGCCUUUUCAAACAACAACUAGUUUGGAAAAUUCCAAUUGGGACUCGGCUCCAAACCUAUGAUCCAUCUGAUUUUGCUGGAAAUACUCUACUUUGUGGAAUUCCACUUCAACAGUUGUGCUGUCCUGAGGAAACAAGUCCAGAGGAGCAACCAAUGUUUGGGGAUCAAGUUAAAGAUAAUGAUGGGCUUAUAACAACAUGAUUUUACUUGAGUUUGGCGCUUGGUUUUGUUGUUGGAUUUUUGGGAGUUUGUGGGAGUUUGAUAUUCAUCAGGUCAUGGAGAUACACAUGCUACAAGUUCUUGAAUUGUGUGUACGAUUGGCUUUUUGUGAGGGUGGCGUUGAUCAGGUGACGAAGAAUGAUUGAUGGGUAAAAUGUAAGUACUCUUGCACAUAAUGAAUAAUAUUAUUGCAGUUUUGAGUCUAUUAAAUUAUGACUAAUAUAUGUUGCGUUUGUUUUAAUCUUUUUAGCUCGUUCAUCUACCGUUGGCAAGCACUGCUCCCUUUAAACUAGAGAAGAAGGAGAUUGAAGAGUGCAAUUUGAAGUUAUAAUUUAGUGAAAGUGUUGUGUUUAAUUUAGUGGCCUUUUUGAGGCUAUUUACAGUGACCGUAUUCUUUAUGCCGACACCAAACUUUAAGUUCAUGUGGAAAUCUAUUUAUACGUUGAAUAACACACUAAUCUGUAAAUAUUUUUUUACAGAUAGUGUGCAAAUUUCUUUCUUUCAGACUGUGUAUGCUUAUGACGUGAUAAACAUAUUAGAAGUUUGCGAUUUAAUAUGUUACUCCCAAAUGUGAUUGUUAUUCUGUGAAUUCGCUAAAAUUUAAGGUUGUGUGUAUUGUUGUUUUUAAAACCCUUUGCUUAGUAAUACAUAAUUGAAUAUGAGCUCUUCCAUUUGAUAAUAUCUUAAACUGCUUAAGAUAUACAUCAUAAGCAACCAUGCUUACAAAUUUCAGCACUCUUAGAAACAACAUACACUAAUCUACAACGGUUUCUAAUCUUACUCAAGGCUUCAAAUACACUCGUGUGUCACAUGAUUUGAAACGUGCAAUUUAAUUACAAUGUAUUUGGAUUGCACAUUUCAAAUCUUGUGACACACAAGUGUGAGUGUUUUAGAUUGAUGAAUUUUAGUCAUCUAACGAGAUAUAAACUUGUUUCGUUCCAAGUGAGUAAUUAAGCAAAAAUAGUACUCAUGUGACCAGCAGGCAGCAAGGAUGUGAGGCAUCUGAUAUACAUGCAAUGGCUAAAGUUACUUACAAAACUAAACGAAACGUCGUCGUCUGUUAGCUGUGUUUGGGCCAAAAGCGUGGUCGUUUUGAUCAGAACAUUUCCGGGGCAAAAAGCAGAAGAGAAAGAUUGAAAUUCUAAAAAGAGAGAGUAAAAGACUGGGGCGAGGUCACGCUCCAGACCGCCGUCCACCGCCGUAGGCGAUCCGGCCAACUUGUUGACCUGCAGAGAUUCUAUAGCGAGGUCACGCUCGCGUUCUGGAGCGGCCUCCGCGACCUUCCGCCGAGUUCUCGUUCCUCCGCGUCCGCGGCCUCCUCAAUUUCCUCCGAUCCGUCGCCGAGUCCGAUUCCACCGUCAACCUCUUCUCUCAAACGCAAUUGCUCCCCGAGCUUCAAGGUAACCAGAAAAUUACAAAAUUCCUAGUACAUGGCGAGGAGGUUUGGGGAGAGAACGUGGUGGCUGCCUCAGUGAGUCACGUGGUUGCCGAAGUGACAAGGUUGUUGAAGGUUCAGCGCGGGAAAGUUUGGUUGAUUGGUGCAACGGCUAGCUAUGGAAGUUACUUGAAGUUUGUGGGGAGGUUUCCAUCUGUUGAAAAAAAAAAAAAAACUGGGACUUGCAGCUUCUGCCCAUCACUUCUCUCAGAGCUGCUUCCAUGGCUGAAUCAUAUCCCAGGUCCAGCUUGAUGGAGUCGUUUGUUCCAUUUGGUGGAUUCUUUUCAGCACCUUCUGACCUAAAGCUCCCACUCGCUGGGCUCUGCGGUAUUUGUAUGGAAAGUUUAGUUGAUUGGUGUAACGGCUAGCUAUGGAAGUUACUUGAAGUUUGUGGGAAGGUUUCCAUCUGUGGAAAAAAAACUGGGACUUGCAGCUUCUGCCCAUCACUUCUCUCAGAGCUGCUUCCAUGGCUGAAUCAUAUCCCAGGUCCAGCUUGAUGGAGUCGUUUGUUCCAUUUGGUGGAUUCUUUUCAGCACCUUCUGACCUAAAACUCCCACUCGCUGGGCUCUGCGGUAUUUGUAUGGUAGCCGAUGCAGCGGGAGUGGAGCAUCAUCGUUGGGCAGAGGAGAAGAAAACUGGAGACGAUGGAGACUGCCUGGCCAUCAUAGUAACUCGCUGCUGCUGACCAAUCACGAACCUUUGUUGGUUGUCUAAAGAACUUGACGUUUGACUGUCUCAAUGCUGACUUUUGAAGUUUCUGAUUUUGUAUUAUGGAAAUCGUAAUAAGAGCAUACGUAGGUUACAAAUAUAUAUGGGAGUUUGAGUGAGUUGCAAACUACACUCAACACUCAAGUUAUCUAUCCCAAAUCUCCUUGAAUCAUGCUAAACAGCCGGCAUAGGUAACAUAACUAAGCUCCUUGGAUUAAGGAGUUGACAACAAGAUAAGACCCUUAUACAAGUUGAUGAGAACAAGAAAAUAAAUGGCUAUUAACUAGGUAAAACACUAAUAAGGUUGACACAAACCCUAUUACCCAGAUAAUACUGAGAAACACUAAUCAUGAGGAACCUUAAGUAACCAGAGGUCUUUCAAUACUCCCCCUUAAGCUGGAUCCAGAAGUUUGAUGGAUCCAAGCUUGCUGAGAAGCUUUUGAAACUGAUGGGAGGCUAAUGGUUUGGUGAAUAAGUCUGCAAGUUGAUUGUAGCUCCUGCCAAAAUGAGUUUUGAUGACCUGUGAUUGUACUUGUGCACGAACAUAGUGACAAUCAACUUCAAUGUGCUUGGUUCUCUCGUGGAAGACGGGGUUGGAAGCAAUGUGCAUUGCUGCCUGGUUGUCACAGAAAAAGGGACAUGGAGUGAGGAGUGAAGACAUCUAAGUUACAUAGUAGACCUUUCAGCCAUAUUAGUUCACACGCAAUAGAUUCCAUGACUCAAUAUUCAGCCACAUCACUUGAUCUUACAACGACUGCUUGCUUUUUACUUUUCCAUGUAACAAGGUUGCCUCCCACAAACGUGCAAUACCCCAUUGUAGACUUACGAUCAAUAGAGUUGGCAACCCAAUUAGCAUCAAAUAACCUGUGAUCUAAGUGCUCUCAUUCUUCUUCAUGAUUAUGCCACGACCCACUGAACCUUUUAGGUACCGAAGUAUUCUUUUGACAAGAUUAAAAUGCUCUAUCGUGGGAGAGUGCAUAAAUUGGCUAGCAAUGCUUACUGAAUAGGCUAUGUGAGACCUUGUAAUAGUCAAAUAUAUCAACUUACCAACAAGUCGUUGAUAAUAGCUUAUGUUUAGAAGUGGUUGCCUCUUCAAGCUGAGUUUGAGCUUGAUGUCAAGAGGUGUAUGGACAUGUUUAGCAUCACUCAUGUUUGCUUCCUUGAGAAGAUCCAUGACAUAUUUCCGCUGGUUGAGAAAGAAACCCUUGUGAGAGGUUGCCAUUUCUAUUCCAAGACAAUAUCUCAGUAUUCCAAGAUCUUUGAUUGCAAAACGUUGUUGUAGUGAAUGCUUGAGCUUCUUUAUUUCUUCAGGGUUGUCUCCUGUAAUGAUCAAAUCAUCUACAUAUACAAGGACUACCAAUUUCCCAGCAGUUCUUGUGCACACGAACAAUGAGGAGUUUGCGUUGCUUCUUUUAAAACCAACACUUGUAAGGACUAAACUGAGCUUGGCAUACCAAGCUCUCGGUGACUGUUUAAGACCGUAAAUUGAUUUGUGCAAUUUACACACAACAUCAUGUUCAUGACUUUGAGGAUGACUUGGGGGUAAUCUCAUGUAGACUUCUUCUUCAAGAUCACCAUGUAAAAAGGCGUUCUUUACAUCUAUUUGAUACAUAGGCCACCCUUUGUUAACAACAACUGAAAUGAGUACUCUCACUGAGUUCAUCUUUGCAACAGGAGAAAAGGUUUCCUUGUAGUCCACAUCAAAUGUUUGAGUAAAUCCAUGAGCCACUAAUCUUGCCUUGUGUCUUUCUAUGGACCCGUCUGAGUUGAAUUUAACCUUGUAUAUCCAUUUACAACCUACUGUCUUAUUUCCUUUGGGUAGUGUCACAAUGCUCCAGGUUUUAUGUUGAUCAAGGGUAUGCAGUUCAUCUUGCAUAACUUGCUGCCAAACCUGUGAUUGAUUUGCUUCUUGAAAUGACUGAGGCUCAACAUGCUCAGAUACAUUACAAACAAAAGCAGUGUAUUUAGAUGACAAUUUUUGAUAGGACACAUAGUUGGACAGUGGAUGCCUUGGCUUGUAAGUGACAAAGUCUUGCAGUCUUGUUGGAUGAUGUCUUUCACGAAUGGGAUUUCGUUGAGGCGCAGCAGAAUGAGACUCGUAUGAAGAUUCCUCAGGUGCAACAUUAUGGAGAGAUUCAUCUUCAACAGAAGUGUUGGUGUCAUCACUUGAAUCUGGUUGGUCAGUUGCAGCGCGGGACUUUGUGUGAUGUGCAGACACCAUUGCAUUAGAUUGAGUGACUUCAGUGGCAAGUAUCUCAGUCCAUGGCAAUGGAAAAAGGUCCAAGAAACACUUCCCAUGACUUAUACUAUCCAGAGAUUUGCUGUAAUAAGGGUUAGUUUCAUGAAAUCUAACAUCCUUGGAAACAAUUAAUCUCUUAAGUUGUGGAUUGUAACAUUUGUAUCCUUUUUGUGUGGAUGAGUAACCAAGGAAAAUACAUUUGGUUGCCCUAGGAUCUAGUUUGUCUCGAUGCAAGGGCUGAACAUGGACAAAACAAAUGCAUCCAAAGACCUUAAGGCGUUGCAAGUCCACUUUUCUAUUUUUGACCAUUUCCAUUGGUGAUUUGAACCCCAAAACCCUGCUAGGUAACAUGUUGAUCAAGUAAGCUGCUGCCACAACACUUUGAGACCAAAAUCAUUUUGGUACAUUCAUUUGGAACAUCAAGGCCCUAGUUUUUUUAAGAAGAUCUCGAUUUUUUCUCUCAACAAUACCAUUUUGUUGGGGUGUGCCAACACAAGCAUGAUGCCAUUGUUGCUCAAAUAUUGAGUCAUGACUUGGGACAUCUAUUCGGUGCCAUUAUCAGACCUUAGAGUUUUGAUUUGAGAGGAAAAAUGAUUUUUAACAAGGUUAUGAAAGUCCUUAAACACUUCCAUCACUUCACUCUUUGAUUUUAACAAAUAUAACCAAGUGGCUCUUGAAUAAUCAUCAACAAAGGUUAUGAAAUAUUUGUAACCAUCAAAAGAUUCACUAGUUGGUCCCCAUAUAUCAGAGUGUACAAGUUUAAAAAGAUGAAAAGCUCUAGACAAAGAUGAACCUUGAGCUAGUCUAGUUGCCUUUGACAUAUGGCAAGUUUCACAGUGAAUUUGUUCUUUGCUUAGGUCGGGAAACAAGGUUGACAAAACAUGUUGAGAAAGGUGAGCUAGUCGCUGGUGCCACAAGGAAUGAUCUUGAUGGAGGCAUGGAUGAACUUAGACUUGGCUUGGAAUCCAUUGGGAGAGCUUUUCGAUAUGUAAUAGAGACCGUCUAGGUAAAACCCCUCACCAAUCGUCCUCUUGGUGACACAAUUCUGAAAAAUGACAUUUUCUGGUGAAGAAAUGGCUAAAUAGUUUAAGGAAUUUGUGAUUUUUCCCACUGAGAUAAGUUGGAAUGGAAAUGAAGGAACAUAUAAGGCCAUAGACUCUAUUUGGUCUGAUAUCAAGUGAAUUUUUCCCUUUCCUACAAUCCUAGCACCUUCACCAUUAGCUACAGACAUAUGUGAUGGUUUAUGAAGUUUCUAAAAUUUAUGCAAUUUUGACACUUGAUUAGUCAUAUGAUUUGUGGCACCUGAAUCUACAACCCAAAAAUCAUGCAACUUAUUGAUUGUAAGAGCAGUUUCGAAAGCAUUCACGAUACCUUUCAUGUCUUGUUGAGGUAAGCGAUCAGCAUCGACAAAAAAACUUGCAAACUUGCCCAACAAUGCAGUGGCACUUCCAUAUGGUCAACAACUCGAUCUUCCCUUCCCGUCUUCUAUUGGAGAUAGGCUGCAAACUUAUUUAUAAGAGUAGCAAGAUUUGUAGUGAACUGUUGGUAAGAAUUUGAACUGUUGAUAGAUGAAGAUGAUGCAGUGUUGGCAUGAGGAUAUGCUUGACUUGUCUUCUGUGCAAUCUUAUCCUUCAUGACUUCAGGCUUGAGCUUUGGAUGCAGGAUCCAACACUUAUCUCUCACAUGCUCGAUGUUGUCACAGUGUAAGCACUUCAGAUGAGGGUUUUUUCCUUUGUACCUUUUUUCAUGUCAGAUAAGCCCUAGCUUCAAUCACAUUGGUUUUUGUACCACUGUUCAUGACUUUUCUUCUCACUUCCUCACGUUAGAUGGUUAAACAAAUGCUAGUGAAGGAUGGUAGCUCAGGAUUCAUGAGGACAUGACUUCUCAAAUCCUCAUAUUCUGAGCUCAAGCUAGACAUCAAUUGAAAUUUUUUAUCUUCUUCAGUUCUUUUAAGAAUCACCUUGGGAUCAGUUGUAUGAGGUCUGUAGACAUCUAGCUCAUUCCACAUGCUUCUUAGAGAACCAAGAUGUUGAACAAAAGUUUUACCUUUUUGUUGAAUGUUGGAGAUAUCAUUCUUGAGUUGAAAGAUGCGUGCAAAGUUGUUUUAAUUACCAUACAUCUCCUUCACAAUUGUCCAGAGAGUGAGAGAUGACUCAGAAUAGCUGAAGAUUUCAGCAAUCUUCCUUUCCAUGGAAAUAAGCAACCAUGACAUGACCAAUUGAUCUUUACAAAGCCACCCUUCAUAUUUUGGAGAAGUAACUUCAAGAGCAGAAUGACUGCCAUUGAUGAAACCAAGUUUGGAUCUUCCACCAAGCGCAAGACUAACAACUCUUGCCCACGACACAUAAUUAAACUCAUUCAGUAACACUGAACUAAGUCGUUUAUUUGGAUUGAUAUCCAUUUUAGAGAUGCUAGCAGAAGGAGAAGCAAUGAUGCUUUCAUCCUCUAAAUUCUCAUCAGUUAUAUUUUUGCUGAAGGAAAAUCACAACAAGUGAGAUAUACAAAGAUAGACUCAGAAGGAUGCCCGCUCUAAUAUCAUGUUGACUUUUGAAGUUACUCAGAAGGAUGCCCGCUCUAAUACCAUGUUGACUUUUGAAGUUUCUGAUUUUGUAUUAUGGAAAUCAUAAUAAGAGCAUACGCAUGUUACAAAUAUAUAGGGGAGUUUGAGUGAGUUGCAAACUACACUCAACACUCAAGUUACCUAUCCCAAAUCUCCUUGAAUCAUGCUAAACAGGCGGCACAAGGAACAUAACUAAGCUCAUUGGAUUAAGGAGUUGACAACAAGAUAAGACCCCUAUACAAGUUGAUAAGAAUAAGAAGAAAAUAAACGGCUAUUAACUAGGUAAAACACUAAUAAGGUUGACACAAACCCUAUUACCUAGAUAAUACUAAGAAACCCUAAUCAUGAGGAACCCUAAGUAACCAGAGGUCUUUCAAUACUCAACUUGUACAAUUCCUUGUUGAAUAUGGGCCCACGAGAGAUGUGAAGAUGAUUGAUUGGCGUUUGAAAGCUGUCCCAUGAAAAUAGUGUUGAAAGCCCAACACCAACGCCAAUCCAAAACAAAGGCGACCCUACAUUUGUGGGUGGGGGAGGUACUGAGAUUUGUGGUUUGACACCAACUGAAGAUGUUUCUUGGGUACUCGAAGAAGAAAUGCUCGCAAAACAUUCCGCUUCUAACUUUGUUGGGAGGCGAGUGGCACUGAAGCGACCAUUGGCUCUGGAAUUCUGGUGAUUUUUGGAGUUUCUGAGAUUCGCAGAGCAUUGAAAGAGAGGGAACCGACUAGAGUCUAUCUUUUUUUUUUCUUCCAAAGAAUAUGUUGCCUUUGUAAUAAAAUUGACUUUCAUUAGUCAAGCCUUUAUUUUGAUGUGACUGAACUCGAAGUUGAAUGUUCGAGCUACCUACAUACCCUUCCAAAGAAGAGAUCAAGUCAGAACGUAGUUCAAAUAUGUUUUGUUUUUGUGCUGUACGCAGUUUAUGCUUAUGCGGGCCAGGAGCAUUUGGUGCCAUUUGCAGUUUCAACUCAUGCAGGCAAUAAACUCUUGGUGUGGAUUUGGUGCUGUUUGCAGUUUCAGCUCGUGUAGGCAAUGAGCGUUAGUUGUCGCCUUUUAGGCUCGUGCGGACGAUGAGCUCUUGGUGUAGAUUUGUCAAGCGAUCUUGGAGAGGUGUUCAUCGCAAUCUUUAUAGCAAGAAGUCUUGAUCGAGGGAUUGAAGAAGUCUUCGGGGAAGAAAUCGCGCAUCGUGAUGGGGAUGGACGAUCUUCGUGUCGAAAUUUCAUCAUCCUCAACACUUUCACGUUGCCUUGGAGGUUGACAAGAGCUUCUUUGCCCUAUUUUCGAUUGUUGAACUUGUGGACGACAAGUGUCACGCCCCGAUCCCGACAUACGUCCAAGAUCGACACGUGAUGUCAACAAAUACCCAUAUCUCAAAAGUCAACCCUCGGUCAACGGUAGGGUCCACAACUCUACAUAAUUCGAUCCGAAAGAUCAACCCAUCAGAUUUCAGAUCCGUAACUUCUUAAGGUCUCAUUAUACUCAUAAAACAUCAUACUAAAGUCUCACCAUAAUUCGACGGUUGGAUCUUCGCCAAUUGCUAGAAUUAGGUGGCGGUUAACAAUUAAUUUUACUAACUUAGAAAUCUAAUUCGGGAAAACCCAUACGUCGGAUUCCCGAUCCGUCAGCUCCAGCUAUCCUCAAAUAUUACGUUCUAUAACGCAUUAAAGUUUGGUGACGAUCCAACGGUCGAUUCAUAUUUUGAUCAAGUAAUGUAUCGUAAUGAAACGAAGUUCAAACAAUCAAACCACUUCAUAUGGAUAUCAAUUAUGAAUUCAGGGCAUUUAAUUGGACUUAGAAAGACAUCGUCGGCCCACUGGCCACGCGUCGCCGCCGAUGGUGGUCAGCAGCCACGACUCGCCGGAAAAUUCAACAAUUUCCAAAAUUUAUCAAAACUCAUAGAAUUGUAGAUCUCAAUGAGUAUAGCAAAUUUUGUACCUGUGACCAAGGCCAAUUUGGCCUGGAAACACUCCAAAUCACCACGCACCCGCCAGAACCCUAGAAAGAGUGUGCUCCAAUUCUUCCUCCUCGGUGUUCCACCACCCCUACAACUGAUUGGGAUUUGUUCAGGGGCUCAAUGGGAGUCUAAUGGUGGUAGAGAUAGAGGUAAUUUGCAUCAAAAAUUGGCGGAUUGUCACCAAGAACACCAUAGUGCUGCCGCACCCUACGAUGUGGUUUUUCACAAAAUCAAGGCCAAACAUCUUCAAUUUUUGGGUGUAAUAGGUAGAUGAAACGAUAAGGAAUGUCCCGAUGGUUAAGUGACGGGAUUUGCCGGAAAAACCUACGAAAUCCACCGGAAAGAUCAAGGGGAACCGGUAGAGUCGAAAUAAAGGGGGACGAGUUGAUGAUCUCAUGCCUUCCCCCACCCUAAUUUCCCCACCUUUCUUCUCUUGCUGAUUGGUUCUCCCCUCCUAUCCUUUAUUUCUAAUUGGUCCCUAAAAGAAACUGAUUGGUCUCUUUCUCAAUAUUGAUUGGGCCUCUUGUGGGAAUUUAUUUAACUUAAAAACUAUAGUAUAGUAAGACGACUUCAAAUGUCCGUAACUAUACCGUUAUAAUCCGGAUUCUCAAACGGCUUUCGCCUAUGCGCUCGUGGUUUCGAGAUCUAUUCGAAAACAUUAACUGUGACCUCGAAAGGUCUAUAGAUUUUAAUUAAUUAAUUUCCAAACUUCAAACUUUCUAAUUAGUUUAAUUAAAAUCUAAAUUCAAAUAAAUUGAUAUAAAUUCUCGAAAAAAUAAUAUACAAUCUUAAUAAUACCAAUACGUAGAUUAUAAUAGUGAAAUCCAGGAACGGGGUUUCACAACACGUAUGCUUUUUGUGCAGUUUCUUUGGAGUGACAUGAGUUCAUCCUUCAACUUCACUUGGCUUGACUGGUAUGGUUUUGGAGCAUGCCCCCAACGAUUGAGGUGAAGAUAUUGAGUUGGAAGAGCCAAAAGUGACGGUGGUAUGGUUUGACCCUAACACAUCGUUAAGAUCUAGCUUGAUGAUUCCUUUUUGGGCCAGCUUCAUGAUGAGAUCUUUUAGCACGAAGCACAUUUCCGUCAAUGACUGAUGAAGCGGUGGUACUUACAAUAUAUUGGGUUGCCGGUGCGAUUCAUCUCUUCCAGCCGUUUGCACUCGGGUAAAUCGAUCACCUUUUUGUUGAGCAAGUCCUUCAACAUGGCAACCACAUCAGAGUCGGGGAAUGGAUAAGUCUUCUUCUCAAGCUCCUUCAAAGUGCGUUUACGCCUUUCUUGGUCACUAAAAGCUUUGGUCCGAAUCACCUUGUCUCGUGUAAAGAUUUUAACGGAAGCUGCGUUGACCACCAUUGCUUUAUUGAAACCCUCACGAAUUUGUCCAUUUUCUGCCCAAAGACCUUGUCAUUUCUGUAGUUAGCAAUCGGUUAUUUCUUCUCAUGAUGGGCAAUGCUCAACUCAAUGUCGUGGGCGGGGGUGGCUAACUCCUCGAAGGUCCACGGUUUGAUGCCUUGAAGAAUGUAGUGUAAUCCCCAAUGCAUGCCUUGUACACACAUCUCCGAGAGUCUGUCUUUGCAGUCAAGACUUAGAGUGCGCCAUCGGUUGAUGUAGUCGACGAUUGGCUCAUCCUUCCAUUACUUUGUACUUGUGAGCUCCAUCAUGCUGACAAUGCGACGAGUACUGUAGAAACGGUUUAAAAACUCCCGCUGCAAUUACUCCCAGCUGUUGAUGGACUCGGGUUCUAGGUCCGUGUACCAAUCGAAUGCAUUCCCAUUCAGACAGCGGACAAACUACUUUGCGAGGUAGUCUUUCUCAGUCCCCGCAUUGUUGCAAGUCUCGACGAAAUAGGCGACGUACUGCUUUGGGUUUCCUUUUCCAUCAAAUUGCAUGAACUUAGGUGGCUAAUACCUCAUCGGCAUCCGCAAGCCAUCAAUCCGCCUGGUAUAUGGCUUCGCAUACAGCAGUGUAUCCCGCGAAGUGUCUCCUACCUGUGUUCUGAUGGUGUUCGCAAUCAUAUCCUGGAGCUGCUGGAUGGAAAGAGAGCCCAUCGAGGUAGCUUCAGUCUCCGGUUAAUGUGAUUGAUUUAGCUUUAUAGUUGUUUCUUGUGGUUAACACUAUGUUGAUCUAUCAUAAUAUAGUAUAUGGAGAAUCAAGUCUUGCCCUUAAUUUUGGGUAUAAUAAAUUGGUAUUGAAAUCACUAUUCACGAGGUUCGAACGUAAGACAUUCACUUACAAGUGAAGUUGAAGUACCAUUAGACCGUAAUACUAAGUGUCAUUUGAAAUUGAUCAUAAAUUAAAAUCUCAAUUGCUAAAUUAAUCAAAAUUAAAUAUUGACCACAUAAUAUCAAAGAUUGACAACAAUACAAUCACGUAUUGACGAUGUAUAAAAAAAUUGGUCAUUUUAGUAAUUAGAAUUUGAAAGAUGAUCAUUUUGAUCAAUUUUUCAAGUAACUUAACAAUUAAAAACAUAAGGAAAAAAAAAGAAUGAAACACGAGUAAUGAUAUGAAUGUAGUUUGUUUGUUUUGUUUUGUUUAUACUCCAUUUCUUCCAUGUAACUUCACUUCAAAUUCAUAAACAAUGAAGUUUCUUCAAUUUACAUUGUUAAAACUAGAAGAAUUGGGAAUAAGAAUUUUUUGGCCCAUCCUUGUCUACCAUUUUUAGACGAGGAAAUAUUGGAUGUCAUUGAAUAUAAGGCAUAAUGAUCUCUGAAAAUUUAAUUUACAUUCCAUUCGACGUAACUGCAAUGGUUAAAUUGAUGAAUUUUCACUUAUUUAGUAAGAUAUAAAUAAACUACAACCAAUUACCAAUUGAAACGUGUAAAAAUAAACGGAAACGUCGUCGUCUGUUAGCUAGGGUACCAAAAUGUCGUCGUUUUGGUCAGAACAUUUCCGGAGCAAAAGCCAGAGGAGAAAAAAAAAUCUCCAGUGUGAGAGUAAACAACUGAGGCGAUGUACUUGAAGAAGCCGCUAUGGAGCGAGGGGAUAACGCUGAAGCCCUCGUCGGAAUCUGAACCAGAGCCGCCGUCCACCGCCGUAGGCGAUCCGGUCAACUCGUUGACCCAGCAGAGAGUGUACCGCGAGGUCAUGCUCGCGCUCCGGAGCGGCCUCCGCGAUGUUCGCGCCGUGUUCUCCUUCCUUGUGUCUGCGGCCUCCACGACGUCCUCAAGUUCCUCUGAUCGGUCGCCGAGUCCGAUUCCACCAUCAACCUCUUCUCUCAGACACAACUCCCCGAGCUUCAGGGUAAUCAGAAAAUUACAAAAUUCCUAGUUUCUGCUUAAUAUUUUGUUUAAUUUUUCUGAAUGUUGAAAUUGAUUUAUUCAUCGUUUUACAGUCGUGGCGAUUCUGUUUGGGCACUCGCUGAAAGAUUCGGGCGAUGAGAUAGUGCGGAAUUUGGAUCACAUAUUCGGCGUCGAGCCGCUGAAGAUCACAAGCCCUUCAACCGAUUUCGAGGUCUCGCUUGCGCUUAGGGUUUUGGAGGGUUGCUGCCUGCUUCAUUCGGACAGCGCGGUUUUGGCUCAUCAGCACAAGGCCAUUCAGGUACUCAAUGUAGCUAAAUAGCUUAACCAAAAUUUAUGGAGGUUGGAUUUCUGAGAUGAGAACGCAGUUUCUGUAAUUGGGUAUUUGUAGGUUUUGAUGAAUAUAUUACCGACUAGCGGCGUGAUUGAGCAAGGAGCUUGUUUGGAUGCUUUGAUUGCUACUAUGUUGGACUCAUCAGCUAAUCAAAUGGUAAAGCUUCAAACUUCAGUUUCGCGUCAAAUUAAUGGUGUAUAAUUGAUUUGUAGAGAUUCUGUAUAAAGUUUUGAUUCAUUUCCCUCGAAAUCUCAUGAGAAGACGUGACAUAUGUUGAUGCUUAAAAUACAUCCCAAUUGAAUACACCCCUUAUUGUGAUUGGUUUCGAAGCGGUGAUGGGUUUUUUAUGAUUGAAUUGUUUUCUUGUGUGUAAUGUGUAGGAUUUUGAGGCUUUUCAUGGUAUUGAGGAAGUUGCAGAGCUCAUAAUGGGCAAGCAAGUUGAUGAGAAUCUCAGGUUUUGAUUUAUUUCUCUUUGCUUGCUUGAUUCUCGUUGUCUCUUUUCAAAAAAAAAAAUUCUCGUUGUCGUGAGUUGUGAUUUGAAGCUCCAUCUACUUAGUGUAGUUUUCAAAGGGUAAAGUCUUUUGAAUUAGUCCUCUUGAUAAAUUCUUUGGUAAAAAUGUUAAGUUUUUUGCAAAAAUAGGUUUGUGGUAGCCACACAGUUGCUGUGUGUGCUACUACUUCUUCAAAAUCAUCAUUAUCACAGGCAAUGCCAUUUUUCGACUUGUUCAUCGGACGAUUCUUAAUAGAAUCCCGUCUUUCCUUAUUUUCUAGGAUUUUAUUUAAACCAUGUUGUUUUGCUCAUUUUCAUGUUUGUCAAUUGAGUAACGAGGUCAUCUGCUAUGAAUGAAUUAGAGUUGAGGAUUCUGAACACUGGUGUGCCUAGGCUGGAUCCUUUCUUUGCUAAUAUAAUGCACACUGAAGAAAAACGUGUGUUGCUUUUGAUUAGGUUGAAAUGUGGAGAGUUCUUGCUGCUUCCGAUUGGUCAUGUAAAUGGGAGGGAUAGGCCACCCUUGGCGACUGUACAUGAGGACAUAUGAAGUCUUUUGGGUGAGAAAUCUGCUUCCUUGAUAUGGGCAGCCAGUCAAUUUUGUUUUGUUUUUCUCUGUAUUUCAAUGAAGUACAAUCAGUAAUUUGUAAGAAAAUGGUCGGCUUCAAUGAAAUGUUUGCCUUGACAUUUUGUGCAGUAUAAUUUCAAAAUCAUACAACAUUCUACGGACUAUCGUCACGGUAGCUAAAAUUCCUCAUGCGAGUCUGGAAGCCCACGCAUUAACAAUAAUCACACAAUAAACGAAAGGUCACAAGUGAAAAAAAUGCAAGGAACUGUUGUCGCUAAAAGACCAAAAAUCAAUAAUAAUAUUCCAAAAGUAUUGUAUUGAUCAAAUGACAGUGAUGAUUCUUUACUAACAACAAUUUAGCAUAAUUUCUAUGCAAAUACAUUUAAGUCGGUCAAUUAUUGUGUCUUCUAAUCUACUAACUCCAAGACUAAAUUUGUAAAGACCCCAGUCGCGUUGGAAUUAUUUGAUAUACCGGAAACUCUUGAUAACUUGGUGUCAAUAACCUUGAAGUAUCGCAUGGGGUCAAAGUCAAGACAAUAUUUCCACUUGCAUCGUGGAAAUUUUGGUUUGCGGGUACUAUUGUUCUCAACUUGUAAUUUACUCUGAAGCGUGAUUAAGACAAAUGACAAACGAAAGUAGAGAAGAAUCAUCUAUCUUGUGGGAGUCUUUCAUCCUUCCUUGUAUCCUCCAAAACAACUUUUGACUGUUUGCAACUUGUUUGGAAAAUAAAUGUGAAUUUGUCUCUCAAGAGUUGAGGUGUUUUCCUGUAUUUUAGCCUGGUCUAAAUAACGCGCAUUUUGACUAUUUGCAACUUGUUUAGAACAUAAAUGUAAAUUUGUUCUCUUAAGAGUUGAGACGAUUUCCGCGUUUUUUAGUGUGGUCCAAAUAACGUGAAUUGCACGCAUAUAUGUUGUUUUUUAAUUCCAAAAAAACAAAAAGACUUCUAAAACGUAAACAAUACAUAAAUGUAAUUCAAAGAAGCAGAUGUAUCGGUACAUAAGUUUCGGUACGAUAUAUCGAUACAUAAGUUUUGGCAUGAUGUAUCGGUACAUAAGUUUCGGUACGAUAUAUCGAUACAUAAGUUUUGGCAUGAUGUAUCGGUACAUAAGUUUUGGUAUGAUUGCAUCAGUACAUAAAUUUCGAUACGAAUGCAUCGGUACAUAAGUUUUGGUACGUUGUAUCAAUACAUAAUCGGUACGAUUGCAUCGAUACAUAAGUUUCGGUAAGAUGUAUUGGUACAAAGUUUUGGCAUGAUGUAUCAAUACAUAAGUUUCGGUACGAUUGCAUCAGUACAUAAGUUUCGGUACCGAUGCAUCGGUACAUAAGUUUCGGUACGAAUGCAUCGGUACAUAAAUUUCAGUACGAAUGUAUCGGUACAUAAGUUUCGGUACGAUUGCAUCGGUACAUAAGUUUCAGUACAAAUGCAUCGGUACAUAAAUUUCGGUACGAAUGUAUCAGUACAUAAGUUUCGGUACGAAUUUAUCAAUACAUAAGUUUCGGUACGAAUGUACCAGUACAUAAAUUUCGGUACGAUUGCAUCCGUACAUAAGUUUCGGUACAAAUGCAUCGGUACAUAAGUUUUAGCACGAUGUAUCGGUACAUAAGUUUCGGUGCGAUUGCAUCCGUACAUAAGUUUCGGUACGAUGUAUUGGCACAUAAGUUUCGGUACGAUUACAUCGAUACAUAAGUUUCGGUAAGAUGUAUUGGUACAAAGUUUUGGCACGAUGUAUCGGUACAUAAGUUUCGGUACGAUUUGCAUCAGUACAUAAGUUUCAGUACGAAUGCAUCGGUACAUAAAUUUCAGUACGAAUGUAUUGGUAUAUAAGUUUCUGUAUGAAUGUAUCGGUACAUAAGUUUCGGUAUGAUUGCAUCGGUACAUAAGUUUGAGUACAAAUGCAUCGAUACAUAAAUUUUGGUACGAAUGUAUCAGUACAUAAGUUUUGGUACGAAUGUAUCAGUACAUAAGUUUCGGUACGAUUGCAUCCGUACACAAUUUUCAGUACGAAUGCAUCGGUACAUAAGUUUUGGUGGAAUGUAUUGGUACUUAAGUUUCAGUACGAUUGCAAUGGUACAUAAGUUUCGAUACUAUGGCGAAGCAUCUGAAGCAUAACUGCACACUCACACGAUCUUUGUUGAAAGGUAGGAGCAUUCGGUAGAACCGGUGAACUAAAGUACAUAUGUAUUAAUAGACACCUCAUGGGGAAGAGAAGAACUCAAGCAAGAUGGUUGCAAAUGGCUUGGCGUCCACUGCAGCAACCGAACCAACCAUGUUACUUAACUUCAUCUUGGAUGGAAACAUAUGGGUAAAGUUUACUCACUUCAACAUAAAGGACAACAGGAAUAUCUCGAAUGUUAUUUGCAAGGUAAAAUGAUGAGUCCUAAAUUAAUUGAGUUUAGGACUCAUCAUUUUAAUGUUUGCAUGCCCUGAUCAGAACUCAUUAGAGACUCUGGACCUCUCAUCCAAUCAUCUUUCUGGAUCAAUUCCUAAUCUCACAAACUUUUCAUCAUUGAAAGAAUUAGUUCUCUAUGACAAUCAAUGGAGUGGAACAGUACCUGAAAGCAUUGGGCAUGUCUACGCUCGAGAGUAUCUACCUUGGUAUGAAUGCUUUGGAAGGUGUGGUUUCGGAAAGCCACUUCUCCAAUCCCUCCAGAUUAAGGAUUUUGGAUAUGUUUUAUACCUCACUAUCUUUAAGCUUCAGUUCUAAUUGGACUCCUCCUUUCCAAUUGGAAUUGAUACAUUUGAGCUCUUGCAUGAUGGGUCCGCAUUUUCCAAAAUGGCUUCAAACUCAAAAAAGUUAUCAGGACCUUGAUAAUUCUAAUGCAGGAAUUUCUGAUAUGUUGUUUUCUAAUUCCGCAAAAUACAAAAAGACUUCUAAAAUGUAAACAGUACAUAAAUGUAAUUCAAGGACGUAGAUGUAUCGGUACAUAAGUUUCGGCACGAUGUAUCGGUACAUAAGUUUCGGUAUGAUUGCAUCAGUACAUAAGUUUCGGUAUGAAUGCAUCGGUACAUAAAUUUCGGUACGAUGUAUCAGUACAUAAUCAGUACGAUUGCAUCGAUACAUAAGUUUCGGUAAGAUGUAUUGAUACAAAGUUUCGGCACGAUGUAUCAAUACAUAAGUUUCAGUACGAUUGCAUUAGUAUAUAAGUUUCGUUACAAAUGCAUCGGUACAUAAGUUUCGGUAUGAAUGUAUCGGUACAUAAGUUUCAGUACGAUUACAUCGAUACAUAAGUUUCAGUACAAAUGCAUCGGUACAUAAAUUUCGGUACAAAUGUAUCAAUACAUAAAUUUCGGUACGAAUGUAUCAGUACAUAAAUUUCGAUACAAAUGUAUCAGUACAUAAGUUUCGGUACGAAUGUAUCAGUACAUAAGUUUCGGUACUAAUGUAGCAGUACAUAAGUUUCGGUACGAUUGCAUCAGUACAUAAGUUUCGGUACGAAUGCAUCAGUACAUAAGUUUCGGUACGAUGUAUUGGUACAUAAGUUUCGGCACGAUGUAUCAGUACAUAAGUUUCGGUAUGAUUGCAUCCGUACAUAAGUUUCGGUACGAUGUAUCGGUACAUAAGUUUCGGUACGAUUGCAUCGAUAUAUAAGUUUCAGUAAGAUGUAUUGGUCCAAAGUUUCGACACGAUGUAUCGGUAUAUAAGUUUCGGUACGAUUGCAUCAAUACAUAAGUUUCGGUACGAAUGCAUCAGUACAUAAGUUUCGGUACGAAUACAUCGGUAUAUAAAAUUCAGUACGAAUGUAUCAGUACAUAGUUUCGAUACGAUUGCAUCGAUACAUAAGUUUUAGUACAAAUGCAUCGGUACAUAAAUUUCGGUACGCAUUUUCCAAAAUGGCUCCAAACUCAAAAAAGUUAUCAGGACCUUGAUAUUUCUAAUGCAGGAAUUUCUGAUAUCCUUCCAAGUUGGUUUUGGAGCCCUCUGUCUCAUCAGGAUCUUGGAUCUAUUUUUAUAGAUCUUUCCAACAACCGAAUUAGAGGAACAAUUCCAAAUUCAAGAUUUGAGUUUCCCUCAUCUUCCUUUAGUAAAGUGAAUUUGAGUUGGAACCGAUUGGAAAGUCCAGUCCCUUCAUUCCUUUCCAUAGCGAUAUCUCUAGAUAUCUCCAACAAUAAGCUUUCAGGGUUAAUUUCUUUCGUGUGUCCAAAGACUCCGAACAAGGUUAGUUGUUUAGCCUUUCUUGAUCUCUCAAGCAACAAUUUGUACGAACAACUUCCUAAUUGUUGGACACGUUUUGAAAAUCAUGCAUUUCUUGAUUUGAGUGAUAAUGCUCUUUUUGG